rnacentral:lncRNA from 1 species
AAUCAGAUAACCUUUGAAGAUUCGUUAGCUUAUCAAUUCUAAAAGGAAUCCUUUCUAUUGAGUUCGCACCUCUGAUAUCAAGAUAAUGCAAGUUGACAAGAUUUUCCAUCUUUGAAGGUAACCUUUGAAGCUUGUAACACCAAUGUAAUAACAAAGUUUCCAAAUGGUAAAGAGUGCACAAAGAAUCAGGUAAGCAUUCGAUAUCAGUGUAAGAAAAAUUUAAGUAGCGAAGAUGUUUUAAAUUUUCAAAAACAUCAGGCAACUCAGUGAUUUUAUACCUACUCAAAGAAAGCGUCCUUAAGUAGCCAAGUCUUGGUAACAAAUCAACCAAAACAACAUUAGUUAAAUAAGGCCACCGAUAAACACUAGUUAACAUUAAGGAUAAAAAAGUACGUAAGGAAUUCACUUGAUCAAAUGCUUCAAACUUCUUCACUGUGUCAUAUGUUCCAACAAUAUAAGAAGAAUGUCGAGUGCGAUUUGAGAACUUCCAUUUCUUAUCACCCUCUAAUUUUGAGCAUAUUUCCCCUGCAACUACUUGAGCUAAAUCAUUGAUAAGGUCAUGCAUUACGAAUCGGGACUUAUCUUUACUGGAUGUCUGAAAAAAUGACCUCGACACUAGAUCUUGAAAAUAUUGAUUUCCAAGAUCUUUAAUUUGAGGCAUAGCUUUUUGUUGCAAGAGACCUUCUGCUCUCCAUAACAAGAUAAUUUCUUCUUCCCCAAAUUCAUAAUCUUUAGGAAGUAUGGAGCAAUAUGCAAAACAUCGUUUCAAGUUUGACGGAAGAUGAUGGUAGCUUAAUCGCAAAGCUGGAAUUAUGCCACACUGCUCUUCUGGUAAGUUCCAUAUCUCACUCUCACAUAUUCUUUCCCAUUUUCCAUGAUAUUCAAUCGUGCGAAGCAUGCUUCCAAUGGCUUUUGCAGCCAAAGGUAAGCCAUUGCAUCUUCUAACAAUUUUCUCUCCAAUUUCUUUAAACUGGAGAUGUCCAUCGAAAUUUUUUGCUUUUAAUGCCUGCUGUGUAAAUAUGGAUAAAAUAGUUUAUCCAAAUGAAAAGCUUUGAGCGGAUCCACAAUAGAUGAAACAAUUUGAAGACGAGUGGUUACAAUGAUAUGGGUCCCUGCUCCAAACGGAGACUGUAAGAUGGUCCAAUCAUUAUAAUUCUCGUUCCAAAUGUCAUCUAAAACAAGCAAGAAUCUUUUCCCAGACAACUUCUCCUUCAACUUAACUUGAAGUAAAUCCAAGUUACUGUAAUCACAUGACUCAGAAGUGAUGGACUGUAAAAUUGCCUUUGUUAUAGCAAUUGCAUCAAAUUUAACAGAAACGCAUACCCAGGCCUUGUGGUGAAAAGACUGGUUGAUGGUGGCAUCAUUGUAAACAAGCUGGGCAAGAGUUGUUUUACCCAUCCCUCCCAUGCCGGCGAUGGAAAGGACUGAAACUCCGUUGGAGUUAUCACCUUUGAGAAACUCAAUCAUUUCUGUCUUCUCCUUGUGUCUGCCAACAUACUCCACAACUCCAUCCAGUACGGAAGUUGGUUGCAGCCUAGGUUGCUUUCCCUUGGAGGUUGGAGCUUGAGACAAGAUCUCACUCAACCCCAAACUACUUCUUCGAGUAGUCAAACUAUUCAGUCUAGCAGUGAUCUCUUUCACCUUGGGAAUCAUGGAAUUCUUAAACAGGAAAGAAGUGGGAGCGAAACUAGUACCAGUAAAGCAGGUAGGAAUGAGCUUCCGUACAUUGCUAGUGCUGGCUUGAGCUUGCGAUUUCUUAAGCUUGAGACGUAACUCUUCAUAAGCGAACUCAUCCAAGAUGUCAUCCACAUCGUAAGCCAAGUCCUGGAGAUCCUCCAACCAUUUCUUCACACCCAUGUUCUUGAUCUGCUUCUUCUCUGCAUCUUCCAACACUGCUUGGAUAUCAGGCAAUAUGGACUGCCACUGCUUGAGCUGCUGGUGGAGUUGGUUGUGAUUAGCAACAAAUUUGAGUGCAGAGUCGAGCGAUUUGCCCAACAACAGGUCCAGGAACCCAGAAAGAGCAGCCUCUCCAAUGACAGACAUGUUGGAAUUAUGAGAAAGAAGUUGAAAAGAGCAAUGAACAAAGCCAAAAUGGAAAGUCAGGGAACAAAAAGAGAAAGAAAGGGAAAUGGAAUCUGCAAAAUUAGAGAAAGUUGAAGAAGUUGGCACUAUUUUUUAAGCAUCCAAUAAUUCAGACUAUGAGUUGGGAAGGCAGUGGAACGUGAAAAAGGAUCCCAAGUGGUUGUUGAUGGGGAAAAGACAACGAAAGUGGAAAUUAAAGAGGUCCCAGUAGAGGUGAUCAUGGCUGGGCUGGGCCGGGUUCGGGUCGAGUUUGAAUAAAAUUUUAGACCCAUAUUUUAGGCCGGGCCAGACCGGGCUAAGAAAACAGGUCUAAAUUUUUGUUCGAGCCAAGCCCAAAAGAAAAUUACUAAGCCCAAGCCCGGCCCAACUUGCCCAUAUUAUUUUUUAUAGUUUAUUUCAUUAAAUAAAAAAUUUUAAAACAAAUAUUAAAACAAAAAAAAGACUAAAAUAAUUCUUAAAGCAAUACACAAAUUAAAAAUAUAAUAAAAAGUGGUUAUAUUAAAAUUGAAACAAAUUAGAACUAAAAUAAUAGCCAAAUUAAUAAUAAAACAAAAAUAUAUUUGUUUAAAAAUAAAAAUAUAUAUUUAAUAUAUAAUUCGGGUCGGGCUGGGUCCGGGUCAAAAAAGUUUUACCCCAGCCCGGCCCGUUUUUUAAACGGACCUCUUUUUUUUUUUGCCCAAACCCAUAUUUCGGGCCUAAAUUUUUAGCCGAACUGAUAUAAGAAUGCGCACGGACCAAGAUCGAGUUGCCAAGUCACGGAAAACUCUUAUGAAAACUUGAAACGAUCAGAUCUGAAACGAAUUAGCAUUCAAAUUAAAGAAAUCAAUCAGAUUUUAAAAAUAGACAAUUAGGAUUUGGGGCAGCAAGAAGAGAGGAAAAAUUGAGGGGUCAAACAGUUCUUGAAACCCAAAGGAGGUUGCAAUUCUGCCCAAUUGAACAACGGGGUAGUUUUCCCCAAAUUUUAGCAACCUAAUUUCACCAAAAAGGGAAGGAAUUUUAGUCGGCAAAAACCCUAGAAAUUGGAGAUUUUUGGUGCGAUUCUUGACUGCCAAGAGAGGAGUAUGGAUCGAUUUCUUUAAGUUGGAAUGAACUGAAAACACAACAAGAAGAUCGAUUAAAACAAGAUAAGCAAUCGGCACAAGGCAGAAUUUAAAGAAAAAAUUGACAGCAAGCAGAUAAAGAUAAAGUCAGCCUUGAAAUCCCAAGAGAUUUCACAACUCCCUUCAAACGGCUCUAAUCUUCCCUCCAAUGAAUAUCAAUGGCAAGAAGAAGGUUGAAGAUGGUUCCCACAAUCAAAAAGAUUGUUAAAACAACUUCUAAAAAAAACUCAAGAGAAAAUUCUUAGAGAACUCAAAGAGAAUUUUCACUCAAAACAAAUCUGAAAUUUUCAAUGUGUUUCUUAUGUGUCUUACAAGGGUGGCCGGCCAUGCCUAUUAAUAGGCCUUAAUAUUUUCCUAAUCCUAUUAGAAAACUAAAACUAAAAAAACUCCUAAUUAAAUAUUAAAGAGAAAUUCGAUCAAGGGCUUUAAAUUGGGCCUCUUGAACAGAAUAUUUACAUAACAAUUAAUUUAGAAAGUCUAAAAUUGAAACUAAGAAUUAAUUUUUUACAAAUUGGGCCACUUUACAAUUUGGCCCGAUUUUCAACUAAGUAUGAUUUUAACUUUUUGGUUGGGCUUUGGAAUCGUCUCAUUGGGCCUUGUGGUAAUUUGAGCCCAUCACGUUCUUGAGCUUGAGUUGGGCCUUUGUGACUCGUAUCACGAACCCUCUCAUUUUUCGAGCGGGCCAUCGGGCCGGGCCGGGUAACCCAACCCAUAUUACCUCUAGGUCCCAGUCCAUGAAAUUAUUGCACCCUCUCAUUUCAUAUCUCCCUGCAAUUAUUUGAAUAGCUUUUCUUUAAUUUUUCAUCUAUUUUAAUCAUUGAAUUUGUAUUUAUUUUUAUUAAAUCACUUCAAAAUAAAUAGAAAACCUAAAAGGGUAUACAAUCUUAACAAAGAUAAAAACAUUAAAAUUUUUAUUUAUUUUGAAAUAAUUUGACAAGAAAAUACAAGUUCAAAAGCUAAUUCUUUUUCAUAAAAUUAGAUAACCAAAUCUUUAUGUAUUUCUUUUAUGAGACAAAAGUGGAUUAAAGUGUUUGCAACUCUAAAAUGGAUGGCCGCUCUUUUAUAGGUAUAGAAUUUAAUGAUUCUUAAGAUAAUUUGUUGUGGUCAUUUGAGUUGUUAAUUUGUUAAUAAUAAUAAGGAGAACGAAUAGAAAGUAAUGGCUUGGCUCAUGAAUAAACGACCAAUCCCCGAUAGAAGAGAAGGUUCCAUUGGAACUAUUAUUUAUUUCAGGGUGUCUUGUCUCUCUCUUUUUUUACUUAAAAGAGAGAGAGAGAGAGAGAGAGGAAGUGCUAACAGAAAUGGUAAGAAGAUAUUGGAACAUAAAUUUGGAAGAGAUGUUGGAAGCAGGAGUUCAUUUUGGUCAUGGUCUACUUAUGGCUUCGUGCACUAUUUGUUAGAAUGCAUCAAACACAAAUCUUAAGAUUAAAUUAAAUUCUAAAAAAAUACUAAUACAAAUAAAAAUAUUAAAAUUCAAGAUAAAAAUAUUGAUGUGACAUUAAAUUAUUGAAAAUGGAUACAAAUAUGAUGGUAUCCCAAUUUUAUACUAUCAUAUUCCUCCAAAAUAAUUUUCCUUUUAAUAUGUAUAUUAUACUUUUUGGUUUUGGGCAGAAAUGGAUUGCAAAUGGAAUUUCUUUUCUUCUAUAGUUCUAAUUAUGUUCUUUCUUUUUCUCUUGUAUAAUAUUUCGCCGCCACGCCACCUUCCCAAUUUUUUCCCCUUCUUUUAUUUAAUUCUUGUUGAAUUAUUAGGGGUGUGUAAAUUUUGGAUAAAACCAAAUUAAUUUGGUUAAUUAAACAGUUAAUCGAAUUAAUUCGGUCAAGGGUCAGUUAAUAAUUUUUUGAAAGUUCAGUUAAUGGUUAAUUAGAUAAUUAGUGAACUGAACAAAGACAAAAUGGAAACCCAGGGACCAAAAUAGAAAGAAAGAAAGAUGGAUUCUGUGUAAUUAGUGAAAGUUGAAGAAGUUGGGACAAUAUUUUUUUAAGCAUCCAAUAAUUCAGACUAUGACUUGGAAGGCAUUGGAUUAUGAUAAAGAAGAUGGAUCCCAAGUGGUUGUUGCUGGGAAAAGCAAAUGAAAGUGGAAAUUAAAGAGGUCCCAGUCCAUGAAAUUCUUGCACCCUCCCAAGUGGUUGUUGCUGGGAGAAGACAAUGAAAGUGGAAAUUAAAGAGGUCCCAGUCCAUGAAACUAUUGCACCCUCCCAUUUUUCCGUCCCCGCAUUAGCUUUUCUUUUAGGCAUAAUGAUUACUCCUAAUUUGCAUAAAAAAUAAUUUUAACUCUUAAGUUUAUCUUUCAAUCAAACCACUCUAAAAUAGACCCGACAUACAUGUGAAUUAUAAUCUAGAAAACACAUUAACAUUUAAUUAAUUUUUAAAAUUUAAAAAAUUAAUUAAGUGAACAUUAGUAAAGUUAAAAAAAGUUACAAAUUUAUGGGCUAAAAAAUAAAAAUUUAAAUAGAGAACUAAUUUUUUUUUAAGAAGUCGAAUAAAUUAUUAUGUCUUUCUUUUAUUGGAUCAAAAUAGAUUAAAAUGUCUGCAAUUCUAAAAUGGAUGGACUUAGUAUUUGGAUACAUUAUUAUUUUUACUGGAGAUCGAGAAAAGAUGGACUUUCUAUGAGCCCAUUUUUCUGAUAGGAUUUAUUACCACUUUAGCAACUUUGGCGAUUUAGUCAAUUACUCGAGAUUCACGAUUAUUUUAUUUCUUGAUGCUAGCAAUGUAUAGUGAUCAAAUAGCAUCAUUUCUUCUUAAGACCUUUUACUUUUUUCAUCAUGUGGGAGUUUGAAUUAAUUCUCAUUUAUCUAUUUCUAUCCAUGAAGGGGAAGAAACAUCUAUGCUCGGUUACAAAAUUUAUUUUGUACAUUGCAGGCGGUUUCAUUUUUCUAUUAAUAGGAGUUUUGCGUCCCGGUUUAUACGGUUCUAAUGAACCAACAUUAAAUUUUGAAAUAUUAGAUCAUUUAGAUAAUCAAUCAUAUCCUGACACACUAGAAAUAAUAUUCUAUAUUGAACUUCUCAUUACUUUUUCUAUCAAAUUGUUGACUAUACUCUUACAUACAUGGUACGAUAUAAAAAAUUUCAAUAAAAAAAUAUAAAAUUAUUAAAUAUUAAAAUAAUAUAAUAUAAAUAUUUUUAAAAAAAUAAAAUUAAUAUGAACAGGGCUAACAUGAGUUUGGAUUAAUCUUAUGUAAAUAUAGACGGGUUUGAGCAACAUUUUAAGCCUAAAUUUUAGGCUGGGUCAGAUUUAGAUAAACAUAAAGUAAGUUAAUAUCAUGCUUAGACCCAACCAGUCUAUGAAUAUAUUUACUAACGAGGGACCUUUGUUUUGAAUUUUGUAAUAGCCUUUGUCCAUUGUCCCGAUUUCCAAGUAAAUGAACGUUGAGCUCCAUGCCAAUGGCAUCAAAAUAAUUAUCUCCAUUAACAACAAAAUAUAGUCCAACACAAGAAGGGAGUACUAGAAGAACAUAUUCUCCAUCUCAUAAACAUUUGAUAACAUCACUGUUGAAGCCUUUCAAAGCAGGGGAAAUCCAUAUAAAGUGUGAUAGAAAGCCCACUGUGACACAUUUAGCUUUCAAGCUUCAGAUUCCCUGUCUUACAAAAAUGACCAAAUAAUAUAUCACGUUUACAAUAUUAUCUGUCUUACAAAAACCAAAUAUCAGUGAACCACCAUCUUUGCCUAUCUUUUAAAGGGUUUCAUACAUGUGGUCUGAGCAUGACAAAAUAAGGGAUGCUCUGAAAUUUUGAUGAUGCAUCCAUCCAUGAUCACAGCAGUUGUGUACGAAAAUGAAAAACAACAUACUUUCUUUAGAAUGCAAAAAACUUGAUUAUAUUGAUAUGAAGCAGUAACCAAAAUGGUUAAAUGAAGUUUUUCAGUCAGUCACUUAGACACUGAGUUCAUUAAUGUCGUUCAAUCCACAUGAUCGAAAAAGCAGUUCCUCAUCAAGUGAAUUAAUGCAGCUCGAAAGUAGCUUUCAAAUGGAUGUAUCAUCUGAGAAUUUCCAAGAACUAGGAUGGCCAACUUUGAGAUCAGCAGACUAUAGUUUGUGGGAACACUGAGGCUGCAAGUUCAAAAGAAGUAUAAUCUCAAUGUCAUCAGUGUUUUACAAGUGAGAAAACCCCAAAUUGCAGGUCAGUGAACUCUCUUGUGUUAAUGCUUAAAUCUAGCUCUUUAACUACAUGCCGUACUGCGUAGUGUAUCCCUUCCUUAUCCUGAGAGGAUCAAUAAUAGACUGGUGACGACUCGUAUCCUUACACAAUAACAGGAAUCUGUCCACAAAGAUCAUAUGAAACUAUCAAGUAAAUUAAGACUUAUUCUUUUGAAAUACCAUUGGUCAAUAUUACAAUGGAAUGUCAAAUAUUUUCAACUAAAAUCCCAUUUCCAAGUACAAAGGUUAUAACAAUUGCAUUUGAAAACAUUGUCUUAAAAAAAAAUAGUUAAUAUAUUAUGGAAAAUUUUAGAAAGAUGAAGAGAAAGUCUAGGAUUGGCAGACCAAUGUCGAAAAGAAGGAUCGACUGACUAUACGGCAUAUUCCAAGUCCAUUCCAAAAUUAGUCUGUGCCAACCCAUAUUCUGAGAGCUAAGCAAACAUAUACGCAAAGGAAGCUUAGAAAUCAGAACAUGCAGAUGAAAACUGAACAUUCAAUUUGCUGAACAUCAAAUCAAAUAAGCUAAAAGGAAGGCUAGUUGAAUUCAUCCGCUAUUUUUGCCAAAUUAGUUUUCAAUGCCUGAAAAAUUGAAUACAAAUUAUAUAAGACUGAUUGCUAUUAUCUUGUUAUUCUGAGGACAAUCACAUAUGUGGAACUAUGGAACUAAAAAUGCUAUGAAAUUGCUUAAUGUUUAAAAUGGUUUCACACCUGUGGUUUAAGUGUGGAGAAACCAGUGCCAGGUUUUGCUGCUUUACUUUCAAUCUAAUUCCCUUGGGAUGACUGUUUUAUACUGAAAACGGACAUAAGGGAUGUGGGCAAUCUUGGACCACUGUCGACCUUUACCCCUACUGCACCCUUCUUCUAGCAACGGGCAAUUGAAAAUAUGUAGCUGCUCAAGUGAGAGAAGCAUAUCUUUUUCUGGAAGAGAUGUGAGUUUUGGACAAUUACUUAUUUCCAAUUCGUGAAGUGAAGUGAGGUGUUGAAAGCCCUUGGAGCACAUGAAUUCCAAAUUCUCAAAAUUUUCAAUGCAGAUAGAUGUUAGAGAAGGAGGCAGCAUUCUUCCUAUCCCUUCUUCUGGAAAUGACACCACACGUGAGCAUCCCUCACCGCCGAUAUUGAGCUCUUGAGUGGAGGUGAGUCUAUUUAAUCCCCAUUCAACAAGUGAUGUAUACAUUUUGGGUCCAUUUGAGAUUUCAAGUGAUGUGAGAUUCGUAGGGAAACCCUCUUCUGGGAAUGACACCACACGUGAGCAUCCCUCACCGCCAAUAGUGAGCUCUUGAGUAGAGGUGAGUCUAUUUAAUCCCCAUUCAACAAGUGAUGUAUAUAUUUUGGGUCCAUUUGAGAUUUCAAGUGAUGUGAGAUUCGUAAGGAAACCUCUUCUGGGAAGGAUAUAUCAGCUGAACACUAUAUAAAUAGUUAAAUGAAAAGACAAAAAGCAAACUCGUAAUAUUAUUUGUUAUCUUUUAAAUAAGGAUUUUUAUUUAAAGUUAUUUUUCAACCAAAUUGAUCUUUAGUUAAACUCGUGGCUUCAACUCAGUUAUAUAACUAUAUAUAGUAUAAUUAACAAACAAUAAAAUUGAAAUUGACAUACAUGUAUGCUGUGUGUAGCCUUAAAUACUCCUGUUUCAUGGUGUUAACCUCAAUUCCUUGCAACUUCUUUUUUUUAACAAAAAAAAAAGAAAAAUACGCACACACAAUAUUAGAAAUGUAAUUAUUAUUAUCGAUCGAGUCUUAAUUCAAUUGGCAUUAAUAUUAUUAUUUAUGCAAAGAGGAUAUCAAUAUAUAUAUAUACCUCAACUUGUUGCUCAUCAAAAGGGUGUUCUUGAGAAUGAUCUUCUUCCAUUCCUUUGCUGUACCUUGAAAGAGUGUAUUCUAUGCUACAUCCCUAAAAUGUCAUGUUUAAAAAAAUAACAAUAAAUUAAAAAUAAAAUUCUAACUCAUUAUUAUUGUUUGGACUUGAGCCGAUCAAAUUUAUGACAAGUUAUUCUUAACUUAUCGGAACUAUUUAUAUAUCAUUUUUGUUUUAAUAUGAGCAUGUGUUGUAAAAGUAUUAUAUAUAUAAUAUACUUGCAAAUAUUUCUUAAUUAUAAUAUGUAAAUAUAAAUUUUAAAAUUAUUAAUUAAUUUCAAUAAUUUAAUGAAUGGUUAUAUAUUAUUUUUAAAAGCAAUUAUAUAAGAAAGUAGUUAAGAAAGAAAAGAGAAAUAUUAAAAAUCCCUUUAUAGGAAUUAAUACUCAACGAUACAAGAAUAUAUUAAUUGAAAUGAGUCAAAACUCAAUGAAAUUUUAAUUGAUGUGAAACUUAAACUAUUUUAUUCUAGUUCAAUAUUGAGACGAUUCAUAACGAUUGAUACAACCAGUAUCGAAACUACCGACUACCAUACUACAAAGCGAAAAGAAAAUAAUGGAAAUCAAUCAAAUUACAACUCAACUUACUUUCAUGCUUAGAAAAAAAACAGUUCUAAAAAAUAAUCAUCCAAGAAAAUAAAUAUAUAUAAGUUUUAUAGACCGUUACAAACUAAUAUACACUCAUAUAAGUCGAUAUUAAUCAAAACACAAUAAAUUUUUAACUGAAACGAAACUUAAACUACUUUAUAUUAAUUCAAUAUUGAGACGAUAGCCAAUUAUUAAGAAAAGAAAAACAAUGGAAAUCAAUCAAAUUAUAGGUCAACUUACUUUCAUGCUUACAAAAGAAAUUGCUAAAAUUAAAAAUUGAAAAAAUCCCAGAUUUCGAUUAUUAAAAAUCAUCUAUAAUAUAUAUAUAUAAAUAAGUAUUAUACUAUAUUAUAUACCUAGUGCUGGACCAUUGAUAGACCUUGCCGCUGCUUGAAAAAAUAAUAACCCCAACCUCUGCAUCACAUAAAAUGGACAAUUCUUUAGCUUUCUUCAACAACCCAUUUUGCCUCUUUGAAAACGUUACUUGCUUGCUAUUCAAAAUUUCAAUCUUUUUUAUUUGAAUUUUCCCUCUACCCAUCUGAAAAUUUUCUUCUUUCCUUUACUUUUUCCCGGAAAAUUUUUAAAGGAAAAGUUAAACCCCAGAUUUUUUUUUUCUUAAAUUUUGAAAAAAACCAAAGGUUUUUAUAACAACAAACCGAUCAAAGAAAAUAAGGCAAAAAAUUUAGGGGAUUGUAAAAGGAUUCUUUUUUUAAGAGAAAAGAAAAUAAGUAAGUAAUGUUUAUAUAUAACAAUGGUUUUCUUAAAUGGAAAUGGAAAAUGAUAUGGAAAAAGAAAAUAUGUGACCAAAAUUAGGGUGAAAGCUUGAAAGGUGACAGAUUUGAUACUAUAUCUACCAAUUAUCCAACUAUGGAAACUCUAUUUAUUAUAAGUUUAGUUUAUUUUUUCUAUUUAUCUUAAUUUCUCUACCUUUUUACUCUCCUGUUUUUGGUAUUUCAACUCAAAAUGGAUUUUAUUUUUGCUUUGGGUUUCUUUUUUUUAAUAUAAAAAGUGGUUUUUAAUUAUUUAUAUAUUAUUAAUGUGUUUUAACAAUUUUUGUUAGUGAAUAUUGAUUUUUUUUUUGUGAAUUACAAUAGGAGGGCAAAGCCCUAAUAACAACACGACUAGUGCAAUUCGAAUGUAGGCCACACUUGAGACGUUGAACACAAGUAUUUCACGAGGACAUAUAACACAUGUUUUUUGUUUUUAAAUUCAUGGCUAAAAUAAUAAAAAAAACCUCUUUAUUUUAUUGUAUUCAAAUAAUAAUAAAAACCAUGGUUUUAGUCGCACCGGCCGGUGCCGCCGUUCUACUGUUAUAGCGCAACAAGCAACACCCUUUUCUAUACUAAUGAAAAUUUUGGCUUGUACCGUUCGCAUUGACCGAAACAUGGUACACUUGCUGCUGCAUGAAUAGUGUUAAAAAAUAUAAAACUUUUAAUUGUAUGUUUUCUAUUAGACUAAUAUUUAAUUGAAAUGUAUUGACCAAUAAAAAAAAUAUUACACUAGAAAGUAAAGUUUAACAUUUAAAAUUUUUUUAGAGCAUACUUUUUCAUUUAAAAUAUAAAAAUUAAAAUAUAAUAAAAAAACUCACUCACCUCGUUAUCAUAGAAAAAUAUCCACUCGCCCUUAAACUUUUUUUAUUGAAAAAAUCCUCUCAUCCUUCGAUUUUUUUUUCUUCUUAAUUUUGAAUUUAUUAAAUGAUGAGUUUUUACUUGUGGAGUUUAUUAAUCAAUAUUUUAUAUAAUUGAUGAAUAGUUUUAUAUUAGAAAUUUAUUUAUAACAAUUUAUUUGAUAUUUGUAUAUUUAUUUAUAUAAAUAUAUUAAAUAUUUUAAAAAAUAUCUAUAAAUUCAAAGUGGUACAUAAAAUAGACUAGUAUCAAUACAUACCGGUUCUCAUAGAAAAGUAGUACUUACACCAAUGUGGUAAUGGCUACCUUGAAAGCAAGUAUGUGGGUGGCUAUAAUGUUUGAUGCUUUAUUUUCUUUGAAUAUUUUGCUUUGAUGCUUUUGAUAUGUGCUGAUCUUUGAGUGUAACCUUUGGGAUAUAUAUGGCCAUCUGAAUUUUUAUGAUUUGCUAUGCAUUGAUUUUGGUUGUUUUAUUAAUAAAUUUAUGUUUUGGAUUGAGAAAAAGAAUAAGAAAUUCAAAACACAAAAAAGAAAGUAGAGAAAGUGAACAUAAUAAUAUACGUGGUUCGCGAAUAUUCCCUACAUCCACGGGCAGAACCAAAAACGAAAUUCACUACUAAAAAUUGGAGAUUACAAUAGAAUUACAUCAUAAAAAUAAAAUACCUUGCCAAUAACUAUCCACAAACUUUGAAUGGAUUCAUGGUCUUAGAAAUUCGAAAAACUAAGAUGGACAUCUUUGAGAUUGGACAGAACAAUAUUUUGGGAACUCUGUUAUCUUACAUGUGUUAAAUUGAGCUCUCUAAUACCAUGUUGUAACGUGUACUGUAUCCCUCCAUUCAUCCUGCAAGGAUCAAUACCAUGUCUACAGUGAUGACGAAAUCUGUUGGCACUGAUAUCCUUAUGCAAUAACAGAAAUCUAUCCACAAAGAUCAACAAACUCUCACGUAAAAGACUUGUUCUUCUGAAAAACCAUUGGUUAAUAGUACUACGAAAUGUCAAAUAUUUUUAACUAAGAUCCCAUUAUCAUAUACCAAAAUAGCUUAGAUAUUGGAAGAUGCAAAUGAAAACAGGACAUUCAAUUUGCUGAAUAAAUGUUGCAGAGAAUUGACUAACCGCUUUACUAAAUCAAAUAAGCUGAAGCAGAUGAGUUGAAGUUCACUAUUUUUCGCCAAUUUAGCCUUCAAUGCCUGCAAAAAUUGAAUACAAAAUAUAUAAGAUUCAUUUCUGUUAUCAUGCUGUUCAUGAGGUCAAUCAGAUAUAUAAAAAAUAAAGCUAUGAAAUUUAUAAAUGCUUAAAAUCCAUUUCACACCUGUGGUUUGAGUGUGGAGAAAUCGAUACCAGAUUUUGCUGCUUAACUUUCAAUUUAAUUCCCUCGGGAUGACUGUUUUAAAAUCAAUUUUAACAAAAGGUAUGUGGGAAAUCUUGGACCACUCUCGUCCUUUACCCCUACUGCACCCUUCUUCUAGCUAGCAACGGGCAACGCCAAAUAAAUAGACGCUCAAGCGAGAGAAGCAUAUCUUUUUCUGGAAGAGAGGCGAGCUUAGGACAAUCAUAGAUGGCCAAUCGUUGAAGAGAGGUGAGGUGUUGUAAGCCCUUGGAGCACAUGAAUUCCAAAUUUUCAAAUCUAUGGAUGCUGAUAUCGGUGAGAGAAGGAGAAGCAUCAUUCCUAUCGCUUCUUCUGGAAAUGACACCACAUGUGAGCAUCCUUCACCGCUGAUGUUGAGUUUUUGAGGAGAGGUGAGUCUGUAAAAUCCCCAUUCAACAAGUGAUGUAUAAAUUUUGGGUGCGUUUGAGAUUUGAAGUGAUGUGAGGUUGGUAGGGAAACCCUCUUCUGGAAAGGAUAUGUCAGCUGAACACUUCCACACUGCUAAUUCUCGAAAGGAGGUGAAGUUGUUGAUGCACUUGGUAAGGGCUCUAAAAUUUUCACAACCCCCAAUUGAGAGAACUCUGAGAUUUGUGGUGGGCAACCCACUUUCUUCCAAUGAAACAAGAUUUGGACACCUAAAUAAUCGAAUCUCCUGAAGAUGGCUGAGCUUGUCUAAUCCCCGAGGUAAUGAUUUAAUUUUUUCAGCAUCAUGAAUGACAAUGCUUUCGAGAUCAGUGGUUUCAAGGAAGUCUUGGGCUAUGCAUUCCAACAUUGGACAAUCCCCGAUAAAUAACUGUUUAAGCAUUACGGGUAACUUGGCAUUUAAAACUAAGCUACUUAGCUUUGAACAACAUCGAAUUUUGAGAUGUUGAAACCGAUUGCAUAUAUCGUCCCUUGAUGAUAACCAUAUUAGAGAUGGACAGCAGCUUAUAUCUAAGCGCUCAAGAAGACAAGUGUUGGUACUCAUACUCUUAUUAGUAUUUUCUUUUUCAUCAACCAAAUAUUGCAAAUUCACGCAAUUCACAAUCCUCAGCUCUUUUAAAGCAGGGGGAAAGUUACUCUCUGCAAAACAAACCAAGCCGGGACAGUCUCCAAGUGUUAUUCUUGUAAUGAAUGGGAAAGCAUGUAAGGCUUCUGGUAGUCUACUGAGCCUUUCACAAUCUCUUAUAAACAGAGAUUCAACACCUGGAAUCUUGUCAAGUUGCAAUCUCUCCUCCUCUGCUGCCAAAGAGACCAAUUGGGGACAACUGACAAUCUCAAUGAAUCGGUGCCCGACUAAUCUUAACCCAAUUUGCGAUAAAGAUCCCAACUCCCAACCAGAGAUCUUAAAUGUUUCGGAGUUUGCAAAUCUCAAAAGUAUCCUCUCUGCCGAAAUAUUACACUUUGAAAUAUUUGAAAGAGACGCAUGUUUCAAAGAGGUAACCUUCUGUACAGACAAAGAACCUUCAUCCACCAAUUCUUCACACCCUGCAAUGCUUAAUUCACACAGCAAGGGAAAACUUGAAAUUGAAACUACCAGUCUCUGACACUCAUAGAUUUCAAGUUUCUGCAAGGAUUGAAGGAUGGUUGGCAACCUUCCCAACAAUAGAGGACAUUUUGUGAUUGAAAGAAAACGAAGGCUGGGGAAUUUCGAUACUUGCUCAUCAUCUUCACAAAGGUCCCACUCCUCCCAAUUCAGCAUAUUGUCAAAGCACAAAGAUUCUAAUGAUGCAAAAGCAUUUGAUUGAUUUUCUCCUAACAACUCAGCACCAAUCUUGUGUACUUGACGCAAACCACCAAUUGAAAGAUCUUUUAACAACAGCAACCUUCCAAUCGAUGGUAGAGAUUUGCAAUUUUGACAGUUGCGGAGCUCCAAUGACAACAUAUUUUUGAAGGAAGAAUCUGCAAUCCAAGUAGAGAAUUUUGCACCACUAAAAUUCUGAAUGACGAGUUGCUCAAGCUUUUUCGAAGGAUGAAGAGAAUCUAACACCCAUUCUUCAACUUCUUUUUUCCUUGUGUCCCAACUCCAUUUCAAUACCAAUCAAUCAAUCCCCUGCUUCUCAUUUAACUUGGCUUCCCCUGCAUCUUCAUUAACAUUCUCCAACCCAGAAAGACAAAAAUAACCUUUGAGGUUUGACAAAUAUUUCAAUUCUCUGAUACUAUGUCCAUCACCUUCCCCUAUGAUAAAAUUUGAUAACCUUUGAAGAUUCGUUAGCUUAUCAAUUCUGAAAGGAAUCCUUUCUAUUAAGUCAGCAACUUUGAUAUUGAGAUAAUGUAAGUUGACAAGAUUUCCCAUCUUUGAAGGUAACCUUUGAAGCUUCCAACACCGUCUCAAUAAUAAAGUUUCCAAAUGGUAAAGAGUGCACAAAGAAUCAGGUAGGCAUUUGAUAUGGGUGUUAGAAAAAUUCAAGUAGCGAAGAUGUUUUAAAUUUUCAAAAACAUCAGGUAACUCUUUUAUCUUAUACCCACUCAAACAAAGCACCCCUAAGUAGCCAAGUCUUGGCAACAGAUCAAGCAAAACAACAUUAGUUAAAAAAGGCCCCCAAACAUAAUUUCUAGAAAAUAUUAAGGGUAGAAAAGUACGUAAUGAUUUCACUUGAUCAAAUGCUUCGAACUUCUUCACUGUGUCAUAUUCUCCAGCAAUAUAAGAAGAAUGCCGAGUGCGAUUCGAUAACUUUUGUUGCAUAUCACCCUCCUGUUUGGAGCAUAUGUCUCCCGCAACUACUUGAGCUAAAUCAUUGAUGAAGUCAUGCAUUACAAAUCAGGACUCAUCUUUACUGGAUGUCUGAAAAAAUGACCUUGACACUAGAUCUUGAAAAUAUUGAUUUCCAAUAUCUUUAACUUGAGGCAUAGCCUUUUGUUGCAAGAGACCUUCUGCUCUCCAUAACAAGAUAAUUUCUUCUUUUUCAAAUUCAUAAUCUUUAGGAAUUAUGGAGCAAUAUGCAAAACAUCGUUUCAAGUAUGACGGAAGAUGAUGGUAGCUUAAUCGCAAAGCUGGAAUUAUGCCACACUGCUCUUCUGGUAAGUUCCAUAUCUCACUCUCAUAUAUUCUUUCCCAUUCUCGAUGAUAUUUAACUGUGCGUAGCAAGCUUCCAAUAGCUUUUGCAGCCAAAGGUAAGCCAUUGCACCUUCUAAUAAUUUUCUCUCCAAUUUCUUUGAACUGGGGAUGUCCAUCGAAAUUUCUUGCUUUUAAUGCAUGCUGUGUAAAUAUCGAUAAACAAUCAUCAUCUGAUAGUUUAUCCAAAUGAAAAACUUUGAGGGGAUCCACAAUAGAUGAAACAAUUUGAAGACGAGUGGUUACAAUGAUAGUGGUCCCUGCUCCAAACGGAGACCGUAAGAUGGUCCAAUCAUUAUAAUUCUCGUUCCAAAUGUCAUCUAAAACAAGCAAGAAUCUUUUCCCAGACAACUUCUCCUUCAACUUAACUUGAAGUAAAUCCAAGUUACUGUAAUCACAUGACUCAGAAGUGAUGGACUGUAAAAUUGCCUUUGUUAUAGCAAUUGCAUCAAAAUUAUCAGAAACGCAUACCCAGGCCUUGAGAUCAAAAGACUCGUUGAUGGUGGCGUCAUUGUAAACAAGCUGAGCAAGAGUUGUUUUACCCAUCCCUCCCAUACCGACGAUGGAAAGGACUGAAACUCCAUUGUAGUUAUUACCUUUGAGCAACUCAAUCAUUUCUGUCUUCUCCUUGUGUCUGCCAACAUACUCCACAACUCCAUCCAGUACGGAAGUUGGUUGCAGCCUGGGUUGCUUUCCCUUGGAGGUUACAGCUUGAGACAAAAUCUCACUCAACCCCAAACUACUUGUUGAAGCCGUGGCCUGCAUUGCAACAAAGAACCAACAGCAACAAAUUGGUCAAAAGACCAGCAGCAGCAGCAAAUUGUACAAUUUUAGCUGCUAUACUAUUUUGUAGCAAAGAAAUGGAGUUGGUUCAGUUAUAAAAUUAUUUUUUGAAUACUUGUUCCUAUGGAACUUAGCCUAAAUCUUUGUAAUGAGUUAGCUAAGUUAGUAGGAAAGAUUGACUGAUGUAAUAGCUGGUAUGCCAGCUUUCUUUUGUAUACAAGUUGCUAUAUUUUUUAGUAAGUAUUAAGUAAGAGCAGUUAAAUUAGUAGGUAACUGUCAAAUACUUUUGUAACCUUCAUAUAUUCAAAAUUUGAAUGAAACUAUGAUGACUUUUCAUUUUACAAAUUUUCUUGCUGAGUUCUUUUCUUUUGUUUUUCUUUCAUUCGUUUUUUACUUUCUUUGCUACUGCCAUUUAUCCAACAAAUGGUAUCAAGAGCUUUCAGUCUUUGAGGGCCUUGGUUGUACACUGUCACUAAGCAAAUUGUGUUUGAAACAAAAGAAGAAGAGGUUGUUUUGCUUGCUGAAAAAUGAGUUUUACACCACCUCUUCCACCUGUCUUUGCUGGAGAAAAUUACAACAUCUGGGCAGUGAAAAUGAGAACAUACAUGCAGGCACACGACCUGUGGAAUGUUGUUCUCAAUGACACUGAGCCACCACCACUAAGAGCCAACCCGACUAUAGCCCAGAUUAGGCAGCACAAUGAAGACUGUGCCAAGAAGUAUAAGGCUAUGUUGUGCCUUCAAAGUGGAGUUUCUGAUGUUAUUUUCACAAGAAUAAUGGCUUGUGACUCUCCAAAGCAGGCCUGGGACAAACUCAAGGAGGAGUUUCAGGGGUCUGACUAGACCAGGCAACAGCAGCUGAUCAACAUGAGAAGAGAUUUUGAAAAUCUCAAAAUGAAGGACUCAGAAACCAUCAAGCAGUAUGCUAACAGAAUCAUGGCUACUGUCAACAACAUAAGGCUGCUUGGGGAAGAAUUCAGUGACCAAAGAGUGGUUGAGAAGGUCAUAACAACCUUGCCAGAGAAUUAUGAAGCAAAAAUUUCUUCUCUGGAAGAUUCAAGGGACUUGUCAACAAUCCCUUUGACAGAGCUUAUAAAUGCUCUCUAUGCUCAAGAGCAGAGAAGGGCAAAUAGGCAGGAGGACCACUAUGAAGGAGCUUUUCAGGCUAGAAGCAGAGAAAGCUCAAGUGCAAACUUAAAUGCCAAAGGCAAGAAGCCCUGGACUGAGAAGAAGAAGAAAGAACCUGUCAAAAGGAAGUUCCCACCUUGUGUCCAUUGCAAGAAGACUACUCAUCUUGAGAAAUACUGCUGGUACAGACCAGACAUUCAAUGUAGAGCCUGCAAGCAAUUUGGCCACAUUGAAAAGGUCUGUAAGAGCAAGCGAAAACCACAACCACAAUUUCAAAGCCAAGCUCAAGCUGCAGAAGAGGUUGAAUCACCAGAAGACCAUGUCUUUUCAGCAUCAUGCUUUGCAAGCUCGAGCAAAGUUAGUAAAAUAUGGCUGAUUGACAGUGGAUGUACCCACCAUAUGGCUUCUGAGAAGAGUAUAUUUAAGGAGCUUGACACCACCUUCAAGUCCAAAGUCAAAAUUGGCAAUGGUGAGCUGCUGGAGGCAAAAGGGAAAGGCAAGGCUUUGAUAAGCACUAAGUCAGGUAUUAAAACCAUUUUAGAGGUUCUCUAUGUACCUGACAUUGACCAAAACUUGCUAAAUGUUGGCCAGCUAUUGGAUAAGGGUUACUCUCUGAUUUUUGAAGGCAAAAACUGUUUGAUCAAAAAUGCUGCUGGUGAAGUGUUGACUACAGUGGCUAUGCAAGACAGAACCUUCAUUGUGGAUGUGAAUCAACUGCAAGCCAAGGCAUACGCAUCUCAGUCUGAUGAGACAGACUUGUGGCACAGGAGGAUGGGGCAUGUGAACUACAAUUCACUGAACAUACUGCACAAAAUGGAUUUGGUCAGUGAUAUGUCCAAAAUUGAGCCAAAGGAUGCUGUAUGUAAGGUCUGUCAGCUAGGCAAACAGACCAGAUUACCCUUUCCAGUCAACAAGGCAUGGAGAGCACAAGGGAAGCUUCAGCUUAUUCAUACAGACAUCUGUGGACCAAUGAAGACUACCUCCUUAAAUGGCAGCAGGUACUUUGUACUCUUCAUUGAUGAUUAUUCAAGGUUCUGUUGGGUAAAUUUUUUGAAGCAUAAGUCAGAUGUUUAUGACUUUUUCUGCAAAUUUAAAGCCUUGGUCGAAAACCAAGCAAAUUGCAAACUAAAAUGUUUGAGGUCUGACAAUGGUUCUGAGUAUGUAUCUCAGAAGUUUCAAAAAUUGUGUGAUGAUGCUGGAAUUCAACACCAAUUGACUACUGUGUACACACCACAGCAAAAUGGUGUUUGUGAAAGGAAAAACAGAACAGUCCUUGAUAUGGCUAGGUGUUUGUUAUUUGAGGCUAAAAUGCCUAAUGUUUUUUGGGCUGAAGCUGUGAAUACAGCUAUUUACCUGUUGAAUAGGUUGCCAACUAAUGCAGUCAAAGGAAAAACUCCCUUUGAAGCCUGGUUUGGACAGAAACCAUCUGUCUCUCAUUUGAAGGUAUUUGGCUGUCUAUGUUAUGUGUUGGUACCUGAGGAGAGAAGAACUAAGUUAGACAGGAGGUCCAUGCCUGGGGUGUUUGUUGGCUACAGCAAUGUGAAGAAAGGAUACAGAGUCUUUGAUCCACUGACCAAGAAGGUUGUAGUGAGCAGAGAUGUGAAAUUCAGUGAAGCAAGUAGCUGGAAAUGGGAUGGAAUUGAAGCAAAUUUGCCAGAUGGAGAAGAGAUUGAUGUUGAUCUGCAGUAAGCUGAAAAUGAAGAAGUAACUGAAAAUGGCUAUGAUGAUGAACCUGUUCGAGGCACUAGGACAUUAACAGACAUCUAUGAGAGAUGUGCAGUAACCAUAGUAGAGCCUUCAUGUUUUGAAGAAGCUGCAAAAGAAAAGUGCUGGCAGGAUGCUAUGGAAACUGAAUUUAAAAUGAUUCAGAAAAAUGAUACAUGGGAGCUUGUGGAUAGACUUGAAAACAGAAGAAUCAUUGGUGUCAAAUGGGUCUUUAGGACUAAAAACAAUGCUGAUGGUACUUUGAACAGACACAAGGCCAGAUUGGUUGUAAAAGGUUAUAGUCAGCAGCAAGGGGUUGAUUUUUCUGAGACUUUUGCACCUGUUGCAAGGUUGGACACUAUCAGACUGCUGCUUGCUUUGGCAGCUCAAAAGCACUGGAAGGUGCACCAUUUAGAUGUUAAGUCAGCCUUUCUAAAAGGCUUUCUUAAUGAAGAAAUAUUCACUGAGCAACCUGAGGGUUUUGAGGUCCCUGGUGAAGAACAGAAGGUUUACAAGUUGAAAAAGGCCUUAUAUGGCCUAAAACAGGCUCCAAGAGCCUGGUAUGAGAGGAUUGAUGGCUACUUAGCAAUGCUCGGGUUCACAAAGAGUAUCAGUGAGCCUACACUCUAUGUUAAGAAGGAUCAGAAGGAAACUUUGCUAAUUGUUUCCUUGUAUGUUGAUGAUCUGCUAGUCAUUAGCUGUAAAGAUGAACUGGUAGAAGACUUUAAGAAGCAGAUGCAACAUGUCUUUGAGAUGACUGACCUUGGUCUAAUGACCUAUUUUCUUGGUAUGGAAAUCAAACAAGGAAGUGAUGGUAUUUUCAUAAGUCAACAAACAUUUGCUUCCAAGGUGCUUGAAAAAUUUUGCAUGUUGAAAUGCAAAUCAGUCACUACACCAGUUGCAUUGGGGGAAAAAUUAUCAAGUGUCAGUGAGCAUGAUCGAGUAGAUGAGAGAGCAUAUAGAAGCUUAAUUGGUUGUUUGCUUUAUUUAACAGCAACUAGACCAGACAUUGUCUAUACUGUUAGUCUACUUUCAAGGUUUAUGCACUGCAGUAAUGUGGCACAUUUGAAGGCAGCAAAAAGAGUGUUAAGGUAUGUCAAAGGAACCAUCGAUGCUGGUGUAAAGUUUUGGAGGGCAAAUGAGCUGAAACUCUUAGGCUAUUCUGAUAGCGAUUGGGCAGGGUCAGUUGAUGACAUGAGGAGCACUUCAGGUUAUUUUUUCACCUUAGGCUCGAGUGUUUUCAGCUGGAGUUCGAAGAAGCAACAAACUGUUGCACAAUCUACAGCAGAGGCUGAGUAUAUCUCAGCUGCAGCAGCUGUGAACCAAGCCAUUUGGCUUAGGAAGAUUUUGGAUGAUUUGAAUGAAAAUCAAGCUCAGCCUACUGAGAUUAGAGUGGAUAAUCAAUCAGCUGUGGCCAUAGCCAAGAAUCCAGUAUUCCAUGGUAAGACUAAACACUUCAAAAUCAAAUUCCAUUUUGUUAGAGAAGCUGAGCAAUCUAGGGAGGUUAGCUUAGUUCAUUGCAGCUCAGAAAUUCAGCUAGCUGACAUUUUAACUAAACCAUUGGGAGCCAACCGAUUUAAUGCUUUGAAGGAAAGGAUUGGUGUUUGUUGCAUACAGACCAAGGAGGAGUGUUGAAGCCGUGGCCUGCAUUGCAACAAAGAACCAACAGCAACAAAUUGGUCAAAAGACCAGCAGCAGCAAAUUGUACAAUUUUAGCUGCUAUACUGUUUUGUAGCAAAGAAAUGGAGUUGGUUCAGUUAUAAAAUUAUUUUUUGAAUACUUGUUCCUAUGGAACUUAGCCUAAAUCUUUGUAAUGAGUUAGCUAAGUUAGUAGGAAAGAUUGACUGAUGUAAUAGCUGGUAUGCCAGCUUUCUUUUGUAUACAAGUUGCUAUAUUUUUUAGUAAGUAUUAAGUAAGAGCAGUUAAAUUAGUAGGUAACUGUCAAAUACUUUUGUAACCUUCAUAUAUUCAAAAUUUGAAUGAAACUAUGAUGACUUUUCAUUUUACAAAUUUUCUUGCUGAGUUCUUUUCUUUUGUUUUUCUUUCAUUCGUUUUUUUCUUUCUUUGCUACUGCCAUUUAUCCAACACUACUUCUUCGUGUAGUCAAACUAUUCAGUGAAUCAGUGAUGUCUUUCACCUUCGUGAUCAUAGAAUUAUUAAACUGAAAAGAAGUGGGAGGGAAAAUACUACGAAUAAUCCUUUCAGGAAUGAAUUUCCGGAUCUUACUAGGUCUGGCUUGAGCUUGAGUGUCUUGGAGAUUGAGGCGUAACUCUUCAUAAGCAAACUCGUCCAAGAUGUCAUCCACAUCGUAAGCCAAGUCCUGGAGAUCCUCCAACCAUUUCUUCACACCCAUGUUCUUGAUCUGCUUCUCCUCUGCAUCGUCCAACACUGCUUGGAUAUCAGGCAAUAUGGACUGCCACUGCUUGAGCUGCUGGUGGAGUUGGUAGUGAUCAGCAACAAAGUUGAGUGCAGAGUCAAGCGAUUUGCCCACCAACAGGUCCAGGAACCCAGAAAGAGCAGCCUCUCCAAUGACAGACAUGGUGGAAUUGUGAGAAAUAAGGUGACAAGAGAAAUGAGCAAAGCCAAAAUGGAAAGCCAGGGAACAAAAAAGAAGGAAAGGGAAAUGGAAUCUGCAAAAUUAGAGAAAGUUGAAGAAAUUGGCACAAUAUCCUUGAAGCAUGUAAUAUAAUAAUUCAGACUAUGAGCAAUGAGUUGGAAGUCACUGGGUACAGAUAAAGAAGCUGCUUUUCGUGUUAAUGGGAAAGGAAAAAUGGAAAUGAUUUGAAUUUUGAUGCUCUUCUUUUCUCUUACUUUUGGUCAUUAUCCUAAAUUGACCUUCACCGUAUAUGUAAUUUAAUUAAGCAUCAAAGUAUUAUAUUCCUCACAACUUUAUCGCCAAAAUAUCGCCAACACCAAUACUCUAAAUUUUUGAAUCACAAAUAUUUACAUUAUUUAGCAUAUAGAAAAAAAUCCAAAAUUAAAUGAUAAUUUUUACAAUUUUAUAAUUUUAAUAGUCUGUAUCUUUAUAAAAUUUAAAAGAUUAUAUCAUAUUUUUAUCAUAUUUAGGGGAGCAAAGUAUAAUUUUAUAUUUACUAAUUUAAAAUUUUAAAAUAUUUAAAGAGUCUAAAUGAAAAAUUUUUCAUUUUAGAGGACCUUGCCAACCCCCUAGCUACGCCCGAGAUUGGUUGUAGCUAUAUUGUUAAUUAGCUUACUAUUUUACUAUUUAUAGUAUUAUUUAAACUUAUGACUAGUUGAUGUCACGAAUUAAUCGGGUACCAACUUGGUUAAAGAAAAUAUGAAAAUGUCACUCUAGUCUUUUUAUUAUAAAUAAAAAUAAAAAUUUGUGCAUGGGAUUUUGAACCCAUACCAACUAUAUUAAUAAAUUAUUAAUUUACCAUUCAACUAAAACUUUAAUAUUUUUAUACAUUUUAAUUUUAUUGUGCACACUUUAUUGUUAAUUAAUUUCAAACCUUAUGCAUUAAUUAUUUAUUGCAUGUUAUAUUCAAACGCACACUUAUAUUCUAAAUAUAUGAUUCCCGAACAUACAUGUGUGAUAAGUAUACUAAUUGUAACCUGUCUUCCUAAUUGUUGUCCUAAUUUAUGAUUUGCUUUCUUACUAGAUCUGUGAUACGAGCCAAGGAUGUGACACUCAAAGGGUUGUCUUUUCUAGUGGUUCAAUCACUCGAAGCAAGGCACGUCAAUUAAAAUCAAAGAUGAAUGCUUUUGUCCAAGACUUUGUUGCUACAAAUUUAAUUCAUCAUGUUCGUGACAUUGACAAAUACGGGAAUGCAAUUCACUGGACCAAUCUUGGAAUAGUGAAAGCCCAUAAAUUGGUGGAUUAAUCUUUUUUGUAUCUUAUUAUUAUUAUUAUUUACUUAAUUCUCAUUGGUUAGGACAUAUCAUUUAUGAGUUAAGUAAUUUUAUUGGUUAGGUUAUUAUUUAUUUAUUUUCUUAGAUAAUUUUAAAGAGUUUUAUUAGGAUUCAAUUACUUUUUAAAGAGUUUUUAUUAGGAUUCAAUUGCUCUUGAAAGAGUUUUAUUAGGAUUCAAUUACUCUUGUAAUUUGCCUAUAAAUAGGCUUGUUUGUUAUUAUUUAUUUAUUUUCUUAGAUAAUUUUAAAGAGUUUUAUUAGGAUUCAAUUACUCUUUAAAGAGUUUUUAUUAGGAUUCAAUUACUCUUGAAAGAGUUUUAUUAGGAUUCAAUUACUCUUGUAAUUUGCCUAUAAAUAGGCUUGUUUUCUACACAUUGGGGGAGGAAUAAAAGAAGAGCAUUUGUUUUCUUUCAAAUUUGUGUGAGGCAAAUUUUUGGGAGUAGAGUGAUUCUUCUCUUGCUAUUUAGUUUGGAGUUUGUUACUUUCGAGGGUAUUUCGGAGUUGCAAAUAUUCAAAUUUCUUUCCCGUUCAUCGGUGUUUCUAGAGGUUCUUCUUCUAGGGGUUUCGUAGGGAGCCGCUCAAUCAUUGCGUUUUUGGUUACAAGUUAACCAAGGGUUCUAUAGGGCAAAUCUAUCAUUAUUAUUAUUAUUAUUAUUAUUUAACUAAUUUUAUUUAUUCUCGUUUUUUUUAUUUCUAAUUUGUGUUUCUCUUGUGUCUAGAUCCGGGAUUCCGCAUCAAUCUGUUAGCCAAACUCAAAUUAUCUUCCUUUUAGAUCAAUUAAUUGACUUAAACCUAACUCAAUUACAUUUCUUUCUAGAGUGAUUAACUAAAAUAAUCGACCGAGAUUGUUUCUAUUAUUAUAUUUAUGAAAUCAUGAUGGUUUAGUUAUUGGUAUUUUUUGUUGGGGUUAGGUUAAUUUAAUUUUCAAUUUUUCUAAACUAAAAUUUACAUCUAGAUUUGAUGAUGAUUGAAAACAUUUCUGUCUUUUUGGGUUGAAAACAUCACUGGAAAUGCAAAAGGAGAGAAGGUGAAGCCUUUCAAAUUCUCCACAUGGCAAAUGGUGCUGACAUGUCAGAUGGGCCGCUGUGCCAUACUAUGUUAGAAAAAUUAUAAAAACAUUUUAAAAUUAAUAAAACAUAUAUAUACAUCUAGAAUGAAUCUGGACAAAUGGUUAUCCCAAUUCAAAUGAAUUUGGACAAAAGAAUAUAGCCUUUAUACCAAAGCAAUUAGUUUUAUAUUAGAGGUAUUAGAAUUCACGUUCUAUUUUGUUAAUCUACUUAUACAUGUUAUCUAAUAUGUUAAUUUUGUCUCAAAUCCGAAAAUAAUUGGUGCUCAAAAUGAUUCAAACCCAAGAUGACAUAAAUUUGAGAUGACCCUAUUUGAAAAACUUGAAUGGCAAACUCAAAUGGUCGUAACCCAAAAUGGCUCAAACAUGAAACAACUUAAACCCAAAAUUGACCCGAACCAUAAUGACUCUCUAUUUAUAGCAAUAAUAGAAAGACAAAAUAGUAAAUAUGCAAGGGCAAAAGAGUAAAAACCGUAGGGUUACCAUUUCCACGCAACAGUAAAAGAUAUAUUCUGUUGCCAAAUUUUUCGCAACCGUCAAAAAUCAAAAAAUGUUUUAAAGAAAUUAUUUUCUGGAAAAUAAUAUUGAUUAAAAUUAGAGAUAAAUUAUGGAUGAAAAUAUUGAAUUAUUUCAAAUGAUGAAGAGCAACUUUAAUAAUGUAGAGGGACUGGAUCUUGUGUACCUAGGAUGAUACUUCGAAGGCUAUUCUCAGAAGAGUCGAUCUGUAGCUCAAGUGGUACCAUAUAUCUCAACAAUUGACCUAUAUUCAAUAGGUUAAGGGUUCGAAUCUCAUCAAAUGUCGCCUCUUAGUAGUGAUUGUAAGUCCACAUACGGUCAAUGCACCCCUUUUUGUGAGUUGUACAUGGCUCUCCAAUGAUUGGGAAACAAAACCCUUUCACAGGUGACAAUACCUUCUGUUGUUGAGAGACUGGAUCGGCAUCCCCAAAGACGACACUUCAAAGACUUCUCUCGAAUAAGCCGUUCCCAUUAACAAAUAAAUAAUUAUUCUACACAACCCUAUUCUAUCUUUUAAAUUUAUUAUUUUGUCCCUUAAGAUAUCCAUUAAUCUUUUUAUGUAUUUCUAAUAUACAUCCUAUAUAUAUAUAGUAAAAUGAUAUAUAUAUAUAUAAUCUACACUAAAUAUGAGAAGAUUAUAAAUAUAAUAAUCUAUAAUUUUUAUUUAUAUAUGCCUUUUUCCAACUACGGCGUUCUGAUUAUUUUUUUUAAAUUCUUUUUCAUUUUUUGACCAGUCCUAUUUUAUGAAAAUUCAGAUGUGUAUAUGAAAAUAUAAUUUCAUAUAUUAUUUAUCAUUCACAUUCAAAUCCAAUUAACAUAAACUUGAAGAUUCAUUUCUAACUCAUUAGUUAUUAUUUGUAAUUUCCUCUUCAUUUUCUUUCCCAUUUUCGAUUGUGUAACACGCAUGAAUCUGGAUGAAAAAAAUACAAUAGUUUAGUUGAAAUGACAAAGUUAAGACUUUGCAGAUAUGAGUAUCUUAAUAAUUUAUUUUGGAUUUAAACUAUCUUUUUUAUAGAUUUUAUAUAAACACAUAAAUAAAAAGACAAAAAGCAAACUCAUAAUAUUAUUUGUACCUUUUAAAUAGAAACCACUUUUUUUGAAGUUAUUUUUUAACUAAAUUGAUAUUUAGUUAAACUCGUGACUCCAACUCAAUUAGAUAAUUAAAUAUAGUAUAAAUAACAAAAAAUAGAAUUGAAAUUGACAUACACAUAUGUUGUGUGUAGCCUUAAAUACUCCUCUUUCAUGGUGUUCACCUCAAUUCAGGGGCGGAGCUAAAAAUAUUUUUUAGAGGCUGAAAUAAAGUUGUAUAUUUUUAUGAUGCAAAAAUGAAAUUUUCUUAUUUUAAUAACUUAUAUCUUUAUAAUUUUUAAAGAAUCAUAUCAUUUUUUUCUCAUUCUUGAGGGGGUCAAAGUGUAAUUUUACCACAUACUAAUUUUAAAAAAUAAAUUAUAAAAGGACUAAAGGUGAAAAUUUUCAAUUUAGGGGGAUCGAGGCCCCUGCCAACCCCGUUGGCUCCACCCCUGCCUCAAUUCCUUGCAACUUCUGCUUAUUUAACAAAAAAAAUAGAAAUGUAAUUAUUAUUGUCGACUGAGUCUUAACUCAGUUGGCAUCAACAAUUUAAAAAAAAAAAUUUGGAACAUGCUUUUUCAUUUAAAAUAUGAAAAUUAAAAUAUAAGAAAAAAAACUCACUCACCUCAUUAUCAUAGAAAAGUCUUCACUCACCUUUCAGCUUUUUUUUUUUUAUUAAAAAAACCUCUCAUCCUUCGACUUCUUUUUUCUUCUUAAUUUUGAAUUUAUUGAAUGAUAAAUUUUUACUUGUAGAGUUUAUUAAUCAACAUUUUAUAUAAAUGAAUAUUUUUAUAUUUGAAAUUUAUUUAUAUAAAUAUAUUAAAUAUUUUAAAAAAUAUCGAUAAAUUCGAAAUUGUACAUGAAAUAAACUAGUACUAAUAUGUACCGAUUUUCAUAGAAAAGUAGUGCAUCCACCAAUGUGGUAAUGGCUACCUUGAAAGGAACUAUGUGGCAUACUUGUUUGCAAAUAAAUGGGUUAAACCAUGUUGAGUUAGUAUUGUGGGUAGCUAUAAUGUUUGAUGUUUUGUUUUCUAUGAAUAUUUUGUUUUGAUGAUUUUGAUUUGUGCUGAUAUUUGAGUGCAACCAUUGGGAUAUAUAUGGCUACCUGAAUUUUUAUGAGUUGCUAUACAUUAAUUUACUGUGGUUGUUUUAUUAAUAAAUUUAUGUUUUGGAUUAAGAAAAAAAAUUAAGAAAUUCAAACACAAAAAAGAAAGUAGGGAAAGUGAACACAAUGAUAUACGUGGUUCAGGAAUAAUCCCUACAUCCAUGGGCAGAACCAAAAAUGAAAUUCACUAUUAAGAAAUGGAGAUUACAAUGGAAUUACAUCAUAAAAUAAAAUACCUCGCCAAUAAUUAUCCACAAACUUGGAGCAAUUUUCUAAAUGAACAUCAGCUAUACACUUUCCGCGUUUUGAGAAAUACAUGGCAAUAAUAAAUAACAAGUGACCAACAAUCUCAAAAUGUCGAAAACAAUACUUUAUUUAAAGCAUCCUAGUCUCUUAUCAAUCAUCAAUGGAGACCUAAGACAGAUUCAAGAUUUGUGUAGAUAGAAAUAGUUGAUACUAAAAGCAUUAGAAACCAAACUUACAAUGUUGUGCCGUUGUUGUGCCCAUAAGCUGGUAUUGCCCUCUUUGGAUGCCCACCAUUCAAGGGUUUAUCACCCAAAGGUACGUACACCUCCCCAGUGGUACCAUUUGGCCUUUUAUCUGCCACCAAUUUCAUGGUUCCAAAAGCUGAAUGAAAGUACAAGGCUAAAUAAAUAGCAUAUUUGGCUCCACAACUACAACUUUGUACCAUGCACCAAAAUAUGAUCCAACACAAGAAAGGAAUGUCAGAAGAACAAAUUCUCCAUAUAACCUAUACUUACCCUAUCAUAAACAUUGAUAACAUCACAGUUGAAGCCUUUCAAAGCAGGGGAAAUUCAUAUAAAGAUUGGUAGAAAAUAUGCCAAUCUACCGGACCGGAAAGCUGAAAAGCAACAUUAAAAGAGAGCUGCAAUGAAACUAGUUCCAAACUGCUGCAGUAUAUAUAUCAUUUGAUUCAUUUAACUCAUACCUCAAAGUCAAAAGCAAGAGAGUCGAUAUAUAGCGAGUCACUUAGUCGCUGCUAUUUUUGGGAACACUGAGGCUGGAAGUGAAAACCCCAAAUUGCACCUCAGUGAACUCUGUUGUGUUUAUGUUAAAUUGAGCUCUCUAAUGCCAUGUUGUAACGUGUACUGUAUCCCUUCAUUCAUCCUGCAACGAUCAAUACCAUGUUUACAGUGAUGACGAAAUCUGUUGGCACUGAUAUCCUUAUGCAAUAACAGAAAUCUAUCCACAAAGAUCAACAAACUAUCACGCAAAAGACUUGUUCUUCUGAAACACCAUUGGUUAAUAGUACAACGAAAUCUCAGAUACUUUUAACUAAAAUCCCAUUCCCAUAUACCAAUUUCAUAGCAACUGCUUAGAAAUUAGAAGAUGCAGAUGAAAACAGAACAUUCAAUUUGCUGAAUAAAUGUUGCAGAGAAUUGACUAACCGCUUUACUAAACCAAAUAAGCUGAAGCAAACCAGUUGAAGGUCUCCUCUAUUUUUCGCCAGUUUAGCCUUCAAUGCCUGCAAAAAGUAAAUACAAAAUAUAUAACACCAAUUUCUAUUAUCGUGUUGUUCAUGAGGACAAUCAGAUAUAUAUAAAGAAAAGGUAUGAAAUUGAUAAAUGUUUAAAAUGCGUUUCACACCUGUGGUUUGAGUGUGGAGAAAUCGAUGCCAGAUUUUGCUGCUUAAAUUUCAAUUUAAUUCCCUCGGGAUGACUGUUUCCAUAUCAAUUAGAACACAAGGUAUGUGGGCAAUCUUGGACCACUCUCGUCCUUUACCCCUACUGCACCCUUCUUCUAGCAACGGGCAACGCUGAAUACAUAGAUGCUCAAGCGAGAGAAGCAUAUCUUUUUCCGGAAGAGAUGUGAGCUUAGGACAAUCAUAGAUUCGCAAUUUUUGAAGAGAGGUCAGGUAUUGAAAGCCCUUGGAGCACAUGAAUUCCAAAUUCUCUGUAUUUAUAUUCAGAUAUAUAUAGUGGGUAAUUAAGCAUUUUAUUGACAUACAAUAACCUUUUAUGUUAAAUGUUCGAAUCUGGACUUGAGCUAAGAAUAAGUGUCGAAUAUCGAUAUAUAUUAAUAUAGAUGUGAUGAAUUUUUUAAAAUCGAGAAACAUUCCUCUUAUAUAAAUAUUCAAAUUUGUGUCAAACACGCAUAUAAAACAUAAUUACUUUAGAAAAAAAUGGAUUAAUAUAGGGAUAUAAAAUGUACCUGUAAUCGAGAUCUUUUAAGCUGCUCCAUUAGAAUUUGCUCCUACAACAAUAAAACUUCAGUUUCUAGUGCUCACAAUUAGGCUCCUAAUGAGAUUAUUUUAAGUUUGUGUUUGUAGGAGAGUUACUAAACAUACUAAAUUUAUGUUUGUUUGGAGUUAAUAUUGAUUAAAAUUAGAGAUAAUUUAUGGAUGAAAAUAUUAAUUUAUUUCAAAUGAUGAAGCAUAGCAACUUUAAUAAUGUUGAGGGAUUCGACCGGCGCAUUCAAGGAUGAUACUUCGAAGAUUUCCCUCAAAGGAACUGAUCUGUAGCCAAGUGGUACCAUAUACCCCAAUAAUUGACCUAUAUUCAAUAAGUUAGGGGUUCGAAUCUCACCAAGGGCGAGACGCUCAAGUCGCCUAUUGGUGGGUGGUUGUACGUUCAUAUACGGUCAAGGCGUCCCUCUUUGUGAACCGUACAUGGCUCUCCGUAAAGUGGGGGACAAAACCCUCUCCUAAGGGACAAUACUUUUCAUUGUUGAGAGACUGGAUCGAUAUCCCCAAAACCGAUUUUUUGAAAACUUCUCUUGGAGAAGCCAAUCCCCCUCAACAAAUAAAUUACACUACACAACCCUAUUUCGUCUUUUAAAAUUAUUAUUUUGUCCCUUGGGAUAUAUCCAUUAAUAUUUUCUGUAUUUCUAAUAUACAUGCUAGAUAUAUAUACUAAAAUGAUAUAUUUAUAUAAUAUGAGAAGCUUAUAUAUAUAAAUAUAAUUUGUAGUAAUAUUAAUGCCAGUACCUUUUGUUGCUCAACUGAUGCCAUCCCUUCGUUUAAUUGAUUCUCCAGCUGUUUUAAUUCUUUGAAACUCAAAUCAUCUAGUUCCUUUCCAAUUAAGCCUCCUGCAAAUCACACCUCAAAUUUUACCUAAUCAAAUACUUAUUUAUUUAUUUAUUUUUUUACGUAUUAACAACUAUCACUCGUAUUUAUACAUAUUCAGAUAUAUGUAUGAAGAUGUAAUUUCACAUUUUAUUUACCAUUCACAUUCAAAUCCAAAUAACAUAGACUUGAAGAUUUAUUUCUCACUCAUUAGUUAUUAUUUGUAAUUUCUUUUAUUUUCCUUACCAUUUUUUUUAAUUGUGAACGCUUAGUUGAAAUGACAAAAUUAAGGUUUUGAAGAUACGGGUAUCCUAAUGAUUUAUUUUGAAUUUAAACUAUUUUUUUUAUAGAUUUUAUAUAAAUACAUAAAUGAAAAACAAAAAGCAAACUCAUAAUAUUAUUUGUUAUCUUUUAAAUAAAAACCCUUUUUUAAAGUUAUUUUUCAACUAAAUUGAUCUUUAGUUAAACUCGUGGCUUCAACUUAGUUAGAUAACUAUAUAUAGUAUAAUUAACAAACAAUAAAAUUGAAAUUCACAUACAUGUAUGCUGUGUGUAGCCUUAAAUACUCAUGUUUCAUGGUGUUCACUUCAAUUCCUUGCAACUUCUGUUUUUUUAACAAAAAAAAACGCACACACAAUAUUAGAAAUAUAAUUAUUAUUUUCGAUCGAGUCUUAAUUCAAUUGGCAUUGAUAUUACUAUCUAUGCAAAGAGGACACUAAUUAAUAUAUAUACACACCUCAACUUGUUGCACAUCAAAAGGGUGUUCUUGAGAAUGAUCUUCUUCCAUUUCUUUGUUGUAUCUCGAAAGAGUAUGUUCCAUGCUACAUUCAUAAAAUGUCAUGUUUAAAAAAAUAACAAUAAAUUAAAAAUAAAAUUCUAACUCAUUAUUAGGGUUUAGGUUUUGGGCUUGAGUCGAUCAAAUUUAUGACAAGUUAUUCUUAGCUUAUCGUAACUAUUUAUGUAUCAAUUUUUGUUUUAAUACGAGUAUGUGUUGUUCUGUUUUAGUAUAUAGUUUCGUAAGUAUCAUUUUUAAAUAUUUCUUAAUUAUAAUAUGUAAAUAUAAAUUUUAAAAUUAUUAAUUAAGUUCAAUAAUUUAAUAAAUGGUUAUAUAUUAUUUUUUAAAGCAAUUAUAUAAAAAAGUAGUUAAGAAAGAAAAGGGAAAUAUUAAAAACUCCUUUAUAGGAAUUAAUACUCACCGAUACAAGCAUAUAUUAAUUGAAAUGAAUCAAAACUCAAUGAAAUUUUAAUUGAAGUGAAACUUAAAUCAUUUUAUUCUAGUUUAAUAUCGAGAUGAUUCGUAACGAUUGAUACAACCAGUAUCGAAACUACUGACUACCAUGCUACAAAGCGAAAAGAAAAAUAAUGAAAACCAAUCAAAUUACAACUCAACUUACUUUCAUGCUUUAAAAAAAACAGUUCUAAAAAUAAUCAUCCAAGAAAAUAAAUAUAUAUAAGUUUUAUAGACCGUUACAAACUAAUAUACACUCAUAUAAGUCGAUAUUAACUGAAACAAAUCAAAACACAAUAAAAUUUUAACUGAAACGAAACUUAAACUACUUUAUAUUAAUUCAAUAUUGAGACGAUAGCCAAUUAUUAAGAAAAGAAAAAUAAUGGAAAUCAAUCAAAUUAUAGGUCAACUUACUUUCAUGCUUAAAAAAAAAUGCUAAAAUUAAAAAUUGAAAAAAACCCAGAUUUCGAUUAUUAAAAAUAAUCUAUAAUAUAUAUAUAUAUAAGUAUUAUACUAUAUGAUAUACCUAGUGCUGGACCAUUGAUAGACCUUGCCGGUGCUUGAAAAAAUAAUAACCCCAACCUCUGCGUCACAUAAAAUGGACAAUUCUUUAGCUUUCUUCAACAACCCAUUUCGCCUCUUUGAAAACGUUACUUGCCUGCUAUUCAAAUUUUCAAUCUUUUUUAUUUCAAUUUUCCCUCUACCCAUCUCAAAAUUUUCUUCUUUCCUUUACUUUUUCCCGGAAAAUUUUUAAAAGAAAAGUUAAACCCCAGAUUUUUUUUCCUUAAAUUUUGAAAAAAAACCAAAGGUUUUUAUAACAACAAACAGAUCAAAGAAAAGAAGGCAAAAAAUUUAGGGGAUUGUAAAAGGAUUCUUUUUUUAAGAGAAAAGAAAAUAAGUAAGUAAUGUUUAUAUAUAACAGUUGUUUUCUUAAAUGGAAAUGGAAAAUGAUAUGGAAAAAGAAAAUAUGUGACCAAAAUUAGGGUGAAAUCUUGAAAGGUGACAGAUUUGAUACUAUAUCUACCAAUUAUCCAACUAUGGAAACUCUAUUUAUUAUACCUUUAGUUUUUUUUUUCUAUUUUUCUUAAUUUCUCUACCUUUUUACUCUCCUGUUUUUGGUAUUUCAACUCAAAAUGGAUUUUAUUUUUGCUUUGGGUUUCUUUUUUCAAAUAUAAAAAGUGGUUUUUAAUUAUUUAUAUAUUAUUAAUGUGUUUUAACAAUUUUUGUUAGUGAAUAUUGAUUUUUUUUUUGUGAAUUACAAUAGGAGGGCAAAGCCCUAAUAACAACACGACUAGAGCGAUUCGAAUUUAGGCCACACCUGAGACGUUGAACACAAGUAUUUCACGAGGACAUAUAACACAUGUUUUUUUUUUUAAAUUCAUGGCUAAAAUAAUAAAAAAAACCUCUUUAUUUUAUUGUAUUCAAAUAAUAAUAAAAAACCACAGUUUUAGUCGUACCGGCCGGUGCCGCCGUUCUACUGUUAUAGUGCAACAAGCAACACCCUUUUCCAUACUAAUGAAAAUUUUGGUUUGUACCGUUCGCAUUGGCCGGAACAUGGUACACCUGCUGCUGCAUAAAUAAUGUUAAAAAAUAUAAAACUUUUAACUAUUUUCUAUUAGACUAAAUAUUUAAUUGAAAUUGACCAAUAAAAAAAUUAUUGCACUAGAAAGUGAAGUUUAACAUUUAAAAUUUUUUUUGGAGCAUACUUUUUCAUUUAAGAUAUAAAAAUUAAAAUAUAAUAAAAAAACCCACUCACCUCGUUAUCAUAGAAAAAUCUUCACUCGCCCUUCAGUUUUUUUAUUGAAAAAACCCCCUCAUCCUUUGAUUUCUUUUUUUCUACUUAAUUUUAAAUUUAUUGAAUAAUGAGUUUUUACUUGUGGAGUUUAUUAAUCAAUAUUUUAUAUAAUUGAUGAAUAGUUUUAUAUUAAAAAUUCAUUUAUAAUAAUUUAUUUGAUAUUUGUAUAUUUAUUUAUAUAAAUAUAUUAAAUAUUUUUAAAAAAUAUCGAUAAAUUCAAACUGAUACAUAAAAUAGACUAAUACCAAUACAUACCGGUUCUCAUAGAAAAGUGGUACUUAUACCAAUGUGGUAAUGACUACCUUGAAAGCAAGUAUGUGGGUGGCUAUAAUGUUUGAUGCUUUGUUUUCUUUGAAUAUUUUGCUUUGAUGCUUUUGAUCUGUGCUGAUCUUUGAGUGUUACCAUUGGGAUAUAUAUGGCUAUCUAAAUUUUUAUGAUUUGCUAUGCAUUGAUUGUGGUUGUUUUAUUAAUAAAUUUAUAUUUUGGAUUGAGAAAAAAAAGAAAAAGGGAUUCGAAACACAAAAAAAAAAGUAGAGAAAGUGAACACAAUAAUAUACGUGGUUAGGGAAUAUUCCCUACAUCCACGGGCAGAACUGAAAAUGAAAUUCACUACUAAAAAUUGGAGAUUACAAUGGAAUUACAUCAUAAAAAUAAAAUACCUUGCCACUAACUAUCUACAAACUUUGAAUGGAUUCAUGGUCUGAGAAAUUCUGAAAACUAAGAAGGACAUCUUUGAGAUUCGACAGAACAAUAUUUUGGGAACUUUGUUGUCUUACAUGUGUUAAAUUGAGCUCUCUAAUGCCAUGUUGUAACGUGUACUGUAUCCCUCCAUUCAUCCUGCAAGGAUCAAUAUCAUGUCUUCAGUGAUGACAAAAUCUGUUGGCACUGAUAUCCUUAUGCAAUAACAGAAAUCUAUCCACAAAGAUCAACAAACUAUCACGUAAAAGACUUUUUCUUCUGAAACACCAUUGGUUAAUAGUAUAAUGAAAUCUCAAAUACUUUUAACUAAAAUCCCAUUCCCAUAUACCAGUUUCAUAGCAGCUGCUUAGAAACUAGAAGAUGCAGAUGAAAACAGAACAUUCAAUUUGCUGAAUAAAUGUUGCAGAGAAUUGACUAACCGACUUUACUAAAUCAAAUAAGCUGAAGCAAACCAGUUGAAGGUCUCCUCUAUUUUUCGCCAGUUUAGCCUUCAAUGCCUGCAAAAAGUAAAUACAAAAUAUAUAACACUGAUUUCUAUUAUCAUGUUGUUCAUGAGGACAGUCAGAUAUAUAUAAAGUCAUGAGGACAAUCAGAUAUAUAUAAAGAAAAGGUAUGAAAUUGAUAAAUGUUUAAAAUGCGCUUCACACCUGUGGUUUGAGUGUGGAGAAAUCGAUGCCAGAUUUUGCUACUUCAAUUAAAUUUAAUGCCCUCGGAGAGAUGACUUUGCAUAUCAAUUCGAACAUAAGGUAUGUGGGCAAUCUUAAACCACUCUCGUCCUUUACCCCUACUGCACCCUUCUUGUACCAACGGGCAACGCUGUAUACAUAAAUACUCAAGCGAGAGAAGCAUAUCUUUUUCCGGAAGAGAUGUGAGCUUAGGACAUUGAUAGAUUCGCAAUUUUUGAAGAGAGGUCAGGUAUUGAAAGCCCUUGGAGCACAUGAAUUCCAAAUUCUCAAAAUUUUCAAUGGAAAUAAAUGUGAGAGAAGGAGGCAGCGUCAUUCCUAUCCCUUCUUCUGGAAACGACACCACAUUUGAGCAUCCUUCACCGCUGAUGUUGAGUCGCUGAAGAGAGGUAAGUCUGUUAAAUCCCCAUUGAACAAGUGAUGUAUAAAUUUUGGGUGCGUUUGAGAUUGCAAGUGAUGUGAGGUUGGCAGGGAAACCCUCUUCUGGAAAGGAUAUGUCAGCCGAACAAUAAGACACCUUCAAUUCUCGAAGGGAGGUGAAGUUGUUGAUGCACUUGGGAAGGACUCCAAAAUUUUCACAAUUCUCAAUUGCGAAAACUCUGAGAUUUGUGGUGGGCAACCCACUUUCUUCAAAUGAAACCAGAUUUGGACACCUAGAUAAUUUAAUCUCCUGAAGAUGGCUGAGCUUGUCUAAUCCCCGCGGUAAUGAUUUAAUUUUUUCAGCACCACGAAUGCCAAUGCUUUCGAGAUCAAUGGUUUCAAAGAAGUCUUGGGCUAUGCAUUCCAACACUGGACAAUCCCAAAUAAAUAGCUGUUUAAGCAUUACGGGUAACUUGGCGUUUAAAAAUAACCUAGUUAGCUUUUAACAACUUUCAAUUUCGAGAUGUUGAAGUCGAUUGCAUAUAUCGCCCCUUGAUAAUAACCAUAUUAGAGAUGGACAGCUUCUUAUUACUAAGUGCUCAAGAAGACAAGUGUUGCUACUCAUACUCUUAUUAUUAUUUUCUUUUUCAUCAACCAAAUAUUGCAAAUUCACGCAAUUCCCAAUCCUCAGCUCUUUUAAUGCAGGAGGAAAGUUACUCUCUGCAAAACAAACCAAGCCGGGACACGCUGCAAGUGUUAUUCUUGUAAUGAAUGGGAAAGCAUGUAAGGCUUCUGGUAGUCUAUUGAGCCUUCCACAAUUAUCUAUUGCCAGAGAUUCAACACCUGGAAUCUUGUCAAGUUGCAAUCUCUCCUCCUCUGUUUCCAAAGAGACCAAUUGGGGACAAUCCGCAAUACUAAUAAAACGAUGCCCGACUAAUCUUAACCCAAUUUGCGAUAAAGAUCCCAACUCCUUCCAACCAGAGACGUUGAAUCUUUCGGAGUUUGCAAACCUCAACAUUAUCCUCUCUGCUGAAAUGUUAAAAUUUGAAAUAUUUGAAACACACAAACUUUUAAAGGAGGUAACCUUCUGUACGGACAAAGAACCUUCAUCCACCAAUUCUUCACACCCUUCAACCCAUAUUUUACGCAGCAAGGGAAAACAAGAAAUUGAAACUACCAGUCUCUUACAGUUGUAGAUUUCAAGCGUCUGCAAGGAUUGAAGGAUGGUUGGCAACCUUCCCAGCAAUAGAGGACAUUUUCUGAUUGAAAGAAAACGAAGGCUGGGGAAUUUCGAUACUUGCUCAUCAUCUUCACAUAGGUCCCACUCCUCCCAAUUCAGCAUAUUGCCAAAACGCAGAGACUCUAAUGAUGCAAAAGUAUUUGAUUGAUUUUCUCCAAACAUCUCAGCACCAAUCUUGUGUACUUGAUCCAAACCACUAAUUGAAAGAUCUUUUAACAACAACAACCUUCCAAUCGAUGGUAGAGAUUUGCAAUUUUUACAGUCGUGAAGCUCCAAUGACAACAUAUUUUUGAAGGAAGGAUCUGCAAUCCAAGUAGAGAAUUUUGCACCACCAUAAUUCUCAAUGACGAGUUGCUCAAGCUUUUUUGGAGGACAAAGAGAGUCCAACACCCAUUCUUCAACUUCUUUAUUCCUUGAAGCAUUUUCAAACUUUUUCCUCCAAUGCAAUACCAGUCGAUCAAUCCCCUGCUUCUCAUAUAACUUGCUUUCCCCUGCAUCUUCACCAUUAACAUUCUCCAACCCAGAAAGACGGAAAUCACCUUCGAGGUUUGACAAAUAUUUCAAACCUCUAAUAUAACUACCAUCACCUUCCCCUAUUAUAAAAUCAGUUAAACUUUGAAGAUUCGUUAGCUUAUCAAUUCUAAAAGGAAUCCUUUCUAUUGAGUUCGCACCUCUGAUAUCAAGAUAAUGCAAGUUGACAAGAUUUCCCAUCUUUGAAGGUAACAUUUGAAGCUUGUAACACCACCUUAAUAAUAAGGUUUCUAAAUGGUAAAGAGUGCACAAAGAAUCUGGUAGGCAUUUGAUUUUUGUGCUCGAAAAAUUUAAGUAGCGAAGAUGUUUUAAAUUUUCAAAAACAUCAGGCAACUCAGUGAUUAUAUACCCACUCAAAGAAAGCAUCCUUAGGUAGCCAAGUCUUGGUAACAAAUCAUCCAAAACAACAUUAGUUAAAAAAGGGGCCCGAUAAUCACACAUUAAGGGUAAAAAAGUACGUAGAGAAUUCACUUGAUCAAAUGCUUCAAACUUCUUCACUGUGUCAUAUGUUCCAACAAUAUAAGAAGAAUGUCGAGUGCGAUUUGAGAACUUCCAUUUCUUAUCACCCUCUAAUUUUGAGCAUAUUUCCCCUGCAACUACUUGAGCUAAAUCAUUGAUAAGGUCAUGCAUUACGAAUCGGGACUUAUCUUUACUGGAUGUUUGAAAGAAUCGGGACUUAUAUUUACUGGAUGUCUGAAAAAAUGACCUGGACACUAGAUCUUGAAAAUAUUGAUUUCCGAGAUCUUUAAUUUGAGGCAUAGCUUUUUGUUGCAAGAGACCUUCUGCUCUCCAUAACAAGAUAAUUUCUUCUUCCCCAAAUUCAUAGUCUUUAGGAAGUAUGGAGCAAUAUGCAAAACAUCGUUUCAAGUAUGACGGAAGAUGAUGGUAGCUUAACCGCAAAGCUGGAAUUAUGCCACACUGCUCUUCUGGUAAGUUCCAUAUCUCACUCUCAUAUAGUCUUUCCCAUUUUCCAUGAUAUUUAACCGUGCGAAGCAAGCUUCCAAUGACUUUUGCAGCCAAAGGUAAGCCAUUGCACCUUCUAACAAUUUUCUUUCCAAUUUCUUUAAACUGGAGAUGUCCAUCGAAAUUUCUUGCUUUUAAUGCAUGCUGUGUAAAUAUGGAUAAACAAUCAUCAUCCGAUAGUUUAUCCAAAUGAAAAGCUUUGAGCGGAUCCACAAUAGAUGAAACAAUUUGAAGACGAGUGGUUACAAUGAUAUGGGUCCCUGCUCCAAACGGAGACCGUAAGAUGGUCCAAUCAUUAUAAUUUUCGUUCCAAAUGUCAUCUAAAACAAGCAAGAAUCUUUUCCCAGACAACUUCUCCUUCAACUUAACUUGAAGUAAAUUCAAGUCAUUCUCGUCAUGAGAGUCAGGAUCGAUAGAUUUUAAAAUUGUCCUGGUUAUAUUAACUGCGUCAAAAUUAUCAGAAACGCAUACCCAGGCCUUGUGGUGAAAAGACUGGUUGAAGGUGGCAUCAUUGUAAACAAGCUGAGCAAGAGUUGUUUUACCCAUCCCUCCCAUGCCGACGAUGGAAAGGACUGAAACUCCGUUGGAGUUAUCACCUUUGAGAAACUCAAUCAUUUCUGUCUUCUCCUUGUAUCUGCCAACAUACUCCACAACUCCAUCCAGUACGGAAGUUGGUUGCAGCCUAGGUUGCUUUCCCUUGGAGGUUGGAGCUUGAGACAAGAUCUCACUCAACCCCAAACUACUUCUUCGAGUAGUCAAACUAUUCAGUCUAGCAGUGAUCUCUUUCACCUUCGGAAUCAUGGAAUUUUUAAACAGGAAAGAAGUGGGAGCGAAACUAGUACCAGUAAAGCAGGUAGGAAUGAGUUUCCGUACCUUGCUAGGGCUGGCUUCAGCUUGCGAUUUGUUGAGCUUGAGACGUAACUCUUCAUAAGCGAACUCAUCCAAGAUGUCAUCCACAUCGUAAGCCAAGUCCUGGAGAUCCUCCAACCAUUUCUUCACACCCAUGUUCUUGAUCUGCUUCUCCUCUGCAUCGUCCAACACUGCUUGGAUAUCAGGCAAUAUGGACUGCCACUGCUUGAGCUGCUGGUGGAGUUGCUUAUGAUCAGCAACAAAGUUGAGCGCAGAGUCGAGCGAUUUGCCCACCAACAAGUCCAGGAACCCAGAAAGAGCAGCCUCUCCAAUGACAGACAUGGUGGAAUUAUGAGAAAGAAGAUGAAGAGAGAAAUGAACAAGCCAAAAUGGAAAGUCAGGGAACAAAAAAAAGAAAGAAAGGGAAAUGGAAUCUGCAAAAUUAAUGAAGUUGAAGAAUUUGGCACUAUUUUUUAUACAUCCAAUAAUUCAGACUAUGAGUUGGGAAAUAGAGGGGCUCGGGUAAAAAUAUAGGCCUGAAAUAUGAAUUUGAGUAGAAAAAUAAGGCCCGUUUAGAAAACGGGUCGAGUCUCAGGUAUCACUUUUUUUUAGACCCGGCAUAGUCCGAAUAUAAUAAAUAUAUAUUUUUUAUUUUUAAAAAUAUUUUUUAAUUUUUUUAAAAAUUUUAGUGUUUAUUAAAAAAUAAGCCAGACCCGAGCUUAAGAAUUUUUUCUCAAACCAGGUUUAGACAAAAUUUUAAGCUCAUAUUUCAGACUGGGUUGGGCUUGAGCUUAAGACACGGACUAAAAUUUUUUUAUAGGUCCGACCUGACGCGGCCCAUAAGCACCUCUAUUGGGAAGGCAGUGGAAUGUGAAAAAGGAUCCCAAGUGGCUGUUGAUGGGGAAAAGACAACGAAAGUGGAAAUUAGAGAGGUCUCAGUCCAUGAAAUUAUUGCACCCUCUCGUUUAUCAUCUCCCUGCAAUUAUUUGAAUAGUUUUUCUUUAAUUUUUCAUCUAUUUUAAUCAUUGAAUUUGUAUUUAUUUUUGUUAAAUCACUUCAAAAAAAAUAGAAAACUUAAAGAGUAUACAAUCUUAGUAAAGUUAAAAACAUUAAAAUUUUCAUUUAUUUUGAGGUAAUUUAACAAGAAAACACAAGUUCAAAAGCUAAUUCUUUUUCGUAAAGUUAGAUAACGAAAUCUUUAUGUAUUUCUUUUAUGAGACCAAAGUAGAUUAAAGUAUUUGUAACUCUAAAAUGGAUGGAGCUACUUAUGGCUUGGUGUACUAUUUGUUAGAAUGCAUCAAAUACAAAUCUUAACAUUAAAUUAAAUUUUGAAAAAAAUACUAAUACAAAUAAAAAUAUUAAAAUUGAAGAUAAAAAUACUGAUGUAACAUUAAAUUAUUAAAAAUGGAACAAAUGUCAUAGUAUCCCAAUUUUAUACUAUAAUUCCUCCAAAAUAAUUAUAUUUUUACAUCAUGUUUUUAUAAUAUAUGAUUUGAUCAUAAAUUAAACCCUUAAUUAUAGUGAUUAAUGUUCCAUUUGGAAAACACUUUUAUAUUAAUUAAUUAUAAGAAAACCUUUUUUAUGGAGAAGUGUGUUUAUACUAGUUAUAUUAUAGAAAAGUAUGUUUGAUAAUAGGCCUAAUUGAUAUCUUUAUUGGGCUUAAUUUUGAUAAAUUCUUUAAUGAGAUGUGAUUAAUUUUAGAUUUAUUAUUUGAUUUCUAAUUCGGUGUAAAAAUAAACUCAAAAAGUAAAAAAGAGUCGGAAAUACGAAUUAUCGUAAAAAAUAAUAAUACGAAUUAUCGUUGUGGAAAUUUGCUUAAAUAAAAACAAAAUAUACAUUUGAAUCUUCAACUCCAGGUAAGAAAAUGCGCAAGCAGUGACCUCAUGUCAGUCACAUCCUUAUUUCAUUUUUCAACCCCCCCAAAAAGGCAUGAGGAAAAUCUACCGUGGGGUACCUUGUCCCAUCAAAAUUUAUAUUUUAGUCAUUGAAUUUUAAAAAGUUACAAAAUGAUUAUUAAACUAUUCAAAAAUUUUCAUUUAAGUCACUAAACUAUUUGGAAGUUUUUAUCUAAGUCACUACUUUGUUAAGUUUUUUUCCUAAAAAAAUUAAGCCAGUGAACUCCAAGUAACGAUUCAACAAAUACCCAUCAACAAGUACAAUAAUACACCUUAGAUCCAAGUUAAUUAGAUGGUCAAUGCUGUAGAUCGAAGAAGAAAGUUGUUAAAAUUUUGGUUCAUAGACUCGUGACAUUCAAAGUUGUUCCAUGAAAAAGAAUGAAAUAGUAAAAGAGAAGGAGAAAGAUAACUUUCGAUUGAUGUAGAUGGUGUGAACAAAAAAGGUCAUACAAUAACGAUUUUAACAACCCAAUGACUUAAAUUAAAACUUUCGAAUAAUUCAAUGAUCAUUUUUUUAACUAUUUUUAAAAUUGAGUGAGUAAAACGUAAACCUAUUAGUAAUUUAAUAACCUUAGUUGUAGUUUACCUAAUUUUCGAGGAAACUAUAAAGGGAAGCAAGAAUACCCAUAUGCAUAAGGUCUACUUUUACCAUACAUAUCUAAUAUUAAUCCAUAUAUAUCCAAUGGUGAGUACUAAUUUUUAAUUUGUUUAAGAUAAACCUAUCUCGAAAAUUCAAAUAUAAAAUUAUAAUUUUAACUCGAUUCAAUUUAAUUUCAUCAUAAAAAUCAAUAGUCCAAACUCAAAAAUAACCUGAAAAAAAAAAUCUAAAAACAAUAUGAAUCAAACCUAAAAUAACCUAACAUAAGUGGCUUGAAACUUGAGAUGACGGCAAAUAAGAGUCAUGACCCCCUUCAAAAAUAAGGAAAUUAUAAUUUAAUCGUUUUAAAAUCUAUAAAAUUCUAAAUUUCACAAAAUAAUAUUAACUUGAAAUCUGAGUGCGUAAUGCAAGAUGAACAGAAGUUUCCAAGGUCUAUAAACUGAGCUUUUGUGCAGUGACAGAAAGAAAAAAAAAUAUACAUGUAGUAGGUGAGCGACAAUAACAGGCUUUAAUUUAAAAAAAAAAAAAAAAAAAAAAAAAAAAGAACAACUGCCUGCAUGCUUCACAUUCCUUUCAUUUUCCAGCCGCCUAAUCAACCAACUUGCUCACAUUGUGAUGGACAUUUGAUUAUUUUGUUUCGGUUUAUUUAUAGUUUUACUCCCUCUAAAUUUUAACUCUUUCUACUUUUAUCAUAGUAUCAUUAAGGGCCAGUUCUUUAUUGCUUUUGAGAAGUGCUUUUGAGAAAUUUGAGUAUUUGAUAUUGCUGUCAAAAAGUGCUUUUGAAGAAUAAAAUGUCUGUUUUAGAUAUGAGAUUAUAAAGUAACAAAUAUGUAUUUAAAUAAUGUUCAAAUUAGUUAAUAUUAUGAUAUUUUAGCAAAAAUAUAAAAAAAUAAAUUAUUAUAACUUAUUGUUAGUAUUUUAAUAUAUAAUAUUAAUUUUAAAUAUUUCUAAGUAAUUAAUAUUAAUUAUUUAUAAAAUUUAAUUAGAAUAUAUAAACUAUAUUUAAAUAUUUAAAUAUAAAAAUUAAAUAUUUGUAAUUAGAUAUUGACACGAUUGUAUUAUUAUAAAAAUUAUUUUUAUUUUUAAUUAAUGCUUUUAACACAUUUGUAUUAUUUUAUUUUAAAAUGUAUUUGAAUAUAUAACUCAUAUUAUAUACUAACAUAACAUAGAAAACAUAAACCUAACGAAUUAAAAUAUUACAUAUAUUUGGAUUAAAGUUUUAAAAAGGGAUAAAAUUUAUAUACCAAAUAUAAAUACUAAAAAUUUGUCAAUAGCAUUUUCAAUUUAAAGUGAAUUCAGUAAACUAGAUGCUAUAUUUGAUAAGCAUAUGAAAAUUAUUUGGUUAUAUUCAAUAAAUGAUUUGGUUAAUAUAAUACUUAUAUUUGAUAAGCAUAUGAAAAUGAUUUGGUUAAUACAAUACUUAUAUUUGAUAAGCAUAUGAAAAUGAAAGUCGAGACUGUCUGAUGAAGAACGCAAAAAAGAAUAUUUCAUGGAAAGAAGAUUGUUAGGAUGAAUUCUUCAAUUCCAAUCAUUUAAAUAACGGGUCUCAGGAACCAAGCAAUAUGCCAAAUUUGGGGACAGUCCACAUCAUUAACAUUGCAUACUGUCUUAAGAUGAACAAGAAUGGAACUAAAGUGUCUACCGAGGAGUAACAUACUGCUAUUUUUGUAAAUAAAGUACAGAAAGUGUAUAAAUAGAUGGUUUGAAUAAUACACAUCCAGAAAAGAUCAUUGCCAAUAAGCCACUAACAAAGUAACCUCUUAAACAAAGAAAUAGUUCUUAGGUUCUACCUAAAUUUCAUGAUAAUGACAUAAAACUACAUCAAAGAUCAGAGUCAAACUUUGUUCAUAAGAACAUAAAAUAAAUCAUUGGCAAGAAACAAUUUUGCAGCAUCCACUGAUAGAUAUUGGGUCUAUCCAUCGGCCUUCUCUAAUAGGGCACUCAACCAUCCCAUGGUCAAGUGCGCAAGAAAAAAACUAAAGCAAAAACUAAAGCUGAUAUACUUGAAUGCUUUUCAUAUAAAUUUAAAAAAAAAAAAAAAACAAGAUGAAACAAAAAACAGAUCACAUCGAAUCCAUGAAAGAAUUUCCUGUAUAAUUUAAGCUUGCCAAAGCUAUAAAAUAUCUAACAAAGAAAAUUAAAAUUUGGUGCUUCAUCUGGAAGCUUCAUUGUGGCUGUUGUUUGGUUCAUAUUCUGGAGGACACCGUUUUCACCUUUACUAGAAAUUGCCUGAAAACCCAGCAAAAUGGUUCGGCAUGUGAUGAUUGUUUUUAAUAAAAUAUCUAAAUAACAACGACAACCAAUAUAUUUGCUUAACCUUCUUAUUAAGAGCACAAGCUUUAAAUUUGUUAACAGCUUCAUGUUUCUCCUCCUUUAAUGAAUUGAUGGACUUGAAGCUAUGUACGCAAAGCAAAGGAAAAAAGGGCUACUUCAGCAAGCAAAAUGAAACAAUCUCAAUGGUUAUAUAUCAAAAAGUUAAGAGAAUGCAUGCGUCAAGAGAAUAACUUUAAUUUUGGCUAUUAACCAAGUGAUAAUUCACCACAUGAGAAAAAAGAACAUCAAGCACUAGAAGGAAUGAAAGCUUUGUAGAAAAUAACUGAGUGAAGUUAAAAGCCAAAGUGACAUUACCUUCUGAGGCCUGUAUUUUCAUUUCUUGAAGUUGACACAUAACUAGGUACUUUCAUUGCCUGCAACCGAAGUCCCAACGAUUGAAAAAAGUAAUGACAUGUGGAAUCCAAAUAGAGUUAAACUUGAGAAAACACUUAAAUAGAAUACAGGUGCUGUAUGUAAAUAAAAUUUUAAACCCACAUGAUUAGAUGCAUGCUGCCUGGCUCUCUCGGAUGUCCUCAGGUGAAACAACUGCAGCAAUGAAACAAAGUAAACCUGUGUCAUGAAGUUAUCCAGAAAAGGCUCAUGCAGGAUAUUUCUCAAGACAAUGACAAGAAGGGCAAUCCUAAGAGGUGGCAAAUUAGUAAGUUUCUGUGGCUAUCAAUUACCUGAAACUCUGGUCGUUGAGGCAGGCUUUUCUUGGGAAGGGGCAAUGAGGGAGCCUGAAGAAUCUAUCAAAUCCAAAGAAAAAAUUGAGAUUACACAUUCAACAUCAAAGAUUCCUGAAACUUAUAACAAAAUUUAAGUUCCAGCAAAAAUAAUUUUUAAGUGCUAGAAGUACCAACCUUUUUGUUUAAGGGGAGUGCUUUAAACAAAUGAACAUUUGAUUUUGCAUUUUCAUCUGACUCUGCCUUACCUUUAGUUUCUAACAAUGGCAUAUCAGAAUAGAUAUUCAAUGGGAAGAAAAUGAAAAGUUUCUAACAAUUACCAGUACGAGCACACACCCUAAAACCAUCGGUGUGAGUAUAUAAGUAACAUUAGAAAGCAGCAAAUACAAGAACCAUCACAAGUGGAUGUGCAUUGUGCAUAGUGCAGAGACUGGAAACAAUGACUAAAAGUCUAAAACAAUCAACUACAAUGUUGUCUGUUGUAUUGAGACCAUAUUGGAGUUAUCCAACAUAAAACUCGAUUAUUGCGAAGUAAAAUCUUACAAACUGCUUAAAGAACCAAUUUCAUGAAGAAAUACGGGAUUAUGAACCCAAAGUACAUCAAAGAUUUGAUAUGUGCCCUCAACUAUACAAAAAUUAACAAUUAAGUGCCCACAAUAGACAUGAUAUCAUCUUCAAAGAAACCCAAUUUCCUAAAAGCUUCAAUUUGAGUUCCCAAUUCUCUUCACUCAUUGAACUCAACAUCCUAAUAGCAGCAAGAAACAUAUUUGACUUCCUAUCGAACCCCAAGGCAUCCGCCCUUUCAACAAACUGCUUAAUGCUCUCAGGUUUAAGCAAGAAAAAUCUAGGAAAGCUGAACACAUAUGAAACAAUUUGCGAAGAACAAAUCCCGCAAUUUCUCAAGAACUCUAUAUUAGGCAUCAUAGUCUUUUGCAAAUCAGAUUUGAGAAACCAAGCAGAAGUUUUCAAUAACUUAACAACAUCAUCAUUUGAUCCUAAAACAGUCUUUAAAUCGGAAAUAGAAGGUGCAAUCCUAUCAUCCACGCUUCUAGUCAAAAUCCAGGGAUCACUAGCUACAAUAUCAGCAACAUCAUGGGUUGAAAAUCCUAAAUCCUGGAAAAUCUUGAACUUGGGUUUAAUGGUUUAAUGGUUUAUCCCCUAUCCAAUCUUCAAUCAAUUUUGAAAAUCAAUCCCAGACAAACAAAAAUAUACAGAAGAAGAGAAGAAGAGAAGAAAAAGAUAAACUCACCGGCAGAGGGCAGAGGAACAAAGAACCGGCAGAGGGCAGAGAUGAAGGCAAAGAACCAGCAGAGGGCAGAGAGCAGUGAGCAAAGAAGGGCGUUCGUGUGUGGCUAAAAAAGUAAAUGAACCAGCCAAAAGCACUUUUUGGCUGAAAAGCUAAAAAAUUUUACUUCUCAUCUGCCCAAAAGCACUUCUCAGCUUCUGAGAAUUUGCUACCAAAUGAAGGCCGUUCUUCAUUGCUUUUCAAAGAAAAGCACUUUUCCAAGUAAAAGUCCGUUUCUUAAGCAAUGAAUAAGGCAGCCUAAAUGUUGCAGAGAAUUGACUAACCGCUUUACUAAAUCAAAUAAGCUGAAGCAGAUGAGUUGAAGUUCACUAUUUUUCGCCAAUUUAGCCUUCAAUGCCUGCAAAAAUUGAAUACAAAAUAUAUAAGACUCAUUUCUGUGAUCAUGUUGUUCAUGAGGACAAUCAGAUAUAUAAAAAAUAAAGCUGUGAAAUUUAUAAAUGUUUAAAAUGCGUUUCACACCUGUGGUUUGAGUGUGGAGAAAUCGAUACCAGAUUUUGCUGCUUAAAUUUCAAUACCUCGGGAUGACUGUUUCAAAAUCAAUUUGAACAAAAGGUAUGUGGGAAAUCUUGGACCACUCUCGUCCUUUACCCCUACUGCACCCUUCUUCUAGCAACGGGCAACGCUGAAUAGAUAGACGCUCAAGCGAGAGAAGCAUAUCUUUUUCUGGAAGAGAGGCGAGCUUAGGACAAUCAUAGAUGCCCAAUUGUUGAAGAGAGGUGAGGUGCUGUAAGCCCUUGGAGCACAUGAAUUCCAAAUUUUCAAAUCUACGGAUGCUGAUAUCGGUGAGAGAAGGAGGCAGCAUCAUUCCUAUCGCUUCUUCUGGAAAUGACACCACACGUGAGCAUCCUUCACCGCUGAUGUUGAGUUUUUGAAGAGAGGUGAGUCUGUAAAAUCCCCAUUCAACAAGUGAUGUAUAAAUUUUUGGUGCGUUUGAGAUUUGAAGUGAUGUGAGGUUGGUAGGGAAACCCUCUUCUGGAAAGGAUAUGUCAGCCGAACAAUUCGACACUGCUAAUUCUCGAAAGGAGGUGAAGUUGUUGAUGCACUUGGUAAGGGCUCUAAAAUUUUCACAACCCCCAAUUGAGAGAGCUCUGAGAUUUGUGGUGGGCAACCCACUUUCUUCCAAUGAAACAAGAUUUGGACAGCUAAAUAAUCGAAUCUCCUGAAGAUGGCUGAGCUUGUCUAAUCCCCGCGGUAAUGAUUUAAUUUUUUCAGCAUCAUGAAUGACAAUGCUUUCGAGAUCAGUGGUUUCAAGGAAGUCUUGGGCUAUGCAUUCCAACAUUGGGCAAUCCCCGAUAAAUAGCUGUUUAAGCAUUACGGGUAACUUGGCAUUUAAAAAUAAGCUACUUAGCUUUGAACAACAUCGAAUUUUGAGAUGUUGAAGCCGAUUGCAUAUAUCGUCCCUUGAUGAUAACCAUAUUAGAGAUGGACAGCAGCUUAUAUCUAAGCGCUCAAGAAGACAAGUGUUGCUACUCAUACUCUUAUUAGUAUUUUCUUUUUCAUCAACCAAAUAUUGCAAAUUCACGCAAUUCACAAUCCUCAGCUCUUUUAAAGCAGGAGGAAAGUUACUCUCUGCAAAACAAACCAAGCCGGGACAGUCAGCAAGUGUUAUUCUUGUAAUGAAUGGGAAAGCAUGUAAGGCUUCUGGUAGUCUAUUGAGCCUUUCACAAUCUCUUAUAAACAGAGAUUCAACACCUGGAAUCUUGUCAAGUUGCAAUCUCUCCUGCUCUGCUGCCAAAGAGACCAAUUGGGGACAAUUGACAAUCUCAAUGAAUCGGUGCCCGACUAAUCUUAACCCAAUUUGCGAUAAAGAUCCCAACUCCCAACCAGAGAUCUUAAAUGUUUCGGAGUUUGCAAAUCUCAACAUUAUCCUCUCUGCCGAAAUAUUACACUUUGAAAUAUUUGAAAGAGACACAUGUUUCAAAGAGGUAACCUUCUGUACAGACAAAGAACCUUCAUCCACCAAUUCUUCACACCCUGCAAUGCUUAAUUCACACAGCAAGGGAAAACUUGAAAUUGAAACUACCAGUCUCUGACACUCAUAGAUUUCAAGUUUCUGCAAGGAUUGAAGGAUGGUUGGCAACCUUCCCAACAAUAGAGGACAUUUUGUGAUUGAAAGAAAACGAAGGCUGGGGAAUUUCGAUACUUGCUCAUCAUCUUCAGAUAGGUCCCACUCCUCCCAAUUCAGCAUAUUGUCAAAGCACAAAGAUUCUAAUGAUGCAAAAGCAUUUGAUUGAUUUUCUCCUAACAACUCAGCACCAAUCUUGUGUACUUGACGCAAACCACCAAUUGAAAGAUCUUUUAACAACAACAACCUUCCAAUCCAUGGUAGAGAUUUGCAAUUUUGACAGUUGCGGAGCUCCAAUGACAACAUAUUUUUGAAGGAAGAAUCUGCAAUCCAAGAAGAGAAUUUUGCACCACCAAAAUUCUGAAUGACGAGUUGCUCAAGCUUUUUCGAAGGAUGAAGAGAAUCUAACACCCUUUCUUCAACUUCUUUUUUCCUUGUGUCCCGACUCCAUUUCAAUACCAAUCGAUCAAUCCCCUGCUUCUCAUUUAACUUGGCUUCCCCUGCAUCUUCACCAUUAACAUUCUCCAACCCAGAAAGACAAAAAGCACCUUUGAGGUUUGACAAAUAUUUCAAUUCUCUGAUACUAUGUCCAUCACCUUCCCCUAUGAUAAAAUUUGAUAACCUUUGAAGAUUCGUUAGCUUAUCAAUUCUGAAAGGAAUCCUUUCUAUUAAGUCAGCACCUCUGAUGUCGAGAUAAUGUAAGUUGACAAGAUUUCCCAUCUUUGAAGGUAACCUUUGAAGCUUCCAACACCGUCUCAAUAAUAAAGUUUCCAAAUGGUAAAGAGUGCACAAAGAAUCAGGUAGGCAUUUGAUAUCGGUGUUAGAAAAAUUCAAGUAGCGAAGAUGUUUUAAAUUUUCAAAAACAUCAGGUAACUCAUUUAUCUUAUACCCACUCAAAGAAAGCACCCUUAAGUAGCCAAGUCUUGGCAACAGAUCAAGCAAAACAACAUUAGUUAAAAAAGGCCCCCAAACAUAAUUUCUAGAAAAUAUUAAGGGUAGAAAAGUACGUAAUGAUUUCACUUGAUCAAAUGCUUCGAACUUCUUCACUGUGUCGUAUUCUCCAGCAAUAUAAGAAGAAUGUCGAGUGCGAUUCGAUAACUUUUGUUGCAUAUCACCCUCCUGUUUGGAGCAUAUGUCUCCCGCAACUACUUGAGCUAAAUCAUUGAUGAAGUCAUGCAUUACAAAUCGGGACUCAUCUUUACUGGAUGUCUGAAAAAAUGACCUUGACACUAGAUCUUGAAAAUAUUGAUUUCCAAUAUCUUUAACUUGAGGCAUAGCCUUUUGUUGCAAGAGACCUUCUGCUCUCCAUAACAGGAUAAUUUCUUCUUCUUCAAAUUCAUAAUCUUUAGGAAGUAUGGAGCAAUAUGCAAAACAUCGUUUCAAGUAUGACGGAAGAUGAUGGUAGCUUAAUCGCAAAGCUGGAAUUAUGCCACACUGCUCUUCUGGUAAGUUCCAUAUCUCACUCUCAUUUAUUCUUUCCCAUUCUCGAUGAUAUUUAACUGUGCGUAGCAAGCUUCCAAUAGCUUUUGCAGCCAAAGGUAAGCCAUUGCACCUUCUAAUAAUUUUCUCUCCAAUUUCUUUGAACUGGGGAUGUCCAUCGAAAUUUCUUGCUUUUAAUGCAUGCUGUGUAAAUAUGGAUAAACAAUCAUCAUCUGAUAGUUUAUCCAAAUGAAAAACUUUGAGGGGAUCCACAAUAGAUGAAACAAUUUGAAGACGAGUGGUUACAAUGAUAGUGGUCCCUGGUCCAAACGGAGACCGUAAGAUGGUCCAAUCAUUAUAAUUCUCGUUCCAAAUGUCAUCUAAAACAAGCAAGAAUCUUUUCCCAGACAACUUCUCCUUCAACUUAACUUGAAGUAAAUCCAAGUUACUGUAAUCACAUGACUCAGAAGUGAUGGACUGUAAAAUUGCCUUUGUUAUAGCAAUUGCAUCAAAAUUAUCAGAAACGCAUACCCAGGCCUUGAGAUCAAAAGACUCGUUGAUGGUGGCGUUAUUGUAAACAAGCUGAGCAAGAGUUGUUUUACCCAUCCCUCCCAUACCGACGAUGGAAAGGACUGAAACUCCAUUGGAGUUAUUACCUUUGAGCAACUCAAUCAUUUCUGUCUUCUCCUUGUGUCUGCCAACAUACUCCACAACUCCAUCCAGUACGGAAGUUGGUUGCAGCCUCGGUUGCUUUCCCUUGGAGGUUGCAGCUUGAGACAAAAUCUCACUCAACCCCAAACUACUUCUUCGUGUAGUCAAACUAUUCAGUGUAUCAGUGAUGUCUUUCACCUUCGUGAUCAUGGAAUUAUUAAACUGAAAAGAAGUGGGAGGGAAAAUACUACGAAUAAUCCUUUCAGGAAUGAAUUUCCGGAUCUUACUAGGUCUGGCUUGAGCUUGAGUGUCUUGGAGAUUGAGGCGUAACUCUUCAUAAGCGAACUCGUCCAAGAUGUCAUCCACAUCGUAAGCCAAGUCCUGGAGAUCCUCCAACCAUUUCUUCACACCCAUGUUCUUGAUCUGCUUCUCCUCUGCAUCGUCCAACACUGCUUGGAUAUCAGGCAAUAUGGACUGCCACUGCUUGAGCUGCUGGUGGAGUUGGUAGUGAUCAGCAACAAAGUUGAGUGCAGAGUCAAGCGAUUUGCCCACCAACAGGUCCAGGAACCCAGAAAGAGCAGCCUCUCCAAUGACAGACAUGGUGGAAUUGUGAGAAAUAAGGUGACAAGAGAAAUCAGCAAAGCCAAAAUGGAAAGCCAGGGAACAAAAAAGAAGGAAAGGGAAAUGGAAUCUGCAAAAUUAGAGAAAGUUGAAGAAAUUGGCACAAUAUCCUUGAAGCAUGUAAUAUAAUAAUACAGACUAUGAGGCAAUGAGUUGGAAGUCACUGGGUACAGAUAAAGAAGCUGCUUUUCGUUGAAUUUUGAUGCUCUUCUUUUCUCUUGCUUUUGGUCAUUAUCCUAAAUUGACCUUCACCGUAUAUGUAAUUUAAUUAAACAUCAAAAUAUUAUAUUCCUCACAACUUUAUCGCCAAAAUAUAGCCAACACCAAUACUCUAAAUUUUUGAAUCACAAAUAUUUACAUUAUUUAGCAUUUAGAAAAAAAAAUCCAAAAUUAAAUGAUAAUUUUUACAAUUUUAUAAUUUUAAUAGUCUGUAUCUUUAUAAAAUUUAAAAGAUUAAAUCAUAUUUUUAUCAUAUUUAGGGGAGCAAAGUAUAAUUUUUAUAUUUACUAAUUUAAAAUUUUAAAAUAUUUAAAGAGUCUAAAUGAAAAAUUUUCCAUUUUCGAGGACCUUGCCAACCCCCUAGCUACGCCCGAGAUUGGUUGUAGCUAUAUUGUUAAUUAACUUACUAUUUUACUAUUUAUAGUAUUAUUUAAACUUAUGACUAGUUGAUGUCACGAAUUAAUCGGGUACCAACUUGGUUAAAGAAAAUAUGAAAAUGUCACUCUAGUCUUUUUAUUAUAAAAAUAAAAAUAAAAAUUUGUGCAUGGGAUUUUGAACCCAUACCAAUUAUAUUAAUAAAUUAUUAAUUUACCAUUCAACUAAAACUUUAAUAUUUUUAUACAUUUUAAUUUUAUUAUGCACACUUUAUUGUUAAUUAAUUUCAAACCUUAUGCUUUAAUUAUUUAUUGCAUGUUAUAUUCAAACGCACACUUAUAUUCUAAAUAUAUGAUUCCCGAACAUACAUGUGUGAUAAGUAUACUAAUUGUAACCUGUCUUCCUAAUUGUUGUACUAAUUUAUGAUUUGCUUUCUUACUAGAUUUGUUAGCCAAACUCAAAUUACCUUCCUUUUAGAUCAAUUAAUUCACUUAAACCUAACUCAGUUACAUUUCUUUCUAGAGUGAUUAACCAAAAUAAUCGACCCAACCGAUUAAACGAGAUUGUUUCUAUUAUUAUAUUUAUGAAAUCGUGAUCGUUUAGUUAUUGGUAUUUUUUGUUGGGGUUAGGUUAAUUUAAUUUUCAAUUUUUCUAAACUAAAAUUUACAUCUAGAUUUUGAUGAUGAUUGCUUGUCCACAGUCCAUGGGUUUCAAUUAUACCAACCUAUUCAAUCUUCUUUUUUCCCUAAUGCAUGUGAGGUCUCUUUUUCUUUUCCUUAGCAAAGUAUUUAGGGUCUCUCUUUUUUUGUCAAAGUAAUCUUUAUCUUCAAUAAGAUAUCCAUUAAUCUUUUUAUGUAUUUCUAAUAUACAUGCUAUAUAUAGUAAAAUGAUAUAUAUAUAUAUAUAAUCUACACUAAAUAUGAGAAGAUUAUAAAUAUAAUAAUCUAUAAUUUUUAUUUAUUUAUGCCUUUUUCCAACUACGACGCUCUGAUUUUUUUUAAUUUCUUUUUCAUUUUUUAAUCAGUCCUAUUUUAUGCAAAUUCAGAUGUGUAUAUGAAGAUAUAAUUUCAUAUAUUAUUUAUCAUUCACAUUCAAAUCCAAUUAACAUAAACUUGAAGAUUCAUUUCUAACUCAUUGGUUAUUAUUUGUAAUUUCAUAGUUUAGUUGAAAUGACAAAGUUAAGACUUUGCAGAUAUGAGUAUCUUAAUAAUUUAUUUUGGAUUUAAACUAUCUUUUUUUAUAGAUUUUAUAUAAACACAUAAAUAAAAAGACAAAAAGCAAACUCAUAAUAUUAUUUGUACCAUUUAAAUAGAAACCACUUUUUUUAAGUUAUUUUUCAACUAAAUUGAUCUUUAGUUAAACUCGUGACUCCAACUCAAUUAGAUAAUUAAAUAUAGUAUAAAUAACAAAAAUAGAAUUGAAAUUGACAUACACGUAUGUUGUGUGUAGCCUUAAAUACUCCUCUUUCAUGGUGUUCACCUCAAUUCAAGGGCGGAGCUAAAAAAAUUUUUUAGAGGAGGCUGAAAUAAAGUUGUAUAUUUUUACGAUGCAAAAAUAACAUUUUCCUAUUUUAAUAGCGUAUAUCUUUAUAAUUUUUAAAGGGUUAUAUUAAAUUUUUUUUAUUCUUGAGGGGGUCAAAGUGUAAUUUUACCACAUACUAAUUUAAAAAAUUUAAAAUUAUAAAAGGACUAAAGGUGAAAUUUUCCAAUGUAGGGGGAAUCGGGCCACUGCCAGCCCCCUUAGCUCCACCCCUUCCUCAAUUCCUUGCAACUUCUGCUUAUGUAACAAAAAAAAAAUUAGAAAUAUAAUUAUUACUGUCGACUGAGUCUUAACUCAGUUGGCAUCAAUAAUAUUAAAAAAAAUUUUGAAACAUGCUUUUUCAUUUAAAAUAUAAAAAUUAAAAUAUAAUUAAAAAACUCACUCACCUCAUUAUCAUAGAAAAAUCUUCAUUCACCUUUUAGCUGUUUUUUUAUUGAAAAAGCCCCUCAUCAUUUGACUUCUUUUUUUUUUCUUCUUAAUUUUGAAUUUAUUGAAUGAUGAAUUUUUACUUGUAGAGUUUAUUAAUCAAUAUUUUAUUAAUUGAUGAAUAUUUUUAUAUUUAAAAUUUAUUUAUAUAAAUAUAUUAAAUAUUUUAAAAAAUAUCGAUAAAUUCGAAAUAGUACAUGAAAUAAACUAGUAUCAAUACGUACCGAUUUUCAUAGAAAAGUGGUGCAUCAACCAAUGUGGUAAUGGCUACCUUGAAAGUAACUAUGUGGCAUACUUGUUUGCAAAUAAAUGGGUUAAACCAUGUUGAGUCAGUAUUGUGGGUAGCUAUAAUGUUUGAUGCUUUGUUUUCUAUGAAUAUUUUGUUUUGAUGCUUUUGAUAUGUGCUGAUAUUUGAGGAUAAGUAUUGGGAUAUAUAUGACUACCUGAAUUUUUAUGAUUUGCUAUACUGUGGUUGUUGUAUUAAUAAAUUUAUGUUUUGGAUUGAGAAAAAAAAAUAAGAAAUUCAAAACACAAAAAAGAAAGUAGGGAAAAUGAACACAAUGAUAUACGUGGUUCGAGAAUAAUCCCUACAUCCUUGGGUAGAACUAAAAAUGAAAUUCACCAUUAAAAAAUAGAGAUUACAAUGGAAUUACGUCAUAAAAUAAAAUGCCUCGCCAAUAAUUAUCCACAAACUUGGAGCAAUUUUUUAAAUGAACAUCAGCUAUACACUUUCCGCGUUUUGAGAAAUACCUAGCAAUAAUAAAUAACAAGUGACCAACAAUCUCAAAAUGUCAAAAACAAUACUUUAUUUAAAGCAUCCUAGCCUCUUAUCAAUCAUCAAUGGAGACCUAAGACAGAUUCAAGAUUUGUGUAGAUAGAAAUAGUUGAUACUAAAAGCAUUAGAAACCAAAAUUACCACGCUGUGCCGGUGUUGUGCCCAUAAGCUGGUAUUGCCCUCUUUGGAUGCCCACCAUUCAAGGGUUUAUCACCCAAAGGUACGUACACCUCCCCAUUGGUACCAUUUGGCCUUUUAUCUGCCACCAAUUUCAUGGUUCCCAAAGCUGAACGAAAGUACAAGGCUAAAUAAAUAACAUAUUUGGCUCCUCGACUACAACUAUAUACCAAGCACCAAAAUAUGCUCCAACACAGGAAAGGAAUGUCAGAAGAACAAAUUCUCCAUAUAACCUAUACUUACCCUAUCAUAAACAUUGAUAACAUCACAAUUGAAGCCUUUCAAAGCAGGGGAAAUUCAUAAAAAGAUUGAUAGAAAAUAUGCCUAUCUAUCGGACCGGAAAGCUGAAAAGCAACAUUAAAAGUGUUGAAGUUAGUUCCCAUGCAACGAGUGUAGCAGCAAUCGUUGCCAUGCAACUCACAUGGAGCAAAGAAGCAGCACAUGCAGAUCGUGAUAAAACGCAGCAGCUGGAGCCUAUGAAUGCUGUCCAAAUUCAACCUAUUUUGUUGCUUUGUAACUUAGUUCUUUUAGAACUUAGUUGGUAAAUCUUUUGAUGUAAUUUUAGAUGUUGAUUGACUGAAAAUUCAGCAAAGCAACUAGUACAAGCUAGUUUAGCAAUUUUCAAUGUAUUAAGUGGUGUUAGGUAAGUGUUUAGGUAGUAUUUUGACUUGUAAGCUUAACUCAUGUUUGAUAUAUGUAAUGACAACUUGCCAAUACUUGGUUAAUGAAAAAAAUCAGUUUGUUUUUCAUUCAUAUACUCUCCAUUUUUCUGCUUUCAAUUCUGUUCUUUACAAAAAGGAAAAUUUCUGCUUUGUUUCUUCUCUAAGUCACGAGACUUGCUGAUUAAGCUAAAGCAAAAUCAGCUUGUGCACUGCCACUAACACCAACAAAAAGAGAGCUGCAAUGAAACUAGUUCCAAACUUCUACAGUAUAUAUAUCAUUUGAUUCAUUUAACUCAUACCACAAAGUCAAAAGCGAAAGAGUCCAGAUAUAGUGAGUCACUUAGUCACUGCUAUUUUUGGCUAGAAAAUAAAGUAUUUUUGUACCUCUAAGUAAAAGCGAAAUAAAUAAAGUCACAUAGUCAAUCACUUACACAGUGAGUUUGUUUUUGUCGCUCAAUCCACAUGACCAAAGAAGCAAUUCCUCAUCCAAGUGAAUUGAUGCAGCCUUUGAAAAGGUUCAUGGUCUGAGAAAUUCGGAGAACUAAGAAGGACAUCUUUGAGAUUUGGACAGAACAAUAUUUUGGGAGCUCUGUUGUCUUACAUGUGUUAAAUUGAGCUCUCUAAUGCCAUGUUGUAACGUGUCCUGUAUCCCUGCAUUAAUCCUGGAAAGAUCAAACUAUCACGUAAAAGACUUGUUCUUCUGAAAAACCAUUGGUUAAUAGUACUACGAAAUGUCAAAUAUUUCAAAUCUCUAAUAUGAAAACCAUCACCUUCCCCUAUAAUAAAAUCAGUUAACCUUUGAAGAUUCGUUAGUUUAUCAAUUCUAGAAGGAAUCCUUCCAAUUGAGUACACACCUCUUAUAUCAAGAUAAUGCAAGUUGACAAGAUUUCCCAUCUUUGAAGGUAGAUUUUUUUUCUAAUAAUUAGAAAUUAGUGAAUAAUAAUGAGUAGUUUUGUUUUUGAGAAAAAAAAUAAAGAAAUAGUUUUAAUUGAGAAAAUGAUUUUUUAAGAAAUGUUGAAAUGAUGUAAUCAUCUCUAUAUUUAACAAAAUAAUAACAUUAGAUUUUUCAUGCUUUUACCAAUUGAGUUUGUAUCGCUUGAUUUGAUGUACCAAAUUUAAUUAGACAUUUUAUCAUAGUAUAAAUAAUUAUCUUGUAAUUAUAUGUAUUCAAAUUAACUUAAUUUUUAAAUCCGUCGCCAAUCUUUAUAUUUUUUUCUCUCUUAUAAUUAUAUUUUUACAUAAUGUUUUUAUAAUAUAUGAUAUGAUCAUAAAUUAAACCCUUAAUUGUAGUUAUUAAGCUUGCAUUUUUUCCACUAAAGUCAAGAAAUUAUUUUUUUAUUGGGAAACAUUUUAUAUUAGUUAAUUGUGAGAAAACAUUUUUAUGUGAAAGUGUGUUUAACUAAUUAUAUUAUAGAAAAGUAUAUUUGAUAACAGGCUCAGUUUACAUGUUUAUUGUGCUUAAAUUUGAUAAAUUCUUUAAUGAGAUAUCAUUAAUUUUGGAUUUAUUAUUUGAUUUUUUGAUUAGGUGCAAAAGGCAAACUUAGAAAGUAAAAAAAGAGUCGGAAAUACAAGUUGUUGUAAAAGUUUGGGCCAUGAUCUAUCUUAUUUUUUUGGUACAAUAAUAUGGCAAAACUCGAACAACAAACACAAUUAACGUGACUCAAACCCAAACCACACCUGGGACAGUGAACACCUUUGACCAUUAAGCCAUCAUAUAGGGUUCGGAAAAGAAAAAGAGUACUUUUAAUUUUUGAUUAGGAUGAUAUUUUAAUUUUCUAGUAUUUUAUCUUUUGAUAUAUUUUUAGAUAACACUCUAAUAUUGGAUUAGAUUAAAAAAUUUAAGUAGGAUUAGGCAUUUUGAGUUUUAUAUAUAUUCUAAAAAGGACAGCAAUUCAAUUGCUUUCUUUUCUUCUCUGUUUCUAAUUCUGUUCUUUCUUUCUCUGGCACAAUAUUGUGCCGCCACGCCACCCUCCCUUUUUUUUUUCCUUUCUUUUAUUUGUUUAUUUCUUUUAUUUAAUUUUUGUUGAACCCUUUAUGCUAGUAUGCUUAAUUUCAUGAGUAAUUAAACUUCCCAUCUAGCUUUUAAGUCAAGAGUCGAUUUGGGAGAGAGUUAUACGAUUCAAAAUCGCACUUUAAAACUUUUAUUUCAAUAUUUGUUAUUUCUCUAGUUUAGGAGAUAGAUACUAUCGUCUCAUAAGGUUGUUUUGGCAUCAAAUGAGUUCAUUGCUUUGGUUUUAAUAAAGAAUCAAUACUAUCGAUUGUUGUAUUCGAUCUACCAAAAAACACAUUGGCGUGUCUAAUUAAGUGGUUGAUGUAAAUAGUACUUUAACAAAUAACUACAUGGAUGGUGAGGAUGAGUAAAAACUUUUAAUAUCAUCCAUAUCUUUUAUAGGUGGUGUAUUGCUCUGUAGUAUAUACACUUAAUGGGUUGGCCCAUAUGAGUGUGUAGUGGGGCAGCUUCUAUGAGAUCUUUGGCAAUCUUUAGAGCACUCAUAAAAAUUAGGCACGCGCAUGACCUAUUAGCACACAAUCGCAUUGAAGAAUGAAUCAUAAAUAUAAUGUGGUAAGUGAGAAGGUUAAUUUGGAAAUUAAAUAAUAAAUUCAAAAACUUAUUUCAUCAAUUAUUUAAGUAAAUCAUGUCUCAUUUGUUAAAAAUUCUGGUUCACAGUCCAAAUGACAAUAUGAUUAUUGCAAUAUAUCGAAACACUCACUUAAAUUUAUAACUUAAAUCUUUGAAAUAUGUGGGAGAUUAUUGGAAGUUUUCAUGUAUUUUAAAGAACUACAAAAAUCUCACAUUGCUAAAAAAAAUAAAAAAAAAUCUUGAGUCAUUAUACUUCUUUGAACUUAAUAAGAACCAGAUUGAGAGAGUAGACACGUGCACAUUCGAGCCUUUUUGUUUUUGGACAUGUUUUUUUAUUGAAGUUUUGAAAGUCAAAUAAAAGUGAACUUGUAACACCUAUAUGCUAAAUAUAAUUUAAUCGAUUGAAGCUAUUUUUAUUUAAGUUCAAAUUCAUUGAACCAUUUUCAAACUAGUUUUAGCUAAUUCAAUCAACUUACCUUUGCUAUAUUAAGCCAAUGAAAUCCAUAUAAAUACCAUGCACGGCAGUUUUCAAAGUUACUCAUUAGCUUUCACAUUCUCAUCUAAAUUUCUUCUGUAUUCUCUUUAGAAAAACCUUCCUCCUACAAUCUUAAUUGAGUGUUUAAUUGGCCGGCUCUUUAGAAAAGCCUUCAAGGAUAAUGAUAUUCAUGCCUCAAGCCGUGAUUCUUAUUUUCUAAACCUCCGAUUUCUUAAGAGAACGUCAAAGGCAACAACCAGUCAAAUUUUAAGUUCAAUUAAAUGAAUUCACAAACUUAUAGAGUUUAUUAUUUUUAUUUUAAUUAGUAUCAAAAGUUUUCAAUUCAAAUUUUAAUUUUGUUAUUCAAGCUUUAUCUCAAAUCAAGCUCAAGCUUUUAAAAGUGAAAUUUGAUUGAGCUUAAGCUAAAUUUUGAGUAUCGAAUUUUAAGUUAACUCAAAAUUUUGAAGUUAAGCUUUGACUUGAUUACACGGUUAGUGUAAAUCGUACAAAUGUAAAGUAUAAUAUAAUUAUAUAAAUUUUGAUACUAUAAUAAUUUCAAUUUUAAAAUUUUAACACAACUAUGGUCUAAAAUGUCCCAUUAUCAAGAAGCUUAGAAAUUGGAAGAUGCAGAUGAAAACAGAGCAUUCAAUUUGCUGAAUAAAUGUUGCAGAGAAUUAAGUAACCGCUUUAUUAAAUCAAAUAAGCUAUAGCAAAUCAGUUCAGUGCCUGCAAAAUUAAAUACAGAAUAUAUACGACUGACUGCUAUUGUCAUCUUGUUCCUGAGGACAGUCAGAUACAUGGAACUAAAGCAGCCAAUGUUUAAAACGGUUUCAUACCUGUGAAACAACAUAAGGUACGUGGGAAAUCUUGGACCACUCUCGUCCUUUGCCCCUAAAAGUGGACAUAAUUAAAAAGGACUUGUCUGUGAUAGAAAAUGGGGGGCUUUAAUUAAAUUACAACCAACAAGGAUGAACUCUGUUUCUGGAUUGAAAUAUUGGAAUUGGUAAUCAGUGACUUAUUCACUAAGAACUAACUAUUCUGUCACCUUAUAUUCUUCCUAUAAUUUCAGGUUUAAUCCUGUUGAUUUAUACAUUCAGUCCACUGCAAUAUGAACCCGUGAAAACCACACUAAAUGAAACUGACCGUUUAAGGAUCCCAUUCGUAUGAUGCAGCACUGCAAUGGGUAAUUAAACUGACUGUUCAAUCCUGUUUCUGUACACUAUGCUUCUUCAAAAUCAUGCCUAGCCGAACUCUCUGACAUUGUGGACCGCAAGCCCACUCAAGGACAUAUUGUUCUUCCCAUCUUUUACCAUGUUGAUCCCUCUGAGGUUCAGCAUCUUAGUGGGAGUAUCAAGACAUACUUUGAUGACCAUGAAUCAAAGAGGCCUGUUGAUGAAGUGAAGCGAUGGAAAACUGCCUUUGUUGAAGUCUGUAAAUUAAUUGGGUGGCAUAUAGGAGGAAAAUUCGACAAGCAACAAUAUAGUUUCUUUUUCAUUUUCUUAUAUAUUUAACUCUCUUUUUUUUGGUUUAUUUGCUAGGCUUGAAUUCGAGUACAUUAAAGAUAUUGUUGAAUAUGUUAUAAAAAGAAGAUGACAAAUAGCGAGUCUAAAAGUGCUUCUUAAGAAUUUGUUGGAAUAGAUGAUCAAUGAAGGAUGAUUUUGAGGCCAACUGAGGAAGAAGACAAUCCUAUAUUAGGAUGAUUUUGAGGCUGAUUGAUGAAGACGACAUUUGUUUGUGAGUUUUAUGUUUUGUCUUUGGGUUUGUGCUUGUUAAUUGUUGAAUGUUUCUCGCUCAAUAAGUUUGUAGGCGAUCCAACUUGAAAAUUAGGAUUAACACUGUGUGGUGCACAAAUUCUUGCGUGACCGUGUCUUGCUUGUUGAUGCUUGAAAAUUGAAAGAUUCUUAUUUAUGCUUAUGUUAAACGGGAUGCAUUUUUAAGAUUAGGGUAGGAUGUGAUUUUUGUGUGGCUAAUCUAAGUUUGAUAUUUUAAAGGUAAACUACCCGUUAAUUACUCUAAAUAAUGGUUGUUUCUAUUUCCUCACCUUAAGGCUUUUUUCUUUUUUCUUUUUAAAUUUGGUCUCUCUAAAAAGAAAUUGAUCAAAUUGAUCACCCCAUCAUUAAAGGGUAAAGGAAAGACUAAUGAUACAUUUCAUGUAUUGUUUUGGGUGACUAAAAUAGGAAAAAAAAAACACCUCCAUUUAAAGUGGCUAAAAGGUAGUUUACCCUAUUUUUAAAGUGAAUAUAAUUUUUUAUGAUUUUUAUAAAAUUUUACAAUUUCUUAUAUUUUUUCUAAUUUUUAAUAAAUUUUUAAUAUUUGAAUAUUUUACUAAAAUUUAAUAAUAUUGAUAACUUUUAUAAAUUUUUUUUCUAAUUUUUAAUAAAAACAAGGGCUUAAUUGUUUUUCUUGAAAAAGUCUAAGGGUGUACAUUUUGAAAGUUCAAGUACCCAAUUGAGUGAAAAAAAAAAGUAGGGGCUUAAUUGCUUUUUUUUUUUAAAAAGGUUUAAAGGCCUUUUUGAUGCAUUUUGAAAGUUCAAGUGCUCAAUUGAGUACAAAAAUUAUGGGUAAAGAAUAGAGAUUAUAAUGAACUCACAUCGUAAAUUAAAAUACCUCACUAUGAUAACUAUCCACAAACUUCGAGCAAGGUUGUAAAUGUUCAUCAACUACAGGGAUUUAAAUUGCGGUCGCGAUCGCGUUUUCGGUUGCGUCGCGUUUGUCGCGGUCGCGGACAUAACGGACGCUAUUGCAGUCACUGCGGGUAUCGCGGUCGUGAAUUUUUUUCAAAUUCACACAACUAACUGUAAAACAUAGUAAUUAUAAUUAUAAUUAUAAAAAGUCACUUUUAAUGAUUUUUAGAGUGUUUUCUAACACUUAUGAACAUUUAUUAAUAUGACAUGAGAACACAACUUUUAUAACCAUUAAUUAUUCUUAUAUUUAUUUACGAAUUUUCUAAGAAUGUUAUAUUAACUAAUAACAAAGUAAAAAAAAGGAAAUAUUAAACAUUUAUCAUAUUUAAUAAGUUUGAAAGUUUUUAUAGAUAAAAGAAUUGAGAAUUCAUAAAUUAGAGAUGUCUUCAAUAUUUCUUUUGACAGCUUUGAAGAUAGUGAAGAUAUAAAUAUGCUGCAAAAGGAAAAAAGGAAUAGAUAAAUUAAUGAAUAGAUUCUCAUUAAUUAUUCCUAUUUCCUACCACUUAUUCUCAUCUCAUUCUACUUUUAACAUGCUUCGAUUCUUCAUUAUCUUUUCAUAAAAUAUACUUCAUUCAUUUAUCUAAAGAUAUAUAUUAUUUUAAAUGUUUUAAUAUCAUCAAAAUUAAGAACAAUAACAAAAGAUUUCUUUAAAAAAAAACAUACCUUACAAAUAAUGAUAGUGGCACGAUUUAGUUUUCACCAAUUAGUGGAAUGACGAGGAAGAUCAAAUCCUUCACCUUCACUUUGGGAGCGUUCUUGACUUGAUUCUCUUGGCCUUUGUCCAAAAAUAUAUCCAAAAAAAGAAACAUUUUCACCUUGGUUUUCAUUCAAUUGAUAUGGAGGAUAUAUUUGAGGAUGAGGAUACAUGAAAGGUGGAGGUGGGUGAUACAUUGGUGGAGGAGGAUACAUUUGAGGCCGGUAUGGCACACCAUAAUUAGGAAAUGGUGGAUAACAACCAUAUGGUUGUGGAUAACCAUGUGAAGGUUGUUCUGGUGGAUAAAAACCUUGAGUGCUAGUAGAUGAAUCACUAUACCCAAGGUUACUAGAACUCGAUCUCCUACCACUGCCAGAUGAAGAGCCUAUAGAAGUAUGCUUCUUGCCUUUUCCCUUUGAUGGAGCUCUAGGUUCACUUCUAUCUCUCCUAGGUUCAGGAAACAUAUUUCCAUCAAACUCUGAUCUGUCACGAAAAUGUCCACCAGUGGUACCACCCCCAUAUUCUCCUCCAUACUAACUAGAAUACCGAAUUUCACCUCUAUCACCACUAUAUCCAUCAUCCUCAUCAAUUGGACUUAAACCACCACCAUCGGGUCCAUCGCCACUCUGACUUGGAGUUGAACUAGAACUUGAAUGAGACAAAAAUUGUUGUUGCGAUUGAUCAACAUCCAUUUCAUCAUCAGAGGUAUCCACAGGCAACACACCGGCAUUUUCACCAUCUAACAAUGGAUUCUCUUUCUCAUGAAGCCAUUCUGAUAGUGGAUCAACAUCUUCAAAGAUAUAAUCAAGGCUGAUAAGAUUAAAACUAGCAUUUAUAUCAUCAGUGCUCAUUCUUUGUUGAUGCCUCAUCUUAAGCCUCAUAUUAUAAUAGGUAAACACUAGUUUUUCAAGUUUUUUAUACUUUAACCUAUUUCUUGCCUUGGUGUGAAUAUAACUAAAUGUGCUCCAAUUUCGUUCGCAAUUUGAUGCUGAAGUUGUUUGACUAAGCACUUUAAUUGCUAAUUUUUGUAAUUCGGGAACACAUGUGCCGUAUAUCAUCCACCACUCAACUGCAUAAUAUUAUUUAAAUUUCAAAAUAACUUUAAAAUGUACAAUAUAAUUAAAUAAUAUAAAUUAAAUUAAAUAAUUUAAUUAACUGUUUACCCGAAUUCAUUUGCUUCCAAGAUCUUUGUGCUUGUGGAGUACCGAAUGUCUCAUGUUUAUCUCUAAAUAGUAACAACUGCAUAAAUAAAAGAUAGAGUAAAAAUAAAAAUAAAAAUUCUAUUUCAAAUGAUUUAACUAAGUUACAAAUAAUAGUAGUUGAAUCUAACCUGAUUAACCAUUCUGACUUGAGUAUCCAUAGAAGGUUCUAAUCUUUCAAUUACUGAUCGUGUACCUUCUAAUGUUUCUAUUAGUACAUUCUCAGAAUGCUCCAUCCCAAAUUGAAAUUGAGGGUUGAGAAAAUAACCUAAGUAUAAUUUAUAAGAAUAUCAUCAAAUAAUAAUAAUCUAAAGCUUAAAAUAAUAAAAUAUAAAAAUAGUUUUUAAUUAUAUGAAACAUUUUAUCUUACCAGCUGAAUGCAAGUCGGAAUGCAUAAAAUUCCAUCUAUUGUCAAUAAUCUUUUCAUACUCUGUGAAAUAUCGACAAUUUUGUUGAAUUGCUCGUUUAGCCCUAUCAACAGCCUCAUAAAUAAAGCCCAUCGUUGGUUUUUCAUCGCUAUCCACAAGUCUCAAUACUCUUACUAAGGGCUCAUAAACUUUUAUGAGGUCAUUGGCUUUUUUCCAAAAAUCUUUUCCCAAAACAAUUUUUUUGGCUUCAUAAGCAGGCCCUGACUUUUGCUUUCCCCAUUUUGAUUCUUUAAAUUCCUAUAUAUUCAUAAGAAAAAUUUUAAAAUAAUAUAAUUUAAAUUAUUUGGAACUAAUAAAAUCACUAAAGGUUACUAUAUUUAAGUAAUUAUAUUAACUAAUUAUAAAAUACUGACCUUUGAAUUAAACAUUUCUCUCAAACCUUGCUUUUGUCUUGUUAUCUCUUCUAGUUGAAUGAAAUGAGUUGAAAAUCGAGUAAGAGCGGGUUGAAGUAUUUGUUUCCCUUGUGUAUACUUCUUCAUCAAAUCAACAGUCCAAAUGUGAUUGUAUAUAAAGCAAGUCACUUUCUUUGCCUCAUCUAACACUUUUGCUACACUGGGCUUUUUCCCAAUAUCUUCAAGGCAUAAAUCUAAACAGUGAGCUGCACAUGAGGUCCAAUAUAGAUGUUGUCUUUUCAACAUUAAUUUUUUUCCAGCAGCUUUCAUUGCUGCCUCAUUAUCAGUCACUAUUUGGACAAUGUAAUUUUCUCCAAUUUCUUCUACAACUGAAUCUAACAAACGGUAGUAGAAUUCAGCAUCUCUACUACGGACACUUGAGACAUCUACCGAUUUCCAAAAAAUGGUUCCUUUACUGCAAUAAACAAAAAAAUUAAUGAUGUGCAUUUGAUUCAAACUGUUGGUCCAACCAUCACACAUUAGAGUUGCACCCAAUUCUUUCCAAUGAGUCUUUAGUACAUUUACCCAAUCAUGAACUCGUUGAUACUCUGACUCCAAAUACACAUCUGAAACCUUAUAAGGUGUUGGGAGCUUUACACCUUGUCCAACUUCUGUUGCCACUUGAAUUAAGUUAUACAACCAUGGAGAGCUUGCUAAUUGAAAAGGAAGUCUUUCAUAUAUUAUAAAUUUAGAUACCGCUUCACCUAUCUUCCUUCGAAAACUCUUUAAAAAAGAGUCAUUGACCUUUGGUUGCUUUGAACUUUUACUUCUAACCAAUUCAGGUAUAGCUCCCCUUAAGGUAAACUCAGACUCACCUGGAAUAGAUUUACUUGUUCUUUCUCUAUUAUGUUCUCUAGCUGAUCCAUGAGAAGAUCGCCCUUCUUCAUAAAUGUUAUCCCAACCACCAGUACUUCGUCUGAAUUCUUCCCUUCUAUGCCACUCGUGUUGUGAUUGGAUACUUUCUCGAGUUGCUUGCCUUAUAGCAGAAACCUCAUCAAUGAAUCCCUCGUGCUCAUCCUCCUCUUCUGUUAAUUGAGAUAAGAAUUCAUCUUUUCUCCUCUUUUUGUCUAUUUUCUUUGUGUUGCUUUCUUUUAGUACAUUCAUCAUACUUUCUCUAAUGACACCUGUUAAUAAAAUAAAAAUAAUUCACACUUUAUAUUAUUAUCAAUUAUAUAUAAUCUUUAUUGAUAAAUUUACAAUAACAUUUAAUAAUAAUAAUAAAGUAUCACAUACCAGUAACAUUAGGGCAUGGUGCAACAUUGCCAGUUUUAUGAGCAAUGUGCUCUUUAAAUCGUGUUAUUCCUCCUUUCACAACUUUACCACAAAGUUUACAGAUGAUACUUCCUCUCACAUUUGGCACUGGAGUUCCAAAGUGCCAACCUAUAUCAUUACUUGGUGCACCCUCCAAUCCUUUAGUCGGGAACUCUUCACGUGGUGGCAUGCUUUAUUUUUAUUUAUAUAAGAAACAUAAAAUUAUAUUUAGAAAUAUAAGCAACUCAUUACUUAUAUUAUCAACAAUAUAAUACCAAAAAAAGUAAACAAAAGUUAAAGCUAAAGUAAAGACCUAAUAUUAUAGAAAUAAAUAAAUAAAUAUUGUGUAAAACAAUUUAAUAAUAAUAAUAAUAAUAAUAAUAAUGGUAAUAAUAAUAAUAAUAAUAAUAAUAAUAAUAAUGGUAAUAAUAAUAAUAAUAAUAAUAAUAAUAAUAAUAAUAAUAAUGAUGAUGAUGAUGAUGAUGAUGAUGGUAUUAAUAAUAAUAAUAACAAUAAUAAAAAUCUUAAAAUUAAAAAUUAUAUGAAAGGAUAUACUAUAUAGAUAAAUAAAAUGAUAUAAUAAAAUAAAUGUAUUUAAAAUAUUUAGGUAAAUAAAUAUGAAAAGAAAUAUAAUUGAAAUAAUAAUGCAAAACUAAUUAAAUUUUAAUAAUAUGGUAAUAAUAACAAGUAAAUAAAUAAUAAAAUAAAAAAGGAAAAAUAAUAAUAGUAAUAGUAAUAUUAAAUUAAUUAAUUUAAUAAUAAAAUAGCAAAAAUAACAAAAACGGGACUAAAUCGAACUUAAAACAUAAAUUUGCGGCAAAUCUGAAAUAAAUAAAAAGAAAAAUGACCAAAUUGAAUGCACAAAUAACAAAAAUGGAUCAAAUGGGAAAUAAUCCCCAUCCUUCAAAACGCACAGCUUCAAGGUGGACCAAAUUGAAAUACGAAAUAAAUUAUAGGACAAAAUUAAAAAAGAAAUAAGCUUGAUUGUAAAUAAUAAAAAAUAGGAAGGGCUAAAAGCGUAAUUAACCCUUCCGUUAAAAACACGCAGAUCCUAGGAAACGGGUCGGGUAAGUGCGGGGUUAGGCCGAAACGGCGUCGUUUUGGUGCCAGAGUGGCCUGCCCAAAACGGCGUCGUUUUGAAGGCCUAUUUAAAUAAAAAAAAUUUCAGAAUCUUCAUUUCAGCCAUUCUUCAAAUAAUUUUUUUUCCUUUUUCUCUCAAUUCUCUUUUUUCUCAACCGUUGCCCAAAAUUCGGCCAUCGGCCACCGUGGCAGCCGCCGUUCACCGGCGACGGCGCUGCCGUGCACGGUGGUCAAAAAUUGCCGAAAACAUUUUAAACCCCCUUUUUUUUGUGUAGAAUAUAGAUUUAGGGAUAAAAAUCUCAAAAAAUCACUCUAUGUUGCAGAUUCAAGACAUGCAAGUACUUUACUUACUGGGUUAGUUUUCUACUUACUUGAUCUAUUGCUUUGCUUGCUGCCUGUGCCCUGUGGCUGUGUUUUUUGCCUUGCCGAAAUAUGGAGAAUGAAGAAAUAGAUUUUGCCUUUUCGUUUGCUUGUGAUUCUGUGAAAUGUGAGUUUGUGAGUCUGUGACUUACUGACUUGUAUUGUGAUUUGUGAGUGAGUUUUGAUUUUUUAAUUGACUUUCAGUCUUUUACUUUACUUUACUUUACUUUACUUUGUUAUUAUUGAAAGUUUGAAACUUGAUCGAUUUUGCAGGUUGGGAGGGAAUAUAUUCCCUUGCCUUUUGUUUUAUUAUCAAGUACAUUGAUUCAGUCUUUCUUCUCACUUUUCACUAUUCACUUCAAUAUUUCAUUCACCAGAAUCACCAUCCAUCUAUAGCACUUGAUUUUUUUUUUAAUUUACGGAAACGGAGAAUAACGAGAAUAGCGGCCCGUUAUUGCCGCAAUUGUCUGUUAUCCGUUAAAUUGCGGCCGCUAUCCACCGUUAUCGGUGUGAAUCCGCUUCCCUCCGUUAUUUUUAGCAAUAGCGGUUUCGAUCGGCGGCGCUACCGCUAUAUAACGGCCGCUAUUCUGAAAACGUUCUGUUAUUUGAAUCCCUGAUCAACUAUAUACUUUCCACAUUUUGGAAAAGACCUAGCCAUAAUAAUAACAUAUGAGCAACAUUUUCUCAAUCUCAAAAUGUAAAAAGCAAUACUGUACUAUCCUUUGAAGUUUGUUCUAAGAACAUUAGAAUGCUAAUCAUUAGAGUUUCAACUUAAGAUUAAACACAAAAAAUAUUGAAAAGUUUCAAGUACUAGGUGUAUUUUGAAAGAGUUGCUCCUAGGGCAUUUUCUCACCAUUCUUUUUCUUCCAUGGAUUCAAAUGCCUGUAAAAGAAAACCAAGGAAUAAAAAAUCAUAUCUACAACUCCAACAGAAGAGGGGAAUACCGGAAGAACAACCUCUACUUACCCUAUCAUAAACACUGGUAACAUCACUGUUGAAGCCUUUCAUAGCAGGGAAUCUUCAUAUAAAGAAUGAUUGAAAACCCACCGUGACACAUUUAGCUUUGAAGCUUCAGAUAGCUAGCCUAUCAAAAUGAUCAAAUAACAUAUCACAACUACCAUACAUGUGGUCUGAGCAUGAGAAAAUAAGGGAUGCUCUGAAAAAUUGGUGAUGAUCCAUCCAUCCAUAAUCACAACUGUUGACACCAUUUUUUGGAUGAAAAACGGGGUCGACUUGGGUUUUUUAAAAUGAAAACGAAACGGGAGUCGCCACCAACCCUUUUUGAUAAGGUGUGAUCGGAUCACCUUGAAAAACGGUUGUUUUUAAUAAACGAUUUAAUUUUAUUAAAACAACGGUUUUGGUCCACGAAAUUCAGAAAGACAGGCUCGGGAGUCGGUUACGCACGAGGAAGGAUUAGCACCCUCGAUACGCCCAAAAAUUGGUACCUAGUUGAUUAGUUAAUGUCUUAAUGUUGAAAAUUAAAAAUUUUAAAGAAAUAUAAAAUACGAUCCUUAAAAAAAAACUCGGAUGAUAUGGAUUGAAAAUCAAAAGGAUAUUUGGCUAUUCAGUUAAAUGAGAAAAAUCGACACCCAGCACCUUAGGGCACGUUUUCUCGAAUUUCCCAAACACAAAACAUUGCCUUAUUUUGAAUUUUUUCCUUAAAAGGAUAUUUAGCCAUUUGGUUGAAUGAGAAAAAUCGACACCCGCACCUUAGGGCACGUUUUCUCGAAUUUCCCAAACGCAAAACAUUGCCUUAUUUUAAAGUUUUUAAAAGGAUAUUUAGCCAUUUGGUUGAACGAAAAAAAUCGACACCCAGCACCUUAGGGCACGUUUUCUCGAAUUUUCCAAACGCAAAACAUUGCCUUAUUUUAAAGUUUUUAAAAGGAUAUUUAGCCAUUUGGUUGAACGAGAAAAAUCGACACCCAGCACCUUAGGGCACGUUUUCUCGAAUUUCCCAAACGCAAAACAUUGCCUUAUUUUAAAAUUUUUAAAAGGAUAUUUAGCCAUUUGGUUGAACGAGAAAAAUCGACACCGAGCACCUUAGGGCACGUUUUCUCGAAUUUCCCAAACGCAAAACAUUGCCUUAAUUUAAAAAUUUUAUUUUUGAUAAAUUCGAGUAAAAUAUAAGAUAAUGAUAAUAAUGAUAAUGUAAAUAACACAAGUAAAUAAGAAAAGAUAAAUAAAUAAGAUGGCAAAUAUAUAAUGAAAAGAAAUCAACAAAUAAAAGUAAAUAAAAAAUAAAAUUAAAACACUUAAAUAAAAUAAAAAUAAUAAUGAGCAUGUAAAUAAAUAAAUAAAUAAACACCAAAUGAAACAAUAAUAGUGAAUAACAUUAUAAUAUUUAUAUAUAUAGGUAUAUAUAAAAAUUAUGAAAAUAGAAGUAAUAAAAACAUAUAUAUGUAAAAAUAUGUAUUAUUUAUAAAAACUAGAAAUAUGUACAUGUAUUAUAAAUAUAUGCGUGUAUAAAUAAAUUAUAAAAAAGUAAGUGUAUAUGUAUACAUAUAUAUAUUUCAGAUAGUAUGUAUGUAAAUAUAUAGAAACAUAUAUGUAUAUAUAAAAAGAAAUACACGUAUAUAUAUAAGAACAAUUAUAAUAAUAAUAAUAAGUAAUAAUAUUACAAAAAUAACAAUAUGAUAUAAAAAUAUAAUAGUAAACAAAUAAAAAUAAAAAUAAAAUACAACAAUAAAACAGAUGGACUAAAUAGGGAUAAAAACAAAAGUACUGGGAAAAAUCGAAAUAAAAAACAAAAAAAUGACUAAAUUAAAAUGGAAACGAAAUCUCAGGGCCGAGAUAAAAAAUAAAACAGAGUAAGGGAUCAAAAUGUAAUGCGCGCGAAAAAUAGAGUGGCCAGUUAGGAAAUUAUCCCUAUUAAUCGAACGGCGCCGUUCUGCCAAGGCCCAGGCGCAUGGUUCCUGGACUAAAUUGAAACGGAUGCGAAAAUUUGUGGCCAAAAUUAUAAAAAAAAAAAGAAACCGCCUUGAACACACCACAAAAGUGGAGGUACUUAUUGCGAAAAUAUCCCAUUUGCAGAAAACGCGCGGAUCCUCCCCCUGGGCCGGGUCACCGCGCGGGUCAGAGACCAAAACGACGCCGUUUUCGGUCUCUGAACCCUAAGCUCAAACGGCGCCGUUUUAGGGGGGUUAUUUAAACCCAAAAUUUUUACAAAAAUUCAUUUUUUCUAGUUAAAAUAAAACAAACUCAAAAUCAUUCUCUUUUUUUCUCUGUUUCAAAAACGCUUCCCCUCCCCUUUUGAACCCGGCCACGGCGUCGGUGAGCUCGCACGAAGGCUUCACCGUAGCCUCGUCGCUGCUUCGCCUUGCCGGAGAAUAAAAAGAAAAGAGGGGCUACCCCCUUUUGCCCGUCUCUCCUCUGGCUUGGCCUAAACGAAACCCCGUAGGAUUUCUGUGGCUCCAUCGCAGAAGGGGUCAUCGACGGUGGCGCCGCAAGUGAAAGGUUCCUCCUUUCGACCCUUUUUUGAUUUUUUAGAGAAAUAAAUUCAAAUAAAACUUAAUAUAAAAGAAGACAGAGGAUUCAAGAGGCUUAAAUCACCUUGAAACUGUUUAUUGUUGUUUUUCUUUUUUUUGCUACUCUGUUUUUGCGUUACAUAAAUCGCUAGAAAAAAAAACAAAGUUACAUUUUGCUGGCUUUUAUAGCCGAUCUUCUAUUGCCUGCGUUCUUUGUUUGCUUGUUCUCUUCUUUGCAGGUGACGGCGCAAGUGGCGUGGUCGACGUGACUGUGGCGGUGGCGACGUGACGUUUGCGGCGACGAUGGCAGACCAAAGGUCAAUAGGUGCGGUGCUAGGGUUUCAGAAAAUCUAAAACCCUAGUCUGAAUUUGACACUUGAGCUUGGGUCUAUUGGCUGAAUUGGGUUACUGAUUUGGGCUUUGGUAGGUUUAGGGUUAAUUGGGCUUUAAUUUGGGUAGUGGGCUGGGUAAAAAUUUGGGCUGUACAGCUGCCCCUCUUUGCUCGUUGUCGUGUAAUGAUAGCAGAGCAAAGACUAAGAAAGACCAAUUUUUACCCGGUCUCAUCGAGGAAAUAGGAUUCGCCGUUGCGGCUUCAAUCUUUUAGUUGCAAUGUCGGGAAAGCAAGAUUCACUAUUGUAGCUCCAAUCUGUUCCACUGCACCGCUAGAGAAAGUAAGAUUCGCCAUUGUAGCUUCAAUCUUUUUAACUGCUGGGGAAGCAAGAUCCGCUGUUGUAGCUUUAAUCUGUUCCACUGCAACACUAGGAAAGUAAGAUCCGCUGUUGUAGCUUCAAUCUUUUUAAUUGCAAUGCCAGGGUAGUAAGAUCCGCUGUUGUAGCUUCAAUCUUUUGAAUUGCAAUGUCGGGGAAGUAAGACCCACUGUUGUAGCUUCAAUCUUUUGAAUUGCAAUGUCGGGGAAGUAAGAUUCGCCGUUGUAGCUUCAAUCUGCUCCACUGCAUAACUUGGGAAAGUAAGAUUCGCCGUUGUCGCUUCAAUCUUUUGAAUUGAAAUCUAUGGUUUCUUCGAUCUACUUUGCUGUCAACUUAGAAAAGCAAGACCUGGUAUCUUCAUUAAUCUGUUCUUUGGGGAACAUGAUCUAUAUGAACCUAUUUAUGCCUAAUGAUCAUGAUCAAAAUAUCCUGGCUAAAUGUGUAUGCACGAAUGUAAAAUGAUCUUUCAAUGUUUGAGUUGUUAAUGCUCCUUGCUCAAUAAGGCUUUAUUGCCAACACGUCCGAACACUAUCUUGUCCGGUUGGUAAUGCUCAUCUCUCACUUGGUCGGGUUGCCCCUAUUGUAAUCUUCAAGGUUCAAUCCACUGGAUGCAAAAUUUGAAUCACCUUUCUCCCUCUGUAACCUAAGGAUAGAAGGAUCUGGCCCUUUCUCGAUCCUCUAUUAUCAUACAGAAUGUGACACUCUUUGGUCUCCUACACCAUUCCCAGGGUGUCAUACUAACUGUUUAUGCACAAUCGCAAAAUUUUCUCUUCCGAGAAACCUCUUCUUAUCAUUUGGUGAUCAUUGAAGGUUUGUCACCAAUAUGACAUCUUGUCAUUUUGUUUAAUCCAUGUUUGGACAACAAAGUUUGAAAGGAUAGUCCUGACUUAGACUUUUCCCUUUUAGGUACUUUAAACUUGGUGUGUUCUAAACAACAGUCCGGUUUCAGGUUCCUUCAUUAUUUGGAAAUUUCUGGAUUAAUAUGCAAAACUCCUUUUGUUUGAACAUUCAGUCCAUCGAAAGAUUAUCGCAAUAGACAAACAAAAUGUUAUUGAGAACAAAUCUCGAAAUGAAUGAGUUAAUCAAAAUAACAAAUUUUGCUAAGAUAAGAUGAAAAGCAGACAAUAAACAAAAUGGAAUUUUAUUGGGGAACAAAGCUGGAAAUGAAUACAUUAAUCAAGACAACAAAUUUUGUCAAGAUUCAAAAUAUAAGGUGACAACAGAUGCCCCAGAUAUCGCAGCACGAGCUUCCCUGCAUAAGUUUUUCUAAAGAUCAUUUAAUAUGUGUUUAGGGAAUCUACAGUAUUUUGUCAAUACACCAAGAUGUCGCCUACCCUUUCUUGUGAUUCAGGUAUAGUAAGACCACCACAUGCGUCUUGAUCAAAAUUUUGAGUUGUUCCUUUCACCUCACGUUUCUUCAAAAUUUGAGCCGCCUUUUUCAGGUAUUCAACUCAAAUCCCUUUUGGUCUCAAGACGCCCAUUACGGGUUUUCACAUUGGCCUCUCCUUUUUUUUGAAGUGCCCCUUUUUCAAGUGAAAUAUUUCUUGACUGAAUCUGAGUUUACAAGAUUUGGCAGGCUUUUACCAUCCAUCUCGCUCAAGAUUAAAGCUCCUCCUGAAAAGGCCUUUUUUACCACAUAAGGACCUUCCCAAUUUGGCAUCCAUUUUCCUCUAAAAUCCUUUUGUAGAGGAAGAAUCUUUUUCAACACCAAGUCCCCCUCGUAAAAUUCUCUGGGACAAAUUUUUUUGUUAUAGGCUCGCAUCAUUCGUUUCUGAUACAUCUGACCGUGACGAAUAGCUUUUAACCUCUUUUCUUAUACCAAGUUUAGCUGGUCAUAUCGAGACUGAAUCCAUUCAGCCUCAUCUAACUUUAGUUCAGCUAAUAUUCGGAGGGAAGGGAUUUCAACUUCUAUGGGUAAAACUGCCUCCAUCCCAUAAACUAAAGAAAACGGCGUUGCCCCCGUAGAGGCCCUAACAGAGGUACGAUAUGCCAGAAGAGCGAAAGGUAAUUUCUCGUGCCAAUCUUUGUAGGUUUCAGUCAUUUUCCCCACAAUUUUUUUGAUAUUUUUAUUAGCUGCUUCCACAGCACCAUUCAUUUUUGGACGGUACGGUGACGAAUUGUGGUGUCUGAUCUUAAACUUACUACAAACUUUCGCUAUUAAGUUGUUGUUCAAGUUCAGCGCAUUAUCGGAUAUGAUCCUUUCAGGCAUCCCGUAUCGACAUAUGAUCUCUUUUUUCAGAAACUUGCUAACUGCUGACUUCGUGACAUUUGCAUACGAAACAGCCUCCACCCAUUUAGUGAAGUAAUCAAUAAUCACAAAGAUAAAACGAUGCCCAUUAGAAGCCUUUAGAGAUAUUGGCCCGAUAACAUCCAUUCCCCACAUGGAGAAAGGCCAUGGAGAAACCAUAACAUGAAGGGGUGACGGUGGUGCGUGCAUUUUGUCACCAUAAAUUUGGCACUUAUGGCACUUUUUGGGAUAAUUAAUGCAAUCCCCUUCCAUGGCAGACCAAUAAUACUCAGAUCUCAUAAUUUGUCUGGCCAUCGUAAAGCCGUUGGCAUGUGUUCCACAAAUACCUUCAUGUACUUCUUCCAAAAUUUUCUUGGCCUCAACAGCAUCCACAUACCUCAACAAUACUUGAUCUUUUCCCUUUUUAUACAAAAUUUCCCCAUCUAGGACAUAGUCAAUGGCUAAUCUCCUUAAUGUCUUCUUAUCAUUAUCCGUCGCACGGUCAGGGUACUCACGACUCUUCACAUAUCGCAAUAUGUCAUGAUACCAAGGGUGAUCAUCCUAUUCCCCUUCAUUGCCAAUGUUGCAACAAUGGGCUGGAGCCUAAUAAAUGUUGAUCUGGAUAGGCUUCAUAUCCUCUAGUUUGUUCACCUUAAACAUAGAAGCUAGGGUAGCCAAAGCAUCUGCCAUCUGAUUCCCAUAUCGUGGGAAAUAGCUAAAGGUGACAUUAUCAAAUUCCUCAAUCAAUUCCAUAACCAAUUUUCGAUAGCGGACUAACUUCGGGUCUCUUGUUUCCCAUUCCCCUUUGAGUUGGUAAAUUACUAAUGUAGAGUCCCCAUAUACCUCUAGCACCUUAAUUUUCCGCUCUAUGGCUGCUCGGAUGCCCAUAAUACAAGCUUCAUACUCAGCCAUGUUAUUUGUGCAAUCAAAAUCCAAUUUGCUAGUGAAAGGGUAAUGAUCUCCACUAGGGGACACGAGUACUGCCCCGAUUCUAUUGCCUAUAGCAUUUGAAGCUCUGUCAAAAUUUAGCUUCCAAGGACCACCUUCUUGGAAAUCUCUUUCUGUAGUUACAACAUACAUCAAAUCUUCAUUUGGGAAAUCAAAGUUCAAUGGUUCAUAAUCCUCCAGCGCUCUACUAGCCAGGAAGUCCGCUAUCGCACUCCUUUUGACCGCCUUCUGGUUCACAUAGACUAUGUCAAAUUCAGAUAGGAGAAUUUGCCAUCGGGCCAUUCUUCCAUUCAAAGCGGUUGAUUCCAUCAAGUAUUUCAGAGGGUCCAAUUUAGAAAUUAGCCAGGUUGUAUGGUACAACAUGUACUGUCUUAGUCUCCGAGUUGUCCAGAUCAGGGCACAACAUAACUUCUCGAUUGGCGAAUAUCUUGUUUUGCAUUCGGUGAACUUCUUGCUGAGAUAGUAGAUUGCUCUUUCUUUUCGUCCUGACUCAUCAUGUUGACCAAGCACGCAUCCCAUGGAAUUUUCAAAUACUGCUAAAUACAGUAUAAACGGUUUGUCUGGGCAAGGUGGCAUCAGCACUGGGGCGUUGGAUAAGUAAUGUUUGACUUUUUCAAAAGUUUUUUGACAUUCUUCAUCCCAUACACCUGGAUUAUGUUUCUUAAGGAGACGAAAUAUGGGGUCGCAUUUCUCGGUUAGCUGUGAGAUGAACCGAGCGAUAGAGUUCAGCCUUCCUAGAAAACCUCUAACCUCUUUUUGAGUAUACGGUGGACGUAAUUCUUGUAUUGCUCUUACUUUGUCAGGAUCAAUUUCAAUUCCUCUUUCACUGACCACGAACCCCAACAAUUUUCCUGAUCUGACCCCAAAUGUGCAUUUCGCUGGAUUUAGCUUUAGUUGAAAUUUUCUCAACCUCACAAAUAAUUUCUUAAGGACCUGCACAUGUUCCUCUUCUAUUAUAGAUUUUGCAAUCAUGUCAUCAACAUAGACUUCUAACUCCUUAUGCAUCAUAUCAUGGAACAGUGUUACCGUGGCCCUCUGGUACGUUGCCCCUGCAUUUUUCAACCCAAAUGGCAUUACCUUUUAACGAAAGGUUCUCCAUAAGGUUAUAAAUGUAGUUUUCUUCAGAUCCUCAGGAUGCAUCUUAAUUUGGUUGUAUCCAGAGAAACCGUCCAUGAAAGAAAACAGCGAAUGCCCUGCUGUGUUGUCCACCAAAGCGUCGAUAUGUGGCAAGGGAAAGUUAUCUUUUGGGCUAGCCUUAUUUAAAUCUCUAUAAUCUACACACAUUCGUACCUUUCCAUCUUUUUUAGGGACAGGAACAAUAUUGGCUACCCACUCAGAGUAUUUGACCACUUGCAGGAAUCCAGCGUCGAAUUGCUUUUGCACAUCCUCUUUUAUUUUUAAUAUAACAUCAGGCCUCAUUCUUCGGAGUUUUUGCUGAACUGGUUUGCAAUCUUCCUUUAUAGGAAGUCGGUGAACUACGAUGUCAGUACUUAACCCCGGCAUAUCUUGGUAUAACCAUGCGAAGACAUCUUUGAACUCUUGAAGCAAUUCAAUGAGGUCUUGUUUUACUUCUUCAGCUAUGCACGUGCCAAUCUUCACCAUUUUUCCCUCUUCCAAGGUCACUGUCUCUACCGUCUCUUCGUGAGGUAGGAUUUGUUUCUCUUCCUGCUCCACCAUCCUCAAUAAGUCCGGAGAUAGGUUGCACUCUAUGUUAUCUUCAAAAUCUUGAGAUUCCUCUAAACACAUAUCUCGUUCGAAAGGAUUUUCUAAGUCCAUAGUAAAGUCACUCAUGUCAUUGAUAUCUUGGGACCUGUUAUAUGUACCGAAGAAUGUACAGGGAAUGUAUGAAUUUAAGGAUUCUUAUUUAAUAUGGUCAUGAAUGAAAUGAAAGAAUGAUUUGGAAUAAAAACAUCCAAGAUAACUAUCCAUACGAAAGAAUGAAAAGAAUUUUAAAAGAAUAUAUACUCAAAAUGCGAAAAUAUAUUUCAUUGAAAUCACAAUGUUCAAAUAUAAGCCCAUUUCAUUUCACAAAAAGUUUCAUUUUCUCUAGGCUUAGAACAAUUAGCAUGUUUUGAAUAUUACUCUGAAAAAGCUCUAAAAACUUCAGGCAUUUCUUCUAUAGUCCAAUUGUUUAAAACACUCCCAGGUUCAACGGGAUAAAUGCCUGAUGUAUUUUCUUCUUCAGAUUUUUCUUCAAAUAUGGCAUUGAUGUUCAAGUUUCCUAACAUUUCCUCUGUGGUCUUCUUUCUUGGAGUUCUCAGCCCAAAAUACAUGGUUCCUCUUGAUACGAAGGUCCUGGAUAUGUGGGGGAAAGCCAACGGUUCCCAAUCAAUUUCUUUUCCGUUCAAACUCGCAUUCCUCCUCUCUUGUCUUUUCUCCAGCUCUUUCCUUCUUUGCUUAACAUUUGGCUUAAAUCCUAAACCAAAGCGGUCUCGUUUGUCCUUCACCACUGGUGCCUCUAUCCUUCCUUGAAGGCAUCUUCCCAGUCCUCUUCCAGGCACAGCUCCUUUUCCAAUUGUCAUUUGUAGUCCCAUUCUCGUGGCUCUAGAUAUGCUGGGCAUUGGGAUCCUCUUUCUCUCAAUAAUGAAGGUCGCAUUUACGAACUCUAAGGAUCGAAAGGAACAUUCGACCGCCUCAUCAUCUGUUUCCAAAUAUGGUGCGUCACUGGUUACUAAUGCAAUGAUAUCUUCCUCAGCGUUAAUCGUAAUUAAACGGCCUUCUGUUACCAAUUUCAACUUCUGGUGCAAUGAUGAAGGCACCACUCCUGCUGAAUGAAUCCAGGGUCUUCCCAACAAGUAGUUAUACGAAGGCUUGAUAUCCAUCACUGAGAAAUCCACCUCGUAUGUAUUUGGGCCAAUCAAUAGGGGUACUUCUAUUCUUCCCAUCACCUUCCUUUCGGUACCAUCAAAUGCUCUCACUAUGUUCUGACAUGAUUUCAUGUGAGAGCUAUCCAUCGGUAACCUUUUUAAGGUGGACAGGGGUAAAACAUUUAAUGUUGAUCCAUUAUCAAUUAGCACUCCCGCUAACGUACACUCCCCGCAGCGAGCAGUGAUAUGUAAUGCUUUGGUGGCUCCUCUUCCCCCGGCGGUAUUUCAUCAUCAUUAAAGAAAAUGAAAUUGUCGGUACUGAUAUUAUUAACCAAGCGGUCCAACUUAUUCAAUGAGAUAUUGUUAGCGACAUAAGUUUCAUUUAGAACCUUAAUCAACACAUUAUGAUGUAUUUCUGAACUUAUAAGCAACUCAAGCACCGAGAUACGAGCCGGUUGUUUAUGUAAUUGUUCUACCACGCUAUACUCGCUAUGUUUCAAGAAUUUUAGAAAUUCUCUAGCCUCAUUUUCAGUUACCGGCUGAUUGACACGCGGUUCAAUUUUGUCUGUUUUUAUUUUUCCCAACUCAACUGCUAAGGCUUUUCCUUUUCCCAAAUUCAUUCUUGCAUUUUUCAGAUCAUAGCGUUUUCCACUUCGUGUAUAGAAUCCUUCAUCCUCUCCUGAAGCGUUUACCAAGCUCUCUUUCCCUGGAAUUGUCACAUUGCAGUCGUAAUUCCAAGGAACCAUUUUGCUAUCCUCGUAAGGAAAGGAUACAGGUUAUUGGAUUAUGACCUUUGGUGCUAUUUGUAUUCCAGAUUCUUUGUUCAUUGGCUUUGAAAUGAUAACCACUGGGUGAUUAACCUCUUGGGCUUUCCCCGCAGAUCCUUCCUCUAAAGCAUAAACUUCUCCCUGUUCUAGUCCCUUGACCUCUUCAUAAAACUCCAUUUCUUUGUUAUCCAUUAAGCUCUGUACCAUGGUUCUGAACUCAGUGCAUUUUUGGAUGUCGUGGCCUUCUUUUGCGUGGAACUCACAAAACUUCCUAGCCCCUUCAGGCCUUUCUAUUGAAUUUUGCUUGAUGAGCCCUCUUUUCACCAUUUGUUUCCAAACCCAUUCAAGGGGGUCCUUAUCUUUGCUACGUUUGCUUUGACCCUCCUUCCUCCAUUCUCAGUUAUCACGUUCACCCCUUUAUCAUCAUGAUUGGGCAAUGGAUUCCCUGCUAUGUUUGGCCCUGAUGAGUCGCCAAUCUUUACGAUCCCCAAAUUGAUAAGUUUUUCAACUAACUUCUUGAAUGCAGUGCAGUUCUCAAUCAAAUGCCCCUUAGUCCCUGCGUGAUACUCGCAUUGGGCGUUUGCGUCAUACCACUUAGGGUAUGGAGGUUGCAUAGGUUUUAGGUAAAAAAUGGAGACCACAUGGGCAUCAAAUAGAUUUUGGUACAGCUCCUUGUAAGUUAUCGGUAUAGGUGUAAACUGGGGUCUUUCUGACUUCGAAUUAGACUCCUACCUCGGAGGGCCCUGAUGAUUGGUAGCUACUAUCUUUGGUGAGCCAACAGUGACAGACUUUGAAUAUCAUUUGCUGUAUGUAUUCACAUUAUUUAUCUCACCUUCCUUCUUCCUUGAGGUCGGUCUUCUAGAAUUUUCCCCCGCAUCUAUUUUACCACUUUUUACCGUAUUUUCGAUCAUUUCACCAGUCAUCACUAUGUCUGAGAAACUUUUAGUGGCACUUCCUAACAUAUGAUUGAUGAAUGGGGCCUUCAAAGUAUUGAUAAAGAGCAUUGUGGUUUCUUUUUCCAGUAGAGGCGGCUGGACUUGAGUUGCCACCUCCCUCCACCUCUGAGCGUACUGCCUGAAGCUUUCAUUUUGUUUCUUUUCCAUGUUUUGUAGGGUGAUCCUAUCGGGUGUUAUGUCCGAUAUGUGACUGUACUGUCUCAUGAAGGCCUGUGCCAAAUCUUUCCAAGAACUAAUUUGGGUACGACUCAGCUGAUUGUACCAUUUGGCAGCAGCUCCUAUCAGACUGUCCUGGAAACAGUGAAUUAACAAUUGAUCAUUGUCAAUAUAUCCCGUCAUCCUCCGAUAGAACAUGGUGAUGUGGGCUUCGGGACAGCUAGUUCCAUUGUACUUCUCGAAUUCGAGCAUUUUAAACUUAUGCGGAAGAACUAAGUCAGGGACCAAACUCAAGUCUUUAGCAUCGAUUUUGCAACGGUAAUCGGCAUUUUCCAUUGCUCUAAACUUUUCUUCUAACCACCUACACCUAUCUUCAAGUUGUUUCGGCAAAUCUACUCUUGCCUUUUCUGCUUCCGUUACAUCAUUCAAAUCAAGAACAACAGGGUUAGCCGGAUUAUCUCCCGGGUUAGAACCUGAACCUAUCUAAAAAUUUAUUGGUGCCAUGGUGUCAACCUGGCAUUGAGGCCUAAUGUGAACAUGCACUCCUUGUUGACACAUAUCCGGUUGUGCCUGAGUGCUCGUUGGGGCAAAACUUGGAGGAUAAACAGGGUCCUCCUGAUCGACUCCCGAAUUGGUAGCAGGGCCUUUUCCUUUGUCAGCCAAUAAUUGUGUCAAUUGGCUCAUCAUGGCUCUUUGAGAUUCCAGCACAUCUAAUUGUUCUUGCAUUUUAUCUUGUAUUUCUUUCUGCGUUUGUUCCAAUCGUUCUAUCUGUUGAUCCAUUGCUUUUGUUUUCUUUCUUGUACCGUAAGGGUGUUCCAGGAUAAUUGAAAUAAUUUUAUUUAAUUAGGGUCCUUUAAUGGUUGUUAAUGCAUAUGAUGUGAUGCAAUGCAUGAAAUGAAUGCAAAAAGAAAAGGCAUUGACUCUGAUUCAAUUCCAUUUAGAAAACUUUACUAGAAAAAUAAAAUUCUUUACAUAAGAUAGAUUACAUAUACGGUUUUGCCCUAAUGCUCAAAAUUCUAAUCUUCUUAAGUAAUGAAGCUAGCUCUUUUCCUCGGCUUGAUUCCAGCUCAUAUUUUACACUUAGCAUAUCAGCUUGCACUGCCAGCGUUUGCAAGUGAUCCGCAACCUCUCGAAUUUGAGUCACAGCUUCUCCCAUAAUGUGAUCCCUAUCUCUAACUUGGUUUUGAAAGUAGUGCAACUGCUCAUUUUGACGGUCUUCAUUAGCUUCCAAAUACUCGAUCCGGAUCUCGCAAUUUCGCAAUGCUGCUUCUAACUCUUCAGUUCUUUCUUUCAUUUCUUCAAUUCUAUUUAGGCUUGCCCUCAAUUCCAUCACAGAGUUCCGAUUUUAGUGCCGAUGAAGAGAUCCUUCUAAUUCAGUCAUUCUGUUCUCUAGCUCCCCUUUUUCCUUUUGAUUUUCUGACAAAUUCCUCUUUAGAGUCUCGUUAUGUGCUUAAAUUUCUUGGAAUCUCCUUUCCCAUUCAUCAGCUUUAUUCUUUUCUUCUUGAAUCUCCUUGCGCCACUGCUCAGAAGUCUUUCCCAACCCGGCAGUCCUCAUUGAUAAUCGCAACUUCUUAUAAUCUGUUUUCAAACUAUCAAGAUCUUCUUCAGCCCUAGCUUUCCCUUUUCUUAAUCGCUCCGUCUCGAGCUUCUGAACAUCUGUAUCCAAUUUUAAGUUCAUUUUUUCCUCCUCUAUUUGCUCUAUCUUCUUUUCUAACUCUGCAUUUCUUUCUUGAAAGUCUUGUUUUAAUAUUUCUAGUUCAGAAGGGACGACCCGUAAAUGCUCCUCUAUUGAUUGACUGCCUUCGCGACUCGGCUCAAGAAUAUUGUCGUUAAUCCUCUUACUCCGCUACCCAUGAUAUCUAGGAGUUAUCAUUGCCCCAACGGUGAAUCUUUUCAUCCGGUGAGUUUGCUUCCAAGCGUUGGACAUUUCUCGAAUCUUUCCUUUGUAGUUAUUACUCCCAUAAGCAAACUCACACUCGGUCAGUCCUUGCAUUGCCGGUAUGAACUGACUUGAUCUAUAUUGUCUUAAUAUGAGCAGAGGGGUAUAUCCGACAACUCCCCAAAUUCUGAGUAAAGGAACCCAAUCGAAGUCUCCACAUCGAUACAAAAUCUUGCCAGGCACUAUCCAAGGAGCUUUCCAUUCAACAUCCUCAUCUCGGAGAUUUUGAAGGAUUGCCAUCCACCUUUCUCCAGUAAUAUUGUCACGUAUUGAUGUUGCUGCUGAUUCUUUCAAAGGAGAGUACUUUUCAGAGAACACUUUGUAAGAAACCUUAUCCACCUUCCAGAAGUGACUAUGGAACCAAACUAAUAGAAGCUGUGCACAACCAAUAAAUCUUCCUUCACCUGCUCUCUGGCAUGCACUCAAAGAUCUGAAUGUUUCAGCCAAAAUUGCUGGGACUGGUGUAAUCCCCCUAUCAAGUUGAUUGAACAAAUCUGUAACCGUUUCAUCAAUAUGUCUUAAUGCUUUGGGGAAAAUAACCAACCCAUAGAUACUCAAGGCGAGGACAUCAACUUUCUUCUUUGUAUCAGGGUGUGCCGAAAUCUAAUCUCGCAAACUUCUCCAAGGGAUACAUUUAUUUUCCCCUUUUUGUUUGAUAUGUGCCGUAACCCAUUGCUCGCUCAUUCCGGUAAUUUUUGCUAACUUCCUUGUAAAAGUGAGAACAUUGGCAGUUCUAGAAUAAACUUUAUCUACUUGGAUUCUUGGACAACGAAGUAAAGUUCUAUACUCCUCCACAGUAGGCACUAUGUCUACCUCCCCAAAGGUGAAGCAGCUAUAAGCAGAAUUCCAAAAUUGGGCCAGAGCUCGAAAUAAAUGCUCAUCCACCUUGAUAUCGAGCAAGUAGGGCAGAUCACCAUAAUUACAGCAAAACAACUGUUUGACCUCGUCAUCCCAUUGAGCCCAAAUUUUUUUCAACUCUUGGAGAUCAUUCUAAGUUACGUUGAUACAAGUGAAGUCCCAUAAUUCUGAUGUGUAUCCCUCCGUCAAACUAUCACCUUUCUCAAGUUGUGUUUUUUCUGACCAUGUUUGGACAACCGAAUUAUUAUCCGCCUUAUCAGGAAAUUCGUUUUCCAUGAUGAGCUUUCUGUCUAGAAAUCGAAUGUGAAUCAACGCCUUUUGUAAUGAAAUGCCAUGCAGUUGAGAUGUCAUGCAUCCAAAGUAAAAUAGCAAAGAUUAGUAUCAGAUAUAAACAUAUAAUCCAAAACAAUUCAGAAAGAUUAAAAAUACAUAUCAGGGUAUCACUAAGGUUUGGUGUAGUUCUACCUAGGGUGAGUUCCUAAGGUUCACUACAUGCGGUUUGGCUCUAAAGUAAGGGUACCCAAACCAGCAGAUUCCUCGAUCUUCACCCAUUAUAGGCUCAUAUAGACCGAGUUUGGUUCAGGGGAAUACAUUUAGCUAUGGCUGCACGGAGAUGAAAAUCUCACGAAGACAUAGGUACGGAUGUAUCCCGAAAGUGAUCCACUAUCCUGGACGGAGGUGAAAACCUCACGAAGGACUAGCUUCUCACUCCUACUUAAAAAGGUGUGACCAACGGUCAUGCAAUGCAAUGCCAAAAGAUAUAAAAAUUUAAAAUACAAAACAUGAUGAAAACUCAAAACAAAUGAGAUGCAAUGAGAGGAUCGUAUAUUUAAAUCACAUUUUCAACUUUCGACAAAAAGACAAGAAAUAAUCAAAUCGUGGCUUGACUCUCUUAUUUAUGUCCCCAGCGGAGUCGCCAAGCUGUUGACACCAUUUUUUGGAUGAAAAACGGGGUCGACUUGCGUUUUCGUUUUCAUUUUUCAAAACCCAAGUCGACCCCAUUUUCAAUCAAAAAAAUGGUGUCAACAACAACGAUUGCGCUCAAGCGAUGCAUCAACAAGAGAAGUGCACACAUAAACGUACAAAAUACCGAGGAAAGCCAACCAAACAUCCUUCAAUAGUACAAUGAAAUGUCAAACGUUUUUAACUAAAUCCCAUUCCCAUAUACAUAGGCAUAACAAUUGCAGUUGAGCGAUUGCUCCAAACCCAUGCCAUAUAGUACAAAGCAAAGGAUCCUUAAAGACGAGGACGAUAUAAGAGUUAAGCAAACAUAUAUGCAAAAAAAGCGUAGAAAUCAGAAGCUGCCGAUGAUAACAGAACAUUAAAAUUGCUUAAUAAAUGUUCCCGAUGAAAAAUAUAUGAAUAUACGCAUAAAUUUAGUAUUGCUAUUAAAUAUCAUGAGCACUGCACAAAUUUAGCCCAAUUUAAAGGAAAAAAAAUUCUCUAAAUUUCCAUUUUAUUUGACAUAUCUAGAUUUGUAAUUUGAAACUUUGUUCUUAUUCACAUGAAUUAAAAUUUGAUCUAAUCUGAUUUUAUCAUUAAAAAUGAGCCAACAGCCUAAAUCUUAAUUAAGACGAAUAAAAGCCUAAUCAUGUGGUUUUGUGAGAAAUUGACACUAGGGUAAUCUAAAAUUAAACGCUUGAUGAUCUCUCGACUCUCUUAGCUUCUUGCUAGGGAAUUAGAUUACUCUCACACACUAACACACACAUUUCCCCUAAGGUAGCUACGCUAAUUUUCUUGAAUUCCCUUCUUAAUCGCAGCUCUUAUUUCUAGUGAUUUUAUCCCUACAGAUUGAUCAACCAAUCAUGCUAAAUCGCUAAAUAAAAUACCAUACUGGCUGUGUGAAAUGCUGCCAUCGGAGGCAUCCUUCGCGAUCAUAAUAGAACUUCCUUGCUGAUUUUUUUUAAGGCCAUUAGAAAAGAAAAUAUAACAAGAGAGCACAAAUUGGUUCGGGGAUAUUAUUCCUUAGAACAACAGGCAGAACCAAGAAUGAAAAUUACAUCAUAAAAUAAAAUACCUCACCACAAUAACCAUUCACAAACUUUGAGCAAGGUUCUAAACGGUCAUCGACGGUAGACUUUGCAACACUAGUACCAUUUGGCUUUCAACCCCCCAUCAAAUUUUGUGGUUCUCAAAGCUGAGUGAAUGUAGAAUGCUAAAUAAAUAACAGAUUUGGCUCCUCCACUUCUUUUUAUGAAGGUUCCCUUGAAAUGCCCUAUAAGAGUAUGAUAAUGCUAAUCAUUAGAGUUUCGGUUUAUAAAUUAAACAAAAAAUGAAAAGUUUCAAGUAGCAUUAGUAUUUAGAAAGGGUUAAUUCAAGGCCAUUUUCUCACCAAUUUUUCUACCUUGAUUCCACACAAUCCACAUGAUCAAAAAUGUAAAUUCUCAUCAAGUGAAUUGAUACAUCUCAAAAGUAGCCUUCUAAUGAUUUCGUUGUGUUAAUGCCUAAAUUGAGCUCUCUAAUGCCAUGCCGUACUGUGUAGUGUAUCCUUCCUGUAAGGAUCAAUACCAUGUUCAUAGUGGUUAUGAAAUCUGUUGACACUGAUAUCCUUACUCAAUAACCACGAAGAUCUGUAAACUAUUACGUAAAGACUUAUUCUUCUAGAAAACCUUUGGGUAAUAUUUGACAUAGAUAUGUAAAACAGUUUAUAAAAUUUUGCAUGUAUUUAAAAGAUCAUAUCUUUUAUACACGUCAAGGUGAAACUAAGAGACAUGAUUUAAAUAGUUCACUCGCACUCACUUUUAAAGGUGGAUUCUUGAGGUUUUAGCCAAAAUUAAAAAAGCUUGAGUUCAAUUUAACAACUAGGACUCGAAGCUUGACUCAAGUUAGAUCGAGUUUCAGUUUUAAUGUAGAGCUCGAUUUUGAUAUAAAAAUUUACUUAAGUUCGUUAUAUUAGAUUCGUUUACCAAAUAAAAUGAAAAAAAAAGGGUCAAAUUCUAUUAUUAAUUCUUACACUAUGUAUAAGUCGUGGAUUUAGUUUAUGUAUUUUAAUUUGGUUAUUUUUAGUCACUAUACUUUUCAAAAUUUAAAAUUUCAAUCUUCAUCAAACAGUAACCGUUAAAUUUAUUAAGUUAAAUUAUACUAUUUUCAUAAAUAUGAUAUAAAAAAAUAUAUUAUCAUAUUAGCUUGUAAUUUUCAUAUAAUACUCAUAAAAAAGUCACAUUAUUUUAGUUAAUGAAUUUAACUGCUAUCAUUUGAGUCAAGAUUGAAAUAUCAAAUUCAAAAAGCAUAAAGACUAAAAACGAUCAAAUUGACGACCAAAUUAAAGUACAUGAACUAAACUUACAACUUAUGAGCAAUAUAAGGACUAAUAGUGAAAUUUGAACAAAAGAAAACAUGAAAUGAAACAUGCAUACAUACAUACCCUAAGUGCAAGGAAGUGUCUGAGAGAUGGUUGUCAUCAUCUGAUGCACUAUUAUUAUCAUCAGCCUUUGAAUUAUUUGGUGAAUGAUCAAGUCUUCUUUCCAGCAAUGGAUUCAAUUCUAGUAUAUUCGAGCUCCUUUUUUGUCUCAAUUCCUCAACCUUAAAACCACAUUCAAUAAUCAACAAAAUGCAAUAUUACAAACUCCAAAAUCUUAAUAUUAUAUAUAAGCUAAACUACACUGUUAAUCACUCAAUUAUCGGUAAGUUUAUUUUUUGAUUACGCAAUUAUAAAAAGUAACAAAAUUGUCAUGAUUUUGUCCUUUUUGUCAUCCGUUAUUAAAUGGUUAAUGGAAAGAUUACGUGGCAGGUUUUAAAAUUGGCAUUAUAGCGAUUUUAACCCUCAACAUUUAUACAUUGUGUCAAUUUAGUCUUGACUCUAAAAAGUUCAUCUUUCAACAUUUACAUGUAGUGUAAUUUAGUCUUUUUUACAAUUUUACUUUUUUUGUGUGUGUGUGUGACCUUUUAACAACUUAAAAAGCUAAAAAAAUAAAAUUAUCCAGCUAAAUUUUAUCGAAAAUAUAUUAAAUUAACACAUAAUGUCACAAAGAAAAGCAAAAGUACUGCAAAAAAAAAAAGAGACUAAAUUAUAGAAUGUGUAAAUGUUGAGGGUUAAUUUUUUUAGAAUGAAGAAUAAAUUGACACAGUAUAAAUAUCGAGAGUUAAAAUUGCUAUUAUACUAAUUUUAAAAACCAUCAAAUUACCAUUCUGUUAGUGAUUUAACUAUUGGUGACAAAAAAGAUUGAAUAGUUGGAUGAUUAACAAUAUAGUUUACUCUUAUAUAUAUAUAUAUAUAUAUGUAAAUACAUGUGUGUAUGUGUGUAGCAGUUGAUUAUACGUAUGACCUACGUACCUGUUUGCGUAGAUCUUCAUUCUCCAUUACGGUCUUCUGUUCCUGAAAAUAUACAAAUAUUAAACCAGAAAUCAUUAGUAUUAAAUGUUAAUUACAAUUAUUUGAUUGCUAAACAUAUAUGAUUCCUUAUUCUCUUUCAAAAGUAAAUAUUUAUACUCUAAUGUGUAUCUAUAAUUUUGUCUUUUAAGUCGAGGUUUUUAGAUAUUCAGAUGUAUAUAGUGGGUAAUUAAGCAUUGGAUUGACAUACGAUAACCUUUUAUGUCAAAUGUUCAAAUCUGGACUUGAACUAAGAAUAAGUGUCAAAUAUCGAUAUAUGUUAAUAUAGAUGUGAUGAAUUUUUUAAAAUCGAGAAACAUUCCUCUUAUAUAAAUAUUCAAAUUUGUGUCAAACACGUAUAUAAAACAUAAUUACUUUAGAAAAAAUUGGAUUAAUAUGGGGAUAUAAAAUGUACCUGUAAUCGAGAUCUUUUAAGCUGCUCCAUUAGAAUUUGCUCCUACAACAAUAAAACUUCAGUUUCUAGAGCUCACAAUUAGGCUCCUAAUGAAAUUAUUUUAAGUUUGUGUUUGUAGGAGAGUUACUAAAUAUACUAAAAUUAUGUUUGUUUGGAGUUAAUAUUGAUUAAAAUUAGAGAUAAAUUAUGGACGAAAAUAUUAAUUUAUUUUAAAUGAUGAAGCAUAGCAACUUUAAUAAUAUAAAUUAUUGUGAACGCUUAGUUGAAAUGACAAAAUUAAGGUUUUGAAGCUACGGGUAUCCUAAUGAUUUAUUUUGAAUUUAAACUAUUUUUUUAUAGAUUUUAUAUAAAUACAUAAAUGAAAAAUAAAAAAGCAAACUCAUAAUAUUAUUUGUCAUCUUUUAAAUAAAAACCCUUUUUUAAAGUUAUUUUUCAACUAAAUUGAUCUUUAGUUAAACUUGUGGCUUCAACUUAGUUAGAUAACUAUAUAUAUAGUAUAAUUAACAAACAAUAAAAUUGAAAUUCACAUACAUGUAUGCUGUGUGUAGCCUUAAAUACUCCUGUUUCAUGGUGUUCACUUCAAUUCCUUGCAACUUCUGUUUUUUUAACAAAAAAAAAUGCACACACAAUAUUAGAAAUAUAAUUAUUAUUUUCAAUCGAGUCUUAAUUCUGUUGACACCAUUUUUUGGAUGGAAAACGGGGUCGACUUGGGUUUUGAAAAUGAAAACAAAAACGGGAGUCGCCACCAAUCCUUUUUGAUGAGGUGUGAUUGGGUCACCUCGAAGGGUAGUUGUUUUUAAUAAAAGGUUUGAUUUUAUUAAAACAACAAGUUUGGUCUACAAAAUCCAGAAAAAACAGGUUCGGGAGUCGGUUACGCACGAGGAAGGAUUAGCACCCUCGAUACGCCCAAAAUUGGUACCCAGAUGAUUACUUAAUGUCUUAGUGUCGAAGAUUGAAAACUUUAAAGAAAUUUAAAAUACGAUCCUUAAAAAAAACUCGUACGGCAUGGAUUUAAAUUCAAUAAGAUAUUUGGCAAUUUGGUUAAACGAGAAAUCGAAACCCAGCACCUUAGGGCACGUUCCUCGAAUUUCCAAACGCAAAACAUUGCCUUAUUUUGAAAUUUUUAAGAAGGAUAUUAAGCCAUUUAGUUGAACGAGAAAAAUCGACACCCAGCACCUUAGGGCAUGUUUUCUCGAAUUUCUAAACGGCAAAACAUUGCCUUAUUUUGAAAUUUUUGAAAGGAUAUUUAGCUAUUUGGUUGAACGAGAAAAAUCGAAACCCAGCACAUUAGGGCACGUUUUCUCGAAUUUCCAAAAGCUAAACAUUGCCUUAUUUAGAAAAAUUUUCCUUUUUUGAAGUAUGGUGUUAAUAUACAUAAUGGAAUAAUAAAUAUGACAAUUUGAACAAAAAUAAUAUAAGCAAAAAUGAAUAAUAAAAAAAAAACAAAUCAAUCAUGUAUAUACCAUAACGAAUAAAUAAAUAAAUAAACAAACUAAAACAUAAAAAAUGGACAUAUAAAUAAGGACAUAAAUGAAAGAAAAAAUAAAGGAAAAUAUAUGAAAAUUAUAAAAUAUAAAAAAGGUAGGUACAUAUAAGGGAAAUAUGUAUGUAUACGCAUAAAAUUAUGGAAAUAUGAAAUAUAUAUAUAUAUGUAUUUUAAAAUUAUUAAAUAUAAAAUUUUAUGUAAGUGUGGAUAUACAUGUAUAUGUAUAUAAAGUAUAUAUAAUAAGGAAUAUGCAAGCAUGUAUAUAUAUAUAUGAAAAUUAAAAAUAUGAAUUUAAAGAUAUAUAUAUAAAAAAAAUAAGACAUAAAAUAUACAUGCAAGUAAAAACGUAUAUAUAUAUAUAUAAUAAGAUAUAAAGUAUAUAUAUGAAAAUUAAAAUGUUUGUGAAUGUGUAGAUAUGUAUGUAAGUUAUGAAAUAAAAAGGUAAAUUUGUAUAUACAUAAAAAAAUAAAAAGGAGUAAGAAGAAUAUGUGUAUAUAUAUUUAAAAUUAUGAAAUAUAAAAUGUGUAAGUGUGUGUAUAUAAAGUAUAAAUAAUAUGUAAGUAUGUAAAUAAAUAAAUAUAAAUUAUAGGCGUAUGGAUCCUUUAUAAAAAUGUAUGGUGGAUAUAGACGUGUAUAUAUAUAUAUGCAAUUAUAAUAAUGAUAAUAAUAAUAACAACAUCAUUAAAUUUGUCAAUUUUAAAAAUAAACUAACCAAAAUAACGAAAAAGGACUAAUUUGAACUUAAAACAAAAAUCUGGGGGGAAAAUCGCAAAUAAAAUAAGAAAGGAGUGGCCAGGGACCAAAAUAAAACAUGCUUAAAGCGCAAGGGACCUGUUGAGAAAUAUUCCCUUUCACUGAAACGUUGCGUUUCGACCGAGGGGGGGCAUGGUCUAAGGACCAAAUCGAAAUACAAACUAAAUUCACAGGCCGAAUAACAAAUAACCAAAAAGGAUCAGAUCGGCUACUGCACAAAAGCGGAGGGGCCUAUUGCGCAAAUAGCCCCUUUGGCGAAAACACGCGGAUCCCCUGGGUCGGAUCGGGUCGACGCGCGGGUCAAGGCGUGUCAAAACGGCGCCGUUUUGUGUUUACUAUAAAUAUUAAAAAAACCCCAAAAACAAAUCAGUUUCAUCAUUUAAAAAAAACAGAGAGAGAGCUCUCUCCCCUCUCUCUCAGGCCCCAAGUUAGGCCAAGGGUUCUGGCGAUCCUCCGCCAUUGACGGCGUCACGCCGGCCAUCGUACACGGUGGCCGGAAAAUUCAAAGGUAAAAUUUUUCUCUCCUUUUUCUCUCUUUUAUUUUAUAUUAUUGAUAUCUAAAAUAAAUGAAAAAAAUAAGAGAUAAAAAAAUGGGAAUCUAAGAAGAAAAAACCUUUAAACUUGCUUUUUUUGUUUUUUUUUAAUUUCAAACGUUCGUAGCAAAACGAAAGAAGAGAAAACUCUUCUUCUUUUAUAGCAAACUCGGUUUUUUUGCCGAAAAGGAAAAAAAAGAAUCAAAUAAAAAUCCCCCUUUUUACAUGUUCUUAGUUUCGGCUUUUAAAGCCGAUUUACAUGAAAUCCCUAGUCUAUGCCUAUGCCUGUCUCGCUUGCCUUGAUUUGUUUGCAGGGAUCAACGCACGUGGAUGGAAGUGACGGUGGCAGUUGGCGGUGGUUGCUGGCAGAGCAGGUGGGCAGAAGACCAAAAGUCAGAAGACCCUAGGAGCGGUGCCUAGGGUUCUUCUGUUUUCUGCUAGGGUUUUCUGUUUCCUUUUUUUGGUUGGGCCAUUUGGGCUGUUUAAGUUAGUUGGGUAUUGAAAGUUUGGGUUUAAUUUGUUUUGGGUUUGUAUUAGUUUUGAUGGGCUUUGGGCUUGGGGUUUAUUACUGGGCCCGGGCAAAAUGGCCUACAACAGCUGUCCCUCUUUGCUCGUUGUCGUGUAACGAGAAAAGAGCAAAGACCAAGAAAGGCCAACUUUGCCCGGUCUCGCUUGUUUUGGACUCGCUCUAGUGCUUCUCUUCAAGUAGCUUUAUUUCAGUCCACUGUGGCUUGUUGCUUCGCUCUACUCAACUGCACUUCUGAAACCUCUGACUUGUAGCCUCAAUCUUCUUCACAGCAACUUUAGGGGGACAAAGUUUAUGGUUUUAAUUUACUCCACUGCAACUUCAGGGAGAUAAGAUCUGUGGUUUUAAUCCGCUCCGCUGUAACUUCAGGGAGAUAGGAUAGUGUCUUCGAUCUGCUCCGCUGUAACCUCAGGGGGAUAAGAUCUGAAAUUCUUCGGUCUACUCUACUGUAACCUCAGGGAGAUAAGACCUGGUGUGAUCUGCUCUACUGUAACUUCAGAGAGAUAAGAUCCUUUAUUUUAAUCCGCUCCACUGUAACUUCAGGGAGAUAGGAUUAUGUCUUCGAUUUGCUCCGCUGUAACCUCAGGGAGAUAAGAUCUGAAAUUCUUCGGUCUACUCUACUGUAACCUCAGGGAGAUAAGACCUGGUGUGAUCUGCUCUACUGUAACUUCAGAGAGAUAAGAUCCUUUAUUUUAAUCCGCUCCACUGUAACUUCAGGUAGAUAGGAUUAUGUCUUCGAUCUGCUCCGCUGUAACCUCAGGGGGAUAAGAUCUGAAAUUCUUCGGUCUACUCUACUGAAACCUCAGGGAGAUAAGACCUAAUGCGAUCUACUCUACUGUAACUUCAGAGAGAUAAGAUCCUGUCUUCGAUCUGCUCCGCUGUAACCUCAGGGAGAUAAGAUCUGAAAGUCUUCGGUCUACUCCACUGUAACCUCAGGGAGAUAAGACCUGACGCGAUCUACUCUGCUGUAACUUUAGAGAGAUAAGAUCAUUCAUUUUAAUCCACUCCACUGUAAUCUCAGGGAGAUAGGAUUACUAACUUCAAUCUGCUCCGCUGUAAUCUCAGAGAGAUAAGAUCUGAAAUUCUUCAGCCAGCUCCACUACAACCGAGAGAGGUAAGGUUCGUCUUCGACCUGCUUCGCUGUCAAUGCAGGAAGGCAAGAUCUUUUGUCUUCAACCAGCUCCAUCACAACCGAGAGAGGCAAGGUUUGUGUCUUUGACCUAUUUCACCGUCAAUGCAGGAAGGCAAGAUCUUUUGUCUUCAACCAGCUCCAUCACAACCGAGAGAGGCAAGGUUUGUGUCUUUGACCUGCUUCGCCGUCAAUGCAGGAAGGCAAGAUCUUUUGUCUUUAACCAGCUCCACUGCAACCAAUGAAGGCAAGGCUUUGUUUUCGAUCUGCUUUGCUGUUAACGCAGGAAGGCAAGAUCUACUUCUUUAACCAGCUCCACUGCAACCAAUGAAGGCAAGGCUUUGUUUUUGAUCUGCUUCGCUGUUAACGCAGGAAGGCAAGAUCUGCUUCUUUAACCAGCUCCACUGCAACCAAUGAAGGCAAGGCUUUGUUUUCGAUCUGCUUCGCUGUUAACGCAGGAAGGCAAGAUCUGCUAUCUUUAACCAGCUCCACUGCAACUAAUGAAGGCAAGGCUUUAUUUUCGAUCUUCACUGAUCUGUUCUCUGGGAAACAUGACCUGUAUAAUGAACCUAAUUAUGCCUAAAGAUUAGGAUGGAAUGAUCAAAAUGAAUCAAAUGCUCCUAACUAGACAUGUGUGAACGGUGUUUGCAUGAAUGCAAAAUUUUAUUUUUCCGAGAAUGAUCCCGCCGAGGUUGUCAUUACUCGAAGUUUAUUAAGGCUUUGUGACUGACGUGCUACAACGUCUUCUCACUUGACCGACUUCUCCAAAGCAUCACUUCAGUCAGAUUGCCCCCACUGUGAAAUCCACUAGGACACAAAAUUUGUACCAUCAUUCUCCCACUGCAACCCAAUAGUAGAAAUAUGUGGCUUUUCCUCAAUCUUCUCCUAUCACAAUUCAAGGAAACAGGACGCAAAUCAUUCUAGUUUCUCACACCAUUCCCAAGGUGUCAUACUCAUGUGCAAAUAAAUGAUCUCUUCUCCGAGGUAAGCUCUGACUAUUGCCUGAUGAUCAUUGCUUGCUUGUUCAUUUAAGCUUUGUCAUUAACCCGUCAUCUUAUCAUUUUGUUCAAUCAAUGCAUUUGACAAUGAAAUCCAAAGAGAAAGUCCAAAUUUAUACUAUUCCUUCUCAAAUCUCCAACCUUUAAAUUUGGUGUGCUUUAAACGAUAGUCCUGUUUCAGGUUCCUAUAUUAUUUAGAAACUUUUCCGAGUAAUAUACAAAACUUCCUUUGUGAAAGUUUUAUUAGUCCAUUAACCAUUAUUCCAAUGCAACAUGUUUGCAGAAAAGGGUCAUAACAAUGGAUAAGAAUAAAGUUGGUUCUGAGCAUAGCUCGAAAGAACAAAUUAUCAAAAUAGUAAAGAAGGAUGACAAAGAAAUUAAUUGGGAAUGUAUAUCUUGGAAAAGAAAAAAGUAUUCCAAGAACAACAAAUAAUAUGAGAAUUGGGUGCCCCAGAUAUCGCAGCUUGAACUUCUCUGUACAAGCUUUCUGAAGACCAUUUUGAGCUGGACAUGCGUUUAGGAGAUCUACAGUGCUCUGUUGAUGCCCCAAGGUGUCGCCUAUCCUUUCUUGUUGAUUCAGGUAUAGCAAGAUCACCACAUGCCGCAAUAUGAUCAAAAGUCGAAUCGCUCUGGUUGCCUCAUGCCCUAUUCUGAGCAAAUAUUUGAUCCGCCCUUUUCGGGUUUUCAACUCAAAUCCCCUUUGGCCUAAGGCGCCCUUUGCGGGUUUUCCCCUUAGCCUCUCCAUUUUUCAUUUUUUCAUUUUUCAUUGUCAUUUGCCUCUCUCUUUUUUGACUCAAAGUGCCCUUUGCGGGUUUUCACCUUGGUCAUUUCUCCUUCUUUAAACGAAAUAUUUCUUGAUUGGAUCCGAGUUUAUAGGACUAGCAAUCUCACUCAAGAUCAGUGCUCUUCUGAAAAAUGUCUUCUUUACAACGUAGGGACAUUCUCAGUUUGGCAUUCAUUUCCCUCUAGAAUCCUUUUGGAGAGGAAUGAUCUUUUUCGACAUCCAACCCUCUCGUGGAAUUCUCUGAGAUGACACUGUUCAUUAUGGGCUCGUAUCAUUUGUUUUCGGUACAUCCGACCUUGAAGAAUAACUUUUAACAUUUUUCCUAGGUUCAACUGAUCGCAUUGCGAUUGAAUCCAUUCUGCUUCAUCCAAUUCUAGCUCAACUAAUACUCGGAGAGAAAGGAUUUCAAUAUGUGAAACUACCUAAACCCCGCAAACCAAAGAGAAAGCUAUUGCCCCGGUACAGAUGUUCGACAAGCAAUGAAGGCAAAUAGUAAUUUCUCAUGCCAAUCCUUGUAAGUCUCAGUCAUUUUCCUUCAAUUUUCGAUGUUCAACUCUAGGCACUUCAGUGACGAAUCGUGGUGUCCACUUCUGAGUUAAUUUGAGACCUCGGCUAUCGUGCUAUUGUUUGGCUCAUGAAGUAGCCUCUCAAAAUGAAGCAAUGCCCAUUAGAAGUCUUCGAUAAUGGUGAUGUCCAUGCCCCAUUGUGCUCAAAAUUUGAGUCACCCUUUUCGGGUUUUCAACUCAAAGCCUCGUUUGGUCACAAAGCGCCCUUUGCGGGCUUUCGCUUUGGCCUCUUCUUUUAUUUUUCUUUUCUUUUUCAUUCUGAUUUUCUCAUCUAGAUUUCUAUUUUUUAUUCUUCUUUCUUUUUCUCAUUUUCAUUUUGAUCUUGAUAUUGAUUUUUUUCUUCCCUUUUUUUUUAUCUGAGCCUUUUGGGGCACAACUUCGACAAAAAACUUUGGAUCUUCCUUUUUAAUCAGGAUGGACCCAACAAUAACUUGAAGAGAUGAAAAUUCGACUUCAAAUGGGCAAAACUAUGCUGACUUCACGAGAAAGGCAUUGCCCCGGCAAAGAAUUACAUCGUUCAUACUGCAAAUUUCUGACAUCGUGCUGUUGUGUAGAUUUCAUUAUCGACAUUUAACCCGGGCAUAUCCUGGUAUGAUUAUACAAAGAUAUCAUCGAACUCUAGAGGUAACUUGAUGAGGUCUCACUUCAUUUUUGCUGUUUGGUCAAUUCUAAUCUUUGCCAAGCUCACGAUUUCUAAUGAUUCCUUGUGAGGUAGGAUCUAUCUAUCCUCUUGUUCAACCAUCCUUAACAAGUCAGGAGAUAAAUUACAAUCUUUGUCAUUUUCAAAGCCUUGAGAUCCCUCUGAACACAUGCCUCGCUCAAAAGGAAAAUCUGGGUCUGUAGCAGAGUCAUUCACGUAAUUGAUAUCCGGGGACUCAUAAUAAGUACCAAAGAAUAUACAAAAGAAAGUAUAAUAAAUUUAUGAAUAAUUAUUUAUACUAUAUGAUUAUGAGUGAAUGAUGUGAAAGCAAAUCUAAAAGAAUGAAAUAAUCAGAAAUAAUUAUUCAAAAAGAAUGAAAGAAUAUUGGCUCAAAAAGGAAUGCAAAGAUGUAUUUUAUUAGAAUAAUAACGUUCAGACAUUAGCCUAUUUCACAAAGGAAUUUCUAUCGCUUUAGGCUAAAAACAACAGAAAUGUUCUGAACAUUACUCUAAAUAAGCCCUGAUAGCUACAGGAAUUUCUUCCGCAGUCUAAUUGUUUAGAACACUCCAGAAUUCAUAAGGGCUGACAUCUAACAAGGUCCCUUCCCAAUUGUGUCUUCAGACACGUCGUUGAUGUGAACAUUUCCUAACACUUCUUCGUACACCUCAUUCGCCUCGUCAUUAAUAUGAUUGGGCAGUGUAUUUUCUGCACUAGAGGAAUCAUCAAAUUUAACAACGCCCAUACUGAUAAGCCUUUCAAUCAGUUUGUUAAAAGGCAAUGCAAUUCUCUACUGAGUACCCUAAAAUUCUCGAAUGAUAAUCACAUUGCAUGUUCAUAUCAUACCAUUUGGGAUAAGGAGGCUAUAAAGGGGUCAAGUAACGAGGAGCACCAACAUGCGCAUCGAACAAGCUUUGAUACAGCUCCUUAUAUGACAUCGAAAUUGGUGUGACCUGGAGCUUCUCAGUACCUGGUUUCACUCUAGAUUUUUGCUUUAAAAGGCUCUGAUGGCUGGUGGUCUCCGUCUUUGGCAUGCCCACAGUGAUUGGUUUUGAGUGGCCCUUGUUAUAUCCGCCUAUAUUAUCCCUUUUAUUCCCCUUCUUCCUUGGGGCCUUUAUAGUAUUUGGGUACUCUAUCCUCAUCUUCUUUAUUUCGGCUAGAUUAGCAAUAGGAUUAGCUAAAUCAUUCCUCAAAUUGGAUUCUAAGCCUGUCAGACAAUUCACUGGUGUCGAUGUACCAGUCUGAUAAUAUUGGGAUCCGAUAGUAAAAAGUGCUCCUUGUGAACGCCCAUCUGGUUAGACCUAGACACUUGUUGGAGUACAAUAUAUGGAAUAGACAAGAUCCUCAUUAUCAACCCCAAAGUAAACCACCGGGUCUUUCACUUCUUUUGACUUUCCAGCUAGCAAUCGGUUGAACUGGUUUAUCACAGUUCUCCGUAAUUCUAGCAUCUGAUCUCUCAUCUCCUGUUGAAAUUCAGUCAAUUGCUCAUGCAUCUGGAUCUGCAUUCGCUCUAAUUUUUCCAACCUUCGUUCCAUUUCUCUUGCCUUUGCUUGGAUAUCGUAAGGAUGUUUGGUCGGUUGGCUUUCCAGUUUAGCCGAAAUAAAUUUACUCGUUUAGACUCUUUCAAUGGAUUUUAAUGCAUGUAAUGCAAUGUAAUGCAAAUGCAUAAAAUGAAUGCCUAAAGAGACAUUGAUUCUGAUUCAACUACAUUUAGGAAACUUUUCUAGAAAGCAAAUUCCUUUACAUAAAACGGAUACAUGUACGGCCUCACCCUCAUAUUCCAAGAAACAACAUCAGUCUUUUUCUUCAUCCGCAUGUUUGAGGUAAUCUCGCCAAUAGAUGCCAUUGCUAGCUCAUUCUCUUGAUCUUGGUCGCGAUCCAUCAUCUGCCCAUCUUCAUAAGGCUCGUCAGCUUCUUUAAGGGAGUGGAACGUUGAAGGCUCUUAGACAAUUGCCUUGAAUCCUAAGGCCACGAAGCAGGAUCACGAACUCUUCCAUCUCCAUUCUUGUGUUUCUCAGAAUAUAUUCGGGAAGUCGUAUUGUUUUCCACUUUAUCAAGGAAUUCGUAUUCCAUGACAAGCUUUCUAAUUUAGUAAUCGAACUUGAAUCAAUAUCUCUUUCUUAAGAUGCAAAUGCAAUGUAAUGCAAUCAUAAUCAAAACACAACAAGAAGGGUUAGAACAAAACAUAAGCAAGCAUGGGAAAAAAAAACCUAAUCAGGUAAAUACUAGGGAUUUGGAGUGGCUCUACCUAGGUUAAAUUCCUAAGUCCACUAUAUGAGGGUUGGUUCUAAAGAUAAGGUACCCGAACCAGCAAAUUCCUCGAUCUUCACCCAUUAUAAGCUCAUACAGACCGAGUUCGGUUCAGGGGAAUACAUUUCCCUAUGGCUGCACGGAGAUGAAAAUCUCACGAAGACAUAGGUACGGAUGUAUCCCGGAAGUGAUCCACUAUCCUGCACGGAGGUGAAAACCUCACGAAGGACUAGCUUCUCACUCCCACUUAAGAAGGUGUGACCAACGGUCAUGCAAUGCAAUGCAGAAAGGCAUAAAAAAAAUUUAAAAUACAAAAUAAGAUGAAAACUAUAACUCAAAACAAAUGAAAUGCAAUGAGUGGAUCAUAUAUUUAAAUCACAUUUUCAACUUUCGACAAAAAGACAAGAAAUAAUCAACUCGUGGCUUGACUCUCUUAUUUUGGGUCCCCAGUGGAGUCGCCAAGCUGUUGACACCAUUUUUUGGAUGGAAAACGGGGUCGACUUGGGUUUUGAAAAUGAAAACAAAAACGGGAGUCGCCACCAAUCCUUUUUGAUGAGGUGUGAUUGGGUCACCUCGAAGGGUAGUUGUUUUUAAUAAAAGGUUUGAUUUUAUUAAAACAACAAGUUUGGUCUACAAAAUCCAGAAAAAUAGGUUCGGGAGUCGGUUACGCACGAGGAAGGAUUAGCACCCUCGAUACGCCCAAAAUUGGUACCCAGAUGAUUACUUAAUGUCUUAGUGUCGAAGAUUGAAAACUUUAAAGAAAUUUAAAAUACGAUCCUUAAAAAAAACUCGUACGGCAUGGAUUUAAAUUCAAUAAGAUAUUUGGCAAUUUGGUUAAACGAGAAAUCGAAACCCAGCACCUUAGGGCACGUUCCUCGAAUUUCCAAACGCAAAACAUUGCCUUAUUUUGAAAUUUUUAAGAAGGAUAUUAAGCCAUUUAGUUGAACGAGAAAAAUCGACACCCAGCACCUUAGGGCAUGUUUUCUCGAAUUUCUAAACGGCAAAACAUUGCCUUAUUUUGAAAUUUUUGAAAGGAUAUUUAGCUAUUUGGUUGAACGAGAAAAAUCGAAACCCAGCACAUUAGGGCACGUUUUCUCGAAUUUCCAAAAGCUAAACAUUGCCUUAUUUAGAAAAAUUUUCCUUUUUUGAAGUAUGGUGUUAAUAUACAUAAUGGAAUAAUAAAUAUGACAAUUUGAACAAAAAUAAUAUAAGCAAAAAUGAAUAAUAAAAAAAAAAACAAAUCAAUCAUGUAUAUACCAUAACGAAUAAAUAAAUAAAUAAACAAACUAAAACAUAAAAAAUGGACAUAUAAAUAAGGACAUAAAUGAAAGAAAAAAUAAAGGAAAAUAUAUGAAAAUUAUAAAAUAUAAAAAAGGUAGGUACAUAUAAGGGAAAUAUGUAUGUAUACGCAUAAAAUUAUGGAAAUAUGAAAUAUAUAUAUAUAUAUGUAUUUUAAAAUUAUUAAAUAUAAAAUUUUAUGUAAGUGUGGAUAUACAUGUAUAUGUAUAUAAAGUAUAUAUAAUAAGGAAUAUGCAAGCAUGUAUAUAUAUAUAUGAAAAUUAAAAAUAUGAAUUUAAAGAUAUAUAUAUAAAAAAAAUAAGACAUAAAAUAUACAUGCAAGUAAAAACGUAUAUAUAUAUAUAAUAAGAUAUAAAGUAUAUAUAUGAAAAUUAAAAUGUUUGUGAAUGUGUAGAUAUGUAUGUAAGUUAUGAAAUAAAAAGGUAAAUUUGUAUAUACAUAAAAAAAUAAAAAAGAGUAAGAAGAAUAUGUGUAUAUAUAUUUAAAAUUAUGAAAUAUAAAAUGUGUAAGUGUGUGUAUAUAAAGUAUAAAUAAUAUGUAAGUAUGUAAAUAAAUAAAUAUAAAUUAUAGGCGUAUGGAUCCUUUAUAAAAAUGUAUGGUGGAUAUAGACGUGUAUAUAUAUAUAUAUGUGCAAUUAUAAUAAUGAUAAUAAUAAUAACAACAUCAUUAAAUUUGUCAAUUUUAAAAAUAAACUAACCAAAAUAACGAAAAAGGACUAAUUUGAACUUAAAACAGAAAUCUGGGGGGAAAAUCGCAAAUAAAAUAAGAAAGGAGUGGCCAGGGACCGAAAUAAAACACGCUUAAAGCGCAAGGGACCUGUUGAGAAAUAUUCCCUUUCACUGAAACGCUGCGUUUCGACCGAGGGGGGGCAUGGUCUAAGGACCAAAUCGAAAUACAAACUAAAUUCACAGGCUGAAUAACAAAUAACCAAAAAGGAUCAGAUCGGCUACUGCACAAAAGCGGAGGGGCCUAUUGCGCAAAUAGCCCCUUUGGCGAAAACACGCGGAUCCCCUGGGUCGGAUCGGGUCGACGCGCGGGUCAGGGCGUGUCAAAACGGCGCCGUUUUGUGUUUACUAUAAAUAUUAAAAAAACCCCAAAAACAAAUCAAUUUCAUCAUUUAAAAAAAAACAGAGAGAGAGCUCUCUCCCCUCUCUCUCAGGCCCCAAGUCAGGCCAAGGGUUCCGGCGAUCCUCCGCCAUUGACGGCGUCGCGCCGGCCAUCGUACACGGUGGCCGGAAAAUUCAAAGGUAAAAUUUUUCUCUCCUUUUUCUCUCUUUUAUUUUAUAUUAUUGAUAUCUAAAAUAAAUGAAAAAAAUAAGAGAUAAAAAAAUGCGAAUCUAAGAAGAAAAAACCUUUAAACUUGCUUUUUUUGUUUUUUUUUUUAUUUCAAACGUUCGUAGCAAAACGAAAGAAGAGAAAACUCUUCUUCUUUUACAGCAAACUCGGUUUUUUUUGCCGAAAAGGAAAAAAAAGAAUCAAAUAAAAAUCCCCCUUUUUACAUGUUCUUAGUUUCGGCUUUUAAAGCCGAUUUACAUGAAAUCCCUAGUCUAUGCCUAUGCCUGUCUCGCUUGCCUUGAUUUGUUUGCAGGGAUCAACGCACGUGGAUGGAAGUGACGGUGGCAGUUGGCCUUGAUUUAUAAUGUAGAGCUCGAUUUUGAUAUAAAAAUUUACUGAAGUUCGUUAUAUUAGAUUCGUUUGCCAAAUAAAAUGAAAAAAAAGGGUCAAAUUCUAUUAUUAAUUCUUACACUAUGUAUAAGUCAUGGAUUUAGUUUAUGUAUUUUAAUUUGGUUAUUUUUAGUCACUAUACUUUUCAAAAUUUAAAAUUUCAAUCUUCAUCAAAUAGUAACUAUUAAAUUUAUUAAGUUAAACUAUACUAUUUUAAAAAAUAUGAUAUAAAAAUUAUAUUAUCAUAUUAACUUGUUAUUUUCAUAUAAUACUCAUAAAAAGGUCACAUUAUUUUAGUUAAUGAAUUUAACUACUAUCGUUUGAGUCAAUAUUGAAAUAUCAAAUUUGAAAAGCAUAAAGACUAAAAAUGAUCAAAUUGACGACCAAAUUAAAGUACAUGAACUAAACUUACAACUUAUGCGUAAUAUAAGGACUAAUAGUGAAAUUUGACCAAAAGAAAACAUGAAAUGAAACAUGCAUACAUACGUACCCUAAGUGCAAGGAAGUGUCUGGGAGAUGGUUGUCAUCAUCUGAUGCACUAUUAUUAUCAUCAGCCUUUGAAUUAUUUGGUGAAUGUUCAAGUCUUCUUUCCAGCAAUAGAUUCAAUUCUAGUAUAUUCGAGCUCCUUUUUUGUCUCAAUUCCUCAACCUUAAAACCACAUUCAAUAAUCAACAAAAUACAAUAUUAUACACUCCAAAAUCUUAAUAUUAUAUAUAAGCUAAACUACACUACUAAUCACUCAAUUAUCGGUAAGUUUAUUUUUUGAUUACCUAAUUAUAAAAAGUUACAAAAUAGUCAUGAUUUUGUCCUUUUUGUCAUCCGUUAUUAAAUGGCUAAUGGCUAAUGGAAAGAUUACCUGGCAGGUUUUAAAAUUGGCAUUAUAGCGAUUUUAACCCUCAACAUUUAUACAUUAUAUCGAUUUAGUCUUGACUCUAAAAAGUUUAUCUCUCAACAUUUACAUGUAGUGUAAUUUAGUGUUUUUUACAAUUUUUUUUGUGUGACCUUUUAACAGCUUAAAAAAUAAAUUUAUCCAGCUAAAUUUUAUCAAAAAUAUAUUAAAUUAACACUCAAUGUCACAAAAAAAGCAAAACUGCAAAAAAGACUAAAUUAUAGAAUGUGUAAAUGUUGAGAGUUAAAUUUUUUAGAAUGAAGAUUAAAUUGACACAGUAUAAAUGUUGAAAGUUUAAAUUGCUAUUAUGCCAAUUUUAAAAGUCAUCAAAUUACCUUUCUGUUAGUGAUUUAACUGUUGGUGACAAAAAAAAAAAUUCAACAGUUGGGUGAUUAACAAUAUAGUUUACUCUUAUAUAUAUGUAAAUACAUGUGUAGCAGUACGUACCUGUUUGCGUAGAUCUUCAUUCUCCAUUAUAGUCUUCUGUUCCUGAAAAUAUACAAAUAUUAAACCAGAAAUCAUUAGCAUUAAAUGUUAAUUACAAUUAUUUCAAAAGUAAAAUGUACCUGUAAUCGAGAUCUUUUAAGCUGCUCCAUUAGAAUUUGCUCCUACAACAAUAAAGCUUCAGUUUCUAGAGCUCACAAUUAGGCUCCUAAUGGAAUUAUUUUAAGUUUGUGUUUGUAGGAGAGUUACUAAAUAUACUAAAAUUAUGUUUGUCCUGGAUAUCCAUUAAUCUUUUCUGUAUUUCUAAUAUACAUGCUAGAUAUAUAUACUAAAAUUAUAUAUUUAUAUAAUAUGAGAAGAUUAUAUAUAUAAAUAUAAUUUGUAGGAAUAUUAAUGUCAGUACCUUUUGUUGCUCAACUGAUGCUAUCCCUUCGUUUAAUUGAUUCUCCAGCUGUUUUAAUUCUUUGAAACUCAAAUCAUCUAGUUCUUUUCCAUUAAGCCUCCUGCAAAUCACACCUCAAAUUUUACUUAAUCAAAUACUUAUUUAUUUAUUUAUUUACGUAUUAACACCUAUCACUUGUAUUUUAUACAUAUUCAGAUAUAUGUAUGAAAAUGUAAUUUCACAUUUUAUUUACCAUUCACAUUUAAAUCCAAAUAACAUAGAUUCGAAGAUUUAUUUCUAACUCAUUAGUUAUUAUUUGUAAUUUCUUUCAUUUUCCUUACCAUUUUUUUUUAUUGUGAAUGCUUAGUUGAAAUGACAAAAUUAAGGUUUUGAAGAUACGGGUAUCCUAAUGAUUUAUUUUGAAUUUAAACUAUUUUUUUAUAGAUUUUAUAUAAAUACAUAAAUGAAAAGACAAAAAGCAAACUCAUAAUAUUAUUUGUUAUCUUUUAAAUAAAAACCCCUUUUUAAAAUUAUUUUUCAACUAAAUUGAUCUUUAGUUAAACUCGUGGCUUCAACUCAGUUAGAUAAUUAUAUAUAGUAUAAUUAACAAACAAUAGAAUUGAAAUUGGCAUACAUGUAUGCUGUGUGUAGCCUUAAAUGUUCCUGUUUCAUGGUGUUCACCUCAAUUCCUUGCAACUUCUGUUUUUUUAACAAAAAAAAACACACACACGAUAUUAGAAAUGUAAUUAUUAUUUCGAUCAAGUCUUAACUCAACUGAUAUUGACAUUGACAUCAAUAUAUAUAUAUAUACCUCAGCUUGUUGCUCAUCAAAAGGGUGUUCUAGAGAAUGCUCUUCUUCCAUUCCUUUGUUGUACCUUGAAAGAGUGUGUUCCAUGCUACAUUCAUAAAAUGUCAUGUUUAAAAAAAAACAAUAAAUUAAAAAUAAAAAUCUAACUCAUUAUUAGGGUUUAGGAUUUUUUUUAACCUAUAUUGUUUGGACUUGAGCCGAUCAAAUUUAUGACAAGUUAUUCUUAGCUUAUCGUAACUAUUUAUGUAUCAUUUUUGUUUUAAUAUGAGUAUGUGUUGUUGUGUUUUAGUAUAUAGUUUCGUAUUUAUCAUUUUUUUAAAUAUUAUAUAUAUAAUAUACUUGCAAAUAUUUCUUAAUUAUAAUAUGUAAAUAUAAAAUAUAAAAUUAUUAAUUAAGAAAGGUUAUAUAUUAUUUUUUAAAGCAAUUAUAUAAAAAAAGUAGUUAAGAAAGAAAAGGGAAAUAUUAAAAAUUCCUUUAUAGGAAUUAAUACUCACCGAUACAAGCAUAUAUUAAUUGAAAUGAAUCAAAACUCAAUGAAAUUUUAAUUGAAGUGAAACUUAAACUAUUUUACUCUAGUUCAAUAUCGAGGCGAUUCAUAACGAUUGAUACAACUAGUAUCGAAACUACCGACUACCAUACCACAAAGCAAAAAGAAAAAUAAUGGAAAUCAAUCAAAUUACAACUCAACUUACUUUCAUGCUUAGAAAAAAAACUGUUCUAAAAAAUAAUCAUCCAAGAAAAUAAAUAUAUAUAAGUUGUAUAGACCGUUACAAACUAAUAUACACUCAUAUAAGUCGAUAUUAACUAAAACAAAUCAAAACACAAUAAAAUUUUAAUAUAUUAAUUCAAUAUUGAGACUAUAGCCAAUUAUUAAGAAAAGAAAAAUAAUGGAAAUCAAUCCAAUUAUAGGUCAACUUACUUUCAUGCUUACAAAAAAGAAAAAGCUUCGAUUAUUAAAAAUCAUCUACAAUAUAUAUAUAUAUAUAUAUAUAUAUAAGUAUUAUACUAUAUUAUGUACCUAGUGCUGGACCAUUGAUAGACCUUGCCGGUGCUUGAAAAAAUAAUAACCCCAACCUCUGCAUCACAUAAAAUGGACAAUUCUUUAGCUUUCUUCAACAACCCAUUUCGCCUCUUUGAAAACGUUACUUGCCUGCUAUUCAAAUUUUCAAUCUUUUUUAUUUCAAUUUUCCCUCUACCCAUCUCAAAAUUUUCUUCUUUCCUUUACUUUUUCCCGGAAAAUUUUUAAAAGACCCCAGAUUUUUUUUUCUUAAAUUUUGAAUAAAAAACCAAAGGUUUUUAUAACAACAAACAGAUCAAAGAAAAUAAGGCAAAAAAUUUAGGGGAUUGUAAAAGGAUUCUUUUUUUAAGAGAAAAGAAAAUAAGUAAGUAAUGUUUAUAUAUAACAAUUGUUUUCUUAAAUGGAAAUGGAAAAUGAUAUGGAAAAAGAAAAUAUGUGACCAAAAUUAGGGUGAAAUCUUGAAAGGUGACAGAUUUGAUUCUAUAUCUAGCAAUUAUCCAACUAUGGAAACUCUAUUUAUUAUAGCUUUAGUUUUUUUUUUCUUUCUAUUUAUCUUAAUUUCUCUACCUUUUUAAUCUGCUGUUUUUGGCAUUUCAACUCAAAAUGGAUUUGAUUUUUGCUUUGGGUUUCUUUUUUUAAAUAUAAAAAGUGGGUUUUAAUUAUUUAUAUAUUAUUGUGCUUUAAUAAUUUUUUUUAGUGAAUAUUGAUUUUUUUUUUGAAUUACAAUAGGAGAGUAAAGUCCUAAUAACAACACGACUAGAGCGAUUAGAAUUUAGCCACACUUGAGACAUUGAACACAAGUAUUUCACGAGGACAUAUAACACAUGUUUUUUAAAUUCAUGGCUAAAAUAAUAAUAAAAAUCUCUUUAUUUUAUUGUAUUCAAAUAAUAAUAAAAACCAUGGUUUUAGUUGUAUCGGCCUGUGCCAUUGUUUUACUGUUAUAAUGCAACAAGCAACACUAAUGAAAAUUUUGGUUUGUACCGUUCGCAUUGGCCAGAAUAUGAUACACCUGCUACUGCAUGAAUAAUAUUAAAAAAUAUAAAACUAUUAACUAUUUUCUAUUAGACUAAAUAUUUAAUUGAAAUGUAUUGACCAAUAAAAAAAUAUUAUACUAUAAAGUAAAGUUUAACAUUUAAAACUAUUUUUGGAGCAUACUUUUUCAUUUAAAAUAUAAAAAUUAAAAUAUAACAAAAAAAAACCCACUCACCUCGUUAUCAUAGAAAAAUAUUCACUCGCCCUUCAGCUUUUUUUUAUUGAAAAAACCCCCUCAUCCUUCGAUUUAUUUUUUCUUCUUAAUUUUGAAUUUAUUGAAUGAUGAGUUUUUACUUGUAGAGUUUAUUAAUCAAUAUUUUAUAUAAUUGAUGAAUAGUUUUAUAUUAAAAAUUAUUUAUAAUAAUUUAUUUGAUAUUUGUAUAUUUAUUUAUGUAAAUAUAUUAAAUAUUUUAAAAAAUAUCGAUAAAUUUAAAAUGGCACAUAAAAUAGACUAGUAUCAAUACAUAACGAUUCUCAUAAAAAAGUGGUGCUUACACCAAUGUGUUAAUGGCUACCUUUGAAAGCAAGUAUGUGGGUGGCUAUAAUGUUUGAUGCUUUGUUUUCUUUGAAUAUUUUGCUUUGAUGCUUUUGAUCUGUGCUGAUCUUUUGAGUGCAACCAUUGGGAUAUAUAUGGCUAUAUGAAUUUUUAUGAUUUGCUAUGCAUUGAUUGUGGUUGUUUUAUUAAUAAAUUUAUGUUUUGGAUUGAGAAAAAAAAUUCGAAACACAAAAAGAAAGUAGAGAAAGUGAACACAAUGAUAUACGUGGUUCGGGAAUAUUCCCUACAUCCACGGGCAGAACCAAAAAUGAAAUUCACUACUAAAAAUUGGAGAUUACAAUGGAAUUACAUCAUAAAAUAAAUUACCUCGCCAAUAACUAUCCACAAACUUUGAAUGGAUUCAUGGUCUGAGAAAUUCGGAAAACUAAGAUGGACAUCUUUGAGAUUGGAUAGAACAAUAUUUUGGGAACUUUGUCGUCUUACAUGUGUCAAAUUGAGCUCUCUAAUGCCAUGUUGUAACGUGUACUAUAUCCCUCCAUUAAUCCUGGAAGGAUCAAACUAUCACGUAAAAGACUUGUUCUUCUGAAAAACCAUUGGUUAAUAGUACUACGAAAUGUCAAAUAUUUUUAACUAAAGAAUCCCAUUCUCAUAUACCAAAAUAGCUUAGAAAUUAGAAGAUGCAAAUGAAAACAGAACAUUCAAUUUGCUGAAUAAAUGUUGCAGAGAAUUGACUAACCGCUUUACUAAAUCAAAUAAGCUGAAGCAGAUGAGUUGAAGUUCACUAUUUUUCGCCAAUUUAGUGUCUGCAAAAAUUGAAUACAAAAUAUAUAAGACUCGUUUCUGUUAUCAUGUUGUUCAUGAGGUCAAUCAGAUAUAUAAAAAAUAAAGCUAUGAAAUUUAUAAAUGUUUAAAAUGCGUUUCACACCUGUGCUUUGAGUGUGGAGAAAUCGAUACCAGAUUUUGCUGCUUAAAUUUCAAUACCUCGGGAUGACUAUAUUCUUAUCAAUUUGAACAUAAGGUAUGUGGGAAAUCUUGGACCACUCUCGUCCUUUACCCCUAUUGCACCCUUCUUCUAGCAACGGGCAACGCUGAAUAGAUAGACGCUCAAGCGAGAGAAGCAUAACUUUUUCUGGAAGAGAGGCGAGCUUAGGACAAUCAUAGAUGCCCAAUUUUUGAAGAGAGGUGAGGUGUUGUAAGCCCUUGGAGCACAUGAAUUCCAAAUUUUCAAAUCUACGGAUGCUGAUUUCGGUGAGAGAAGGAGGCAGCGCCAUUCCUAUCCCUUCUUCUGGAAACGACACCACAUUUGAGCAUCCUUCACCGCUGAUGUUGAGUCGCUGAAGAGAGGUAAGUCUGUUAAAUCCCCAUUGAACAAGUGAUGUAUAAAUUUUGGGUGCGUUUGAGAUUGCAAGUGAUGUGAGGUUGGCAGGGAAACCCUCUUCUGGAAAGGAUAUGUCAGCCGAACAAUAAGACACCUUCAAUUCUCGAAGGGAGGUGAAGUUGUUGAUGCACUUGGGAAGGACUCCAAAAUUUUCACAAUUCUCAAUUGCGAAAACUCUGAGAUUUGUCGUGGGCAACCCACUUUCUUCAAAUGAAACCAGAUUUGGACACCUAGAUAAUUUAAUCUCCUGAAGAUGGCUGAGCUUGUCUAAUCCCCGCGGUAAUGAUUUAAUUUUUUCAGCACCACGAAUGCCAAUGCUUUCGAGAUCAAUGGUUUCAAAGAAGUCUUGGGCUAUGCAUUCCAACACUGGACAAUCCCAAAUAAAUAGCUGUUUAAGCAUUACGGGUAACUUGGCGUUUAAAAAUAACCUAGUUAGCUUUGAACAACUUUCAAUUUCGAGAUGUUGAAGUCGAUUGCAUAUAUCGCCCCUUGAUAAUAACCAUAUUAGAGAUGGACAGCUUCUUAUUACUAAGUGCUCAAGAAGACAAGUGUUGCUAUUCGCACUCUUAUUAUUAUUUUCUUUUUCAUCAACCAAAUAUUGCAAAUUCACGCAAUUCCCAAUCCUCAGCUCUUUUAAUGCAGGAGGAAAGUUACUCUCUGCAAAACAAACCAUGCCUGGACAGCUUUCAAGUUGUAUUCUUGUAAUGAAUGGGAAAGCAUGUAAGGCUUCUGGUAGUCUAUUGAGCCUUUCACAAUUCCUUAUGUUCAGAGAUUCAACACCUGGAAUCUUGUCAAGUUGCAAUCUCUCCUCCUCUGUUUCCAAAGAGACCAAUUGGGGACAAUCCACAAUACUAAUAAAACGAUGCCCGACUAAUCUUAACCCAAUUUGCGAUAAAGAUCCCAACUCCUUCCAACCAGAGAUGACCAAUGUUUCGGAGUUUGCAAACCUCAACAUUAUCCUCUCUGCUGAAAUGUUAAAAUUUGAAAUAUUUGAAACACACAAACUUUUAAAGGAGGUAACCUUCUGUACGGACAAAGAACCUUCAUCCACCAAUUCUUCACACCCUUCAACCCAUAUUUUACGCAGCAAGGGAAAACAAGAAAUUGAAACUACCAGUCUCUUACAGUUGUAGAUUUGAAGCGUCUGCAAGGAUUGAAGGAUGGUUGGCAACCUUCCCAGCAAUAGAGGACAAUGUCUGAUUGAAAGAGAACGAAGGCUGGGGAAUUUCGAUACUUGCUCAUCAUCUUCACAUAGGUCCCACUCCUCCCAAUUCAGCAUAUUGCGAAAAUGCAGAGACUCUAAUGAUGCAAAAGUAUUUGAUUGAUUUUCUCCAAACAUCUCAGCACCAAUCUUGUGUACUUGAUCCAAACCACUAAUUGAAAGAUCUUUUAACAACAACAACCUUCCAAUCGAUGGUAGAGAUUUGCAAUUUUUACAGUCGUGAAGCUCCAAUGACAACAUAUUUUUGAAGGAAGGAUCUGCAAUCCAAGUAGAGAAUUUUGCACCACCAUAAUUCUCAAUGACGAGUUGCUCAAGCUUUUUCGAAGGAUGAAGAGAAUCUAACACCCAUUCUUCAACUUCUUUUUUCCUUGAAGCAUUUUCAAACUUUUUCCUCCAAUGCAAUACCAGUCGAUCAAUCCCCUGCUUCUCAUAUAACUUGCUUUCCCCUGCAUCUUCACCAUUAACAUUCUCCAACCCAGAAAGAAGGAAAUCACCUUUGAGGUUUGACAAAUAUUUCAAACCUCUAAUAUAACUACCAUCACCUUCCCCUAUUAUAAAAUCAGUUAACCUUUGAAGUUUCGUUAGCUUAUCAAUUCUAAAAGGCAUCCUUUCUAUUAAGCGGGCACCUCUGAUAUCAAGAUAAUGCAAGUUGACAAGAUUUUCCAUCUUUGAAGGUAACCUUUGAAGCCUGGAACAGCAAUUUAAUAAUAAAGUUUCCAAAUGGUAAAGAGUGCACAAAGAAUCAGGUAAGCAUUUGAUAUGGGUGUCAGAAAAAUUUAAGUAGCGAAGAUGUUUUAAAUUUUCAAAAACAUCAGGCAAC